UGCCGGUGACCUCUGUCCAUCCAGAGGUGCCAGACAAUCUGCUGGAAGCGCUUCGCAGCGCUUCCAUCGACGAGGAGCACCGCACUAUCAUGAGUGCGGUGAUCCAGAAGGUUCAGUCUGCCAAGAGUGGAUUGACUGAAGCCUGUGCCAGUCUUCUAACAGGCUUUGAGGUAAGUGUUUUAAAAUGUAGUAGAAAUAUUACCGCAUAGACAGUAGCCCCUGAUGCUUUGUUCGGUGUUCACAAAGAAAAGCCGAACAGAGGAUCAAAUAAUAUCGCAGGAGUCUGAUAUAAGUAUGUCAAUAUGCAUAUACAGGCUUCGCUGCUGGCGUCCACCGCACUGACUGCGGAGGUCGCCGUACUGAAGCAGGACCUCGAGGGGUCCAGGAAAGAGCUCGGCCUUGUCAAGAGGCAGAUUGAGGAGAACAAGGGUAAGUAAUACCCUGUCUAUAGAUAUGUAUGUAUAAAAGAAGAAGCGAUUGCAAAAUGACAGGAUCAUCGUAUAUUCGCCAGGGGCCACGACCAAGGUGGCAACCUUGAAGCAAGCGCUAACCAAGGCCGAAGAUAACGCGGCCAAGGAGCGCACUCAGCGAGAGAAGCGCGAGGCUCGGGUGGGCGAGGUGCAUCAAGAGCUCCAGGCUCUCGUGGCGAAGCACGAGGCGUUGGAGCUUGACUCAAAGACGCGGGAGUCUGAGCUUGCCACGGCCCUCGAGAGCGCAAAAAGUGCCAAGGCCGAAGCCCAAAAGGCCCUCCAGGAUAUCGACGCAAUGAAGAAGAUAGCGGCGGGUAAGGCUUUCUAUAUGCAAAGCAAGCAUGUAAGAGUAAAUUACCGAUUACUUACCGAAUCCAGAGCUCUCCAGGAGCAUUCGCAGAUUUGCCCCGCAGCAUGUCCGAUGCCGCACAAUUUUACCAGUCCGAGGAUGGAAGCUCAACAGAGAAGCUGUUCUGGUCUCAGUAUGCUGAGGCCGAACACUCGGUGCCAAUGAGCGACCAGCUGAAGCAGAUGGUUGAGCUACAUAAGGCGGCCGAUCGGGCCAUGAAGAGCUUUAUAGUCCGGCUGUGGCCUGGCGACGCCCUUCCGAAUAGCUUCUUCGGCCUGGUGAGGCGGCUUGUGGAUGCCUGUCCGCGGCUGGAGGUCGUUAAGUGAUCAGUCUGCAUUGAAGGUGCACGCUGGGCUUUCGCUCGUGUGAAAUUGCAGUGGGUCAAGCUAGACACCGUGAAGCUGGUCAAGGAGGGGCCGCCGGAGGGCAAGGAGCACCGCCACCCCGAGAUGUACUACGAGGGUGUUCUGCCGGGUGCCCGUCUCAUAGCGGACGAGUGUUCCAAAGAAGUAAUAUUUGAGUGAGACUUGCUCGUUUUAUCCUGUAUUUAUGAAAACUUGUUUCAUAUGCGCUAUGCAACGCUUGUUUGAAUUUAAAAUAUUACCUUCUGUUUGGCCAUUUAUCAAUCUGAGAGAUGGCUAGUCCUCGACUUCUGCCCCCAUAUCACGAGUGCUGGGGUGUUCGGGAUAAAUCUAAGCACUCUUUUUCCCAUAUUUGGGUCCUUCGAGGGAGGUGCUCAGCAUAAUGAACAAGGCAACCGGACUAAUAAUGAUUUAUCACUCUCACUUAGCCAUAGAAUUCUAUAAUUUUAAAUUUUAGCGAAGCCCCUGCUAUUCGAAAGGCCGAAUUCGGGGUGCGAUACACGCCUUUAAGCCGGACAGGGCCGGCCCCUUGCCCUAAGCGGCAUAAGUCUUUAGGGACUCGAAAACCUCACCGAACAGUGACCAGUCUCUCGCCUUAUCAUGACAGUCAGUUUUAGCUUUCUCUACUGAGGUGCUGAACCCAGCAGAACCGGGGCACAAUCGCAGUAGUUCUCCUAGCGCUACCUUAGCCGAUAGAGCGGAACGUAAGGUACCAAAACAUAGGAGCCAGGCAAACCCAACAUUUGACCAAAGACAUGAUUCGGAGCUGAUGCAUAUAAUGCUAUAAGUUCGGGGUGCCGCACUUGUGAAAGUGUUCGGACUUUUCACACUGUAUUAUGGGGUACGUAAGCCCCUGGUGUGUUGGCCGUACCAAAGUGUACGGUUGCAAGGCGUCAUUAAUGAACACAUGGAUAUAUAUAUAACAGGAAUGCAAUAAUAGUCGUAAUGUCAUGCAUUGUUUAGUCAAAAGAUCGCGUUAAAGCAGAGUGAUACAGGUAGUGCGAUAAGCAAAGAGUAGGACUAUGUCCCUUCCAAGGGCAAGCUGAGGAAUGAUAUGAAAUCGAAUAUUUCGCUUAUUACUGUAAUCCACCUGGGAAUUCCGUGGUAUGACGUAGCUGGUUGCCUCCUUGGUUGCUGCAUCAUGUGUUCGGCAAUAGUGCUACCGGACAGUGUUUCUAGAGAUUAAGGUCCUGAAAAAAGAGAAAAAUUACAAAACAGGAAGCCCCUAGUGCGGUUUAAACCGCGUCUUGGGGCGUGCCGCAGUUUUGCCCCCCGCCCCUCCCCACCUGUGCCCAUGGUAUUUUUAGUGCAUAACUGUGGACGCGUGGCACGAGUUUUGCCGUUGGGCUGGGAUUUGGGUGGGCGCCGUAUUGCUACACGAGCUCAGAUCGUGCCAGGCGGUCCGUUUGCCGAUUGCUCUGAGUGCGCUUGAAGGUGUCCGGGCUUUGAAGUGCUGAACUGGUUGAUUGCCUUGAGAGGCUGCUUUGCGCUUCUACUGCGAGGGCCAUGGUGUGCUCCUCUGUUCGGAGAGAGCGAUCUGUGUUUCCAUUGACUGUAAUAACUCCGCGAGGUCCUGGCAUCUUGAGCUUGAGGUAUGCAUAAUGUGGCACCGCAUUGAAUCUAGCAAAUGCGGUUCGCCAGAGCAUCGCAUGAUAACCACUGCGGAACGGGACUAUGUCGAAGAUUAACUCUUCGCUUCGGAAGUUAUCCGGGGAUCCGAAGACCACUUCCAGUGUAAUUGAGUCUGUGCAAUGGGCCUCUACACCUGGAAUGAUGCCUUUAAAGGUCGUUUUUGUGGGUUUGAUCCUUGAGGGUUCUAUACCCAUUUUUGCACACUGUGUCCUGAUAAAGCAGGUUCAGGCUGCUACCGCCAUCCAUAAGGACUCGAGUGAGGUGAAAUCCGUCAAUGAUUGGGUCUAGGACCAGUGCGGCGAAUCCGCCAUGAUGGAUACUAGUGGGGUGGUCCCUGCGAUCGAAGGUGAUCGGACAGGAGGACCAAGGGUUGAACUUUGGGGCGACCGGCUCCAACGCAUAUACGUCCCUGAGCGCAUGCUUCCGCUCCCUCUUGGGGAUGUGGGUUGCGUAUAUCAUGUUCACCGUCCGCACUUGUGGGGAAAACCUCUUAUGUCCUCCGGUGUGUGGCUGACGUGAUUCCCCCUCAUCAUCGCUAUGCGGCCCCUUGUCUUUGUUUUUGGCAAGCAACUUGCCGGCCUGCUUGAACACCCAACAAUCCCUGUUGGUGUGAUUGGCUGGCUUGUCUGGGGUGUCGUGUAUUUGACACGAGCGAUCGAGUAUACGGUCCAAGCUGAACGGACCCGGCGUACUUUGUUUGAAUGGCUUUUUCCGCUGACUGGGCUUAGAGCCUUUGAAUCCGGCAUUGACUGUCGUAUCCUCGGUAUUUUCGCUAUUAAUGCGGCGCUUAUGUUUGUUGUGACGUGACCUGCUACUGCCGUCCUUGGUAUCUGAGGUACCAUGGUUCUUUGAUAUGUUAUUACUACGAGCCAGCCAGCUGUCUUCUCCCGCACAAAAGCGGGUCAUGAGCGUCGUGAGAGCUUCCAUAGAUUUUGGCUUUUCCUGACCAAGGUGCAGGGCUAGCCACUCGUCUCGGAUGUUGUGUUUGAAAGCCGCUAAGGCCUCUGCAUCCGGACAGUCAACGAUUUGAUUUUUCUUUGUAAGGAACUGAGUCCAGAAUUGCCUGGCCGACUCUUCUGGCUGCUGAAUUAUGUGGCUCAAGUCAUCGGCGUCUGGUGGUCACACAUAAGUGCCCUGAAAGUUGUCGAGGAAUGCGGCUUCCAGAUCUUCCCAACAGCUAAUGGAGUCCGCUGGCAAGUUGUUAAGCCAAUGCCGCGCUGGUCCUUUGAGCUUUAGUGGGAGGUAUUUGAUGGCGUGUAAGUCAUCACUGCGGGCCAUGUGGAUGUGGAGGAGGAAAUCCUCGAUCCAUACUGCGGGAUCUGUUGUGCUGUCGUAUGAUUCAAUAUUUACGGGUUUGAAACCUUCUAGGAAUUGAUGAUCCAUUACUUCGUCUGUGAAGCAUAAGCGUUGUGCGGCGCCUCUGUAUUGGGCUAUAUCGCGACGCAGCUCGAAUGGGUCUUGCCCCUGUGUUCGGCCUGGCCGGAUUUGCUUUUACUGUAUCCGGCAUGACGUUUAUCGUCUCACAGAGUGGUGCACCUUCGUGAUCCGUAGAUCGAUCUUCCAUGCUUUGCUUUGUCCUCCAAUAUGUCCCGCAGGUCUGGCGUAUCUCCCCAGGCCUUUUUAUGUGAAUGGCAUCGGGGUGGAGGCUGAGUUUCUGGCUGGAAUGCUUCUCUAUCGCGGCCACGAGGUGGCCGAUCAGCCGUAUCAUACGCUUCUUCCUCCAGUCGGGGUAGUAACCUACACUUUGGGUAAUUCUUGGAGGGGCGCUCGAGUUUAUAUUCCUCGGCCGCGAGGACUUUAGUCCAUCUGUCAGCUAGCAGAUCUUGAUCAGCUUGAAGCUAAUGCUACUUUUUCUUGAGGCUAUUUGCCGUGGCCAUAAGACGGCGCUUGAAGCGCUCUUGUUCGACGGGAUCCUCUGGUACGACGAAUUCAUCGUCGCCGAGGCUUGCCUCGUCUUCGGAGGGGGGGCAUGUAAUUGUCAUCUUCCUCCUCUCCAUCUGCCGCUCUCUCAGGAGGGCUGGCUUCUCCAUCCUCCUGCUCUAAAUCUUGCUGGAGGGGAUUGUUGUUGUCUUCGGCACUAUCCGGAGUGUUAUUAUCUCCUGUGUCGGUAUCACCACUUUUGCUUUGGCGGGACUUAGAGCAGCGCCGCUUACGUUGGCGCUUGGGUUGCUUCUUGGAGGGGUCAUCCUCUGUUAUCUCGUCGCCAUUGCCUUCUUUGGGUGUAUCCACCAUGUAUAUGUCAUAUGACGAGGUGGCUUUCCAGUGCCCUAUAGGCGCUGGUUCAUGUUCGUCUCCUACAUCGUCGUCCAUACCGUCGAUGUCUUCGGAGUCGAAGUCAAGCAUGUCGGUUAAAUCAUCGACAGUGGCUACAAAGUGGGUGGUGGGUGGGCGUCGAAUUUCUUCGUCGUCCGCAUCCCAAUCCUGUUGGCCAUAGUCCGGCCAGGGCUCUCCUGACAAAGAGAGAGACUUUAGUGAAUUCAGAAUGUCGCCGAAGGGCGAGUGCUGAAAGAUAUCUGCGGCGGUGAAUUCCAUGAUCGGCGCCCAAUCAGAUUCGAUUGGCAGGGGCUCGUGCGGUUUGGAGUUCGGAAAAGAGUCCGGCACCUUGGAGUCACGGGCUUCGCAAAGGAUUAGGCUGGUGUUCGGCUGGAUCGCCGUCGAGACUGCAGCCCCUGAGGCGGUGUCUAACCACCCGUCCUCGAUUGGCGUAGUUGGCUCUCAGCUAAGGGUCGGAGCUGAUGCGGGCGCGCCUUCUGGGGUACUGUUCGGUGGCAGAGCUAGGUCAUACCCAUCGUGACAGUGCAGCGCGCCCGGCUGCGGCUCGAAUCCAUUGAAGAUCAAGUCUCCGCGGAUGUCGGCCGUGUAGUUCAAACUUCCAAAUUUGACCUGAUGGCCAGGGGCGUAGCUUUCAAUCUUCUCCUGAUGGCCAAGUGAAUUAGCCCGCAGUGCAAAGCCGCCGAAUACGAAGAUCUGUUCGGGGAGAAAAGUCUCACCCUGGACUGCAUCGUUGUUGAUGAUCGGAGGAGCCAUCGAGCCUAACGGCGACGACAUAGAGGAACUCUCAAUGAAAGCACCAAUGUCGGUGUCAAAACCGGCGGAUCUCGGGUAGGGGGUCCCGAACUGUGCGUCUAGGCCGGAUGGUAACAGGAGGCAGGGGACACAAUGUUUUACCCAGGUUCGGGCCCUCUUGAUGGAGGUAAAACCCUACAUCCUGCUUGAUUAAUAUUGAUGAUAUGGGUAGUACAAGAGUAGAUCUACCACGGAUCAGAGAGGCUAAACCCUAGAAGCUAGCCUAUGGUAUGAUUUUAUGUUGUGGUUGUUGUCCUACGGACUAAAACCCUUCGGUUUAUAUAGACACCGGAGAGGGUUAGGGUUACACAAGGUCGGUUACAAAGGAGCAGAUAUCCAUAUCCGUAUUGCCUAGCUUGCCUUCCACGCCAAGUAGAGUCCUAUCCGGACACGAGACGAAGUCUUCAAUCUUGUAUCUUCAUAGUCUAACAGUCCGGCCAAUGGAGAUAGUCCGGCUGUCCGGAGACCCCCUAAUCCAGGACUCCCUCAAUCUCCCCAAGGAUAAGUGGUUUAAAUAUCAUCCUCCCAUAGAAGUAAAAGUAGCUGCACCUAUUAAAGUUGAAGAAAAGACUGUCACUUAUAAUGAUCCUAUUGUUCCUACUUCUUAUGUUGAGAAACCACCUUUCCCUGUUAGGACAAAGGAUCAUGCUAAACCUUCAACUGUGGUUCAUAAAAGCAAUAUUAAAACUUAUACACCUCCUCAGCAAAUUAAAGUUGAACCUGAUAUUGCUAUUGUUAAAGAUCUCUUGUCUGAUAAUAUUGAUGGGCAUGUUAUUCAUUUCCUUGAUGAGACUGCUAGAAUUGCUAAACCUUGUGCAAAAGAUAAAAACAGACCUGUGGUAGGCAUGCCUGUUAUUUCUGUUAAAAUAGGAGAUCAUUGUUAUCAUGGCUUAUGUGAUAUGGGUGCUAGUGCUAGUGCAAUACCUUACGACUUAUACAAAGAAAUUAUGCAUGAUAUUGCACCUGCUGAGAUAGAAGAUAUUGAUGUCACAAUUAAACUUGCCAAUUGAGAUACUAUUUCACCAAUGGGAAUUGUUAGAGAUGUUGAAGUAUUGUGAGGGAAAACUAAAUAUCCUGCUGAUUUUCUUGUUCUUGGUUCCCCACAAGAUAGUUUUUGUCCCAUUAUAUUUGGUAGACCCUUCUUAAACACGGUUAAUGCUAAGAUAGAUUGCAAAAAGGAUGUUGUUACUGUCGGUUUAGAUGAUAUGUCUCAUGCAUUUAAUUUCUCUAAAUUUAGUAGACAACACCAUGAAGAAGAAUUACCUAGUAAGGAUGAAAUUAUUGGUCAUGCUUCUAUUGCCAUACCUCCUAGUGAUCCUUUAGAGCAAUAUUUGCUAGACCAUGAAAAUGAUAUGUUUAUGAAUGAAAGAAGGGAAAUAGAUGAAGUAUUCUUUAAACAUGAACCUAUUCUGAAACACAAUUUGCCUGUUGAAAUCCUAGGGGAUCUUCCUCCACCCAAGGGUGAUCCCGUGUUUGAGCUUAAACCAUUGCCUAAUACUCUUAAAUAUGCUUAUCUUGAUGAGAAAAAGAUAUAUCCUGUUAUUAUUAGUGCUAACCUUUCAGAUCAUGAGGAAGAGAGAUUAUUGAAAACUCUGAAGAAGAACCGUGCUGCUAUUGGGUAUACUCUUGAUGAUCUUAAGGGCAUUAGUCUCACUCUAUGUCAACAUAAAAUAAAUUUGGAAGAAGAUGCUAAACCAGUUCGUGAUCAUCAACGACGACUGAAUCCUAAAAUGAAAGAAGUGGUAAGAAAGGAAAUACUAAAGCUCCUUGAGGCAGGUAUAAUCUAUCCCGUUGCUGAUACUCAGUGGGUAAGUCCUGUCCAUUGUGUCCCUAAGAAGGGAGGUAUUACUAUCGUUCCUAAUAAUAAAGAUGAAUUGAUUCCUCAAAGAAUUAUUACAGGUUAUAGGAUGGUAAUUGAUUUCUGCAAAUUAAAUAAGGCCACUAAAAAGGAUCAUUACCCCUUACCUUUUAUCGAUCAAAUGCUAGGGAGAUUAUCCAAACAUACACAUUUUUUCUUUCUAGAUGGCUAUUCUGGUUUCUCUCAAAUACCUGUGUCAGCCAAGGAUCAAUCAAAGACUACUUUUACUUGCCCUUUUGGUACUUUUGCUUAUAGACGUAUGCCUUUUGGUAUAUGUAAUGCACCUGCUACCUUUCAAAGAUGCAUGAUGGCUAUAUUCUCUAACUUUUGUGAAAAGAGUUGUGAGGUUUUCAUGGACGAUUUCUCCGUCUAUGGAUCUUCUUUUGAUGAUUGCUUGAGCAACCUUGAUCGAGUUUUGCAGAGAUGUGAAGAAACUAAUCUUGUCUUGAAUUGGGAAAAGUGCCACUUUAUGGUUAAUGAAGGUAUUGUCUUGGGUCAUAAAGUUUCUGAAAGAGGUAUUGAAGUUGAUAAAGCCAAGGUUGAUGCUACUGAAAAGAUGCCAUGCCCCAAGGACAUCAAAGGUAUAAGAAGUUUCCUUGGUCACGCCGGAUUUUAUAGGAGGUUCAUUAAGGACUUCUCAAAGAUUUCUCGGCCUCUGACUAAUUUAUUACAAAAAGAUAUACCAUUUGUCUUUGAUGAUGAUUGUGUAGAAGCAUUUGAAAUACUUAAGAAAGCAUUGAUCUCUGCACCUAUUGUUCAGCCACCUGAUUGGAAUCUACCUUUUGAAAUUAUGUGUGAUGCUAGUGAUUGUGUUGUAGGUGAUGUUCUAGGGCAAAGAGUUGAUAAGAAAUUAAACGUUAUUCAAUAUGCUAGUAAAACCCUACACAAUGCUCAAAGAAAUUAUGCUACUACUGAAAAAGAAUUCUUAGCAGUUGUAUUUGCUUGUGAUAAGUUCAGACCUUAUAUUGCUGAUUCUAAAGUAACUAUUCACACUGAUCAUUCUGCUAUUAAAUAUCUUAUGGAAAAGAAAGAUGCUAAACCUAGACUUAUUAGAUGGGUUCUCUUGCUACAAGAAUUUGAUUUACAUAUUGUUUAUAGAAAGGGAGCUGAGAACCCCGUUGCAGACAACUUGUCUAGGUUAGAAAAUGUGCUUGAUGACCCACUACCUAUUGAUGAUAGCUUUCCUGAUGAGCAAUUAAAUGUCAUAAAUGCUUCUCAUAGUGCUCCAUGGUAUGCUGAUUAUGCUAAUUACAUUGUUGCCAAAUUCAUACCACCUAGUUUCACAUACCAACAAAAGAAAAAGUUCUUCUAUGAUUUGAGACAUUACUUUUGGGAUGUCCCAUAUCUUUAUAAAGAAGGAGUAGAUGGUGUUAUUAGACGUUGUUUACCUGAGCAUGAACAGGAACAGAUCCUACACAAGUGUCACUCUGAAGCUUAUGGAGGACACCAUGCUAGAGAUAGAACUGCACAUAAGGUAUUGCAAUCUGGUUUUUAUUGGCCUACUCUCUUCAAAGAUGCCCGUAAGUUUGUCUUAUCUUGUGAUGAAUGUCAAAGAAUUGGUAAUAUUAGUAGACGUCAAGAAAUGCCUAUGAACUAUUCACUCGUUAUUGAACCAUUUGAUGUUUGGGGCUUUGACUAUAUGGGACAUUUUCUUGCCUCUAAUAGUUAUACACAUAUUUUAGUUGCUGUUAAUUACGUUACUAAGUGGGUAGAAGCUAUUCCAAUUAGUAGUGUUGAUCAUAACACUUCUAUUAAAAUGCUUAAAGAAGUUAUUUUUCCAAGAUUUGGAGUCCCUAGAUAUUUAAUGACUGAUGGUGGUUCACAUUUUAUUCAUGGUGCUUUAUGUAAAAUGCUUGCUAAGUAUGAUGUUAAUCAUAGAAUUGCAUCUCCUUAUCACCCUUAGUCUAGUGGUCAAGUAGAAUUGAGUAAUAGAGAGCUCAAAUUAAUUUUGCAAAAGACUGUCAAUAGGUCUAGAAAGAAUUGGUCCAAGAAACUUGAUGAUGCAUUAUGGGCCUAUAGAACUGCAUAUAAAAAUCCUAUGGGUAUGUCUCCCUAUAAAAUGGUUUAUGGAAAAGCAUGUCACUUACCUCUCGAACUAGAACACAAGGCAUAUUGGGCUAUUAAAGAGCUCAAUUAUGAUUUUAAACUUGCCGGUGAGAAGAGGUUAUUUGAUAUUAGCUCACUCGAUGAAUGGAGAACCCAAGCCUACGAAAAUGCCAAGUUGUUUAAAGAAAAAGUUAAAAGAUGGCAUGAUAAAAGGAUACAAAAGCGUGAGUUUAAUGUAGGUGAUUAUGUAUUGCUAUACAACUCUCAUUUAAGAUUUUUUGCAGGAAAACUUCUCUCUAAAUGGGAAGGUCCUUACGUUAUCGAGGAGGUCUAUCAUUCCGGUGCCAUAAAAAUCAACAACUUCGAAGGCACAAAUCCGAAGGUGGUGAACGGUCAAAGAAUCAAACAUUAUAUCUCAGGUAAUCCCAUAAAUGUUGAAACCAAUGUUAUUGAAACCGUAACCCCGGAGGAAUACAUAAGGGACACUUUCCGGAACGUUUUAGACUCCGAAAAGGAAUAGGUAUGUGGUACGGUAAGUAAACCGACUCCAAAAUAGUUUUUAAGGCAAUAUUUCUUUGUUUUGGAAUAUUUAGGAAAUAGAAAAAUAAGAAGCAGUCCGGGAAGGACACGAGGCCUCCACGAGGGUGGAGGGCGCGCCCUACCCUAUUGGGCGCGCCCCCCUACCUCAUGGGCACCUCGUGCGCUCUCCGGACUCUAUUUUCUUGCACGACACGUAUUUUCGUCGGUAAAAAUUCAUUAUAUAAUCUCCCGAAGGUUUUGACUCCUGUAUCACGCAAAUAUUCUCUGUUUUUUUUUUCGAGUUGUCCUGCUGCAGAUUAGAGCAACAUGUCGUCCCAGGAUUCGGAAGGAGAAAGCUAUGUGGCUGACUACCUUGUAGAUCCUAAGGUCUAUGGGGAUGUGGAGCAUUGUGGUUGGACUACGGAAGAAGAAGAGUACUAUGAACCCAAGGGAAGGGAGGAGACGAGCUCAGAAGAAGAUGAAAUCCCAUUACCUCAACCUGGGGACAUCCAUGUGGAGUUCAAAAAAUCAAGCCUCCCGGAUAGAGUAAAUAAACCUAAGAUCGAGUUUAUCCCUUUUCGCCUCUUGCAGGAAAACAAGCAGGAACUAUGCAAAAAGAUACUGAGCCUGGAGCGGGAGAUCGAUGACCUAAGGGACCAAAACUCUGUCCUCAAGCGUAAAUUAAGGAAGAAGCCUAUGCCAUCAACAAAACCAUCACCUUCUCCACCAACAAAGAAGAAUUGAGUAUCUGGUAUGGGCACUCCCCUUGGCAACUGCCAAGCUUGGGGGAGUGCCCCGUUAUCGUAUCACCAUCACUUUUAUCUUUACUGUUUUUCUUAGUUUGAUCCUUUUGGUAAUAUCUUGAUCUAGUAGAAUAAAGUUUAUGGCAUGAUCUAGUUUUGAGUUUUGCUUUAUGAUCCCUCUAUGUAAUCGAGUCCGUGAGCUAUAUAAUAAAGAUUAGUGUUGAGUCAAGGGCUUGAUUAUUUUGCCAUGAUCCUAAGUGAAUAAAAGAGAAGAGAAAUAAAUAAAAAAGGAAACAAAGAGAUCAUAUGGAUCUUAUGGAGAGUAAUGAGCUCACAUAGAAAAAGUAUGAUGAAUAAAAGUUGUUGAGAGUUGACAAACAUAGUUUUGGUCAUUGUUGCAAUUAAUAGGAAGUAAUAAAGAAAGAGAGGUCUUCACAUAUAAAUAUACUAUCUUGGACAUCUUUUAUGAUUGUGAGCGCUCAUUAAAAUAUGACAUGCUAAAGAGUUGACGUUGAACAAGGAAGACAAUGUAAUGGGUUAUGUUUUCUUACAUAUGAGAUAAAUUAUAUUUCGUGGAUCAUCCAACAUGGUUGAGCUUGCCUUUCCCCCUCAUGCUAGACAAAUUCAUCGCACCAAGUAGAGAUACUACUUGUGCUUCCAAAUACCCUUAAACCAGUUUUGCCAUGAGAGUCCACCAUACCUACCUAUGGAUUGAGUAAGAUCCUCCAAGUAAGUUGUCACCGGUGCAAGCUAUAAAAAUUGCUCUCUAAAUAUGUAUGACUUAUUAGUGUGGGAGUAAAUAAGCUUUAUACGAUCGUGUGAUAUGGAAGAAAUAAAAGCGACAGACUGCAUAAUAAAGGUCCAUAUCACAAGUGGCAAUAUAAAGUGACGUUCUUUCGCAUUAAGAUUUCGUGCAUCCAACCAUAAAAGCACAUGACAACCUCUGCUUCCCUCUGCGAAGGGCCUAUCUUUUACUUUUACCUCCUACCUUGCAUAAGAGUCAUGGUGAUCUUCACCCUUCCUUUUUACAUUUUAUCCUUUGGCAAGCACAGUAUGUUGGAAAGAUCCCGGUAUAUAUGGCUAAUUGGAUGUGAGUUUUCAUGAACUAUUAUUGUUGACAUUACGCUUGAGGUAAAACGUUGGGAGGCAAAAGUAUAAGCCCCUAUCUUUCUCUGUGUCCGAUUAAAACUCCAUACCCAUAAGUAUUGCGUGAGUGUCAGCAAUUGUGAAAGACUAUAUGAUAGUUGAGUAUGUGGACUUGCUGAAAAGCUCUUAUAUAUUGACUCUUUCCUAUGUUAUGCUAAAUUGCAAUUGCUCCAAUGACUGAGAUUAUAGUUUGUUAGUUUUCAAUGAAGUUUACGAUUCAUACUUGAAAUUGUGAUUGAAUUAUUACUCUAGCAUAAGAAAUCAUAUGACAAGAAUUAUGUAAGUUGCUGUUCUAAGAAUGAUCAUGAUGCCCUCAUGUCCAUAUUUUACUUUUAUCGACACCUCUAUCUCUAAACAUGUGGACAUAUUUUUCGAUUUCGGCUUUCGCUUGAGGACACGCGAGGUCUAAGCUUGGGGGAGUUGAUAUGUCCAUUUUGCAUCAUGCUUUUAUAUCGAUAUUUAUUGCAUUAUGGGUUGUUAUUACACAUUAUGUCACAAUACUUAUGCCUAUUCUAUCUUAUUUUACAAGGUUUACAUAAAGAGGGAGAAUGCCGGCAGCUGGGAUUCUGGCUGGAAAAGGAGCAAAUAUUAGAGACCUAUUCUGCACAGCUCCAAAAGUCCUGAAACUUCACGGAAGACGUUUCCAGAAUAUAUAAAAAAUACUGAGCGCAAGAAGUUCACCAGGGCGGCCACACCCUGCCCACGAGGGUGGGGGCACGCCCUACCCCCCUGGGCGCGCCCCCUACCUCGUGUGGCCCUCUGAUGGCCAUCUUCUGCUAUAUGGAGUCUUUCGAUGAGCAAAUAAUCAUAAGCCAUCUCCUCGGAUGAAACUCCAAUCUAGGGCUCCGGCAGAGCUGUCCUGCCGGGGAAACUUCCCUUCGGGAGGGGGAAGUCAUCGCCAUCAUCAUCACCAACACUCCUCUCAUUAGGAGAGGGCAAUCUCCAUCAACAUCUUCACCAGCACCAUCUCCUCUCAAAACCCUAGUUCAUCUCUUGUAUCCAAUUCUUGUCUCCAAGUCCGGGAUUGGUACAUGGGAGAAGUCUUGCUAUUAGGAGUCAUGUGAAUUUGGUAUUCGUUCGAUAUUUUGAUGAGAUGUAUGUUGUCUCCCCUCUAGUGGUGUUAUGUGAACAUCGACUACAUAACACUUCACCAUUAUUUGGGCCUAGAGGAAGGCAUUGGGAAGUAAUAAGUAGAUGAUGGGUUGCUAGAGUGACAGAAGCUUAAACCCUAGUUUAUGUGUUGCUUCGUAAGGGGCUGAUUUGGAUCCAUAUGUUUCAUGCUAUGGUUAGGUUUACCUUAAUACUUUUGUUGUAGUUGCGGAUGCUUGCAAUAGAGGUUAAUCAUAAGUGGGAUGCUUGUCCAAGUAAGGACAGUACCCAAGCACCGGUCCACCCACAUACCAAAUUAUCAAAGUACCGAACGUGAAUCAUAUGAACGUGAUGAAAACUAGCUUGACGAUAUUCCCAUGUGUCCUCGGGAGCGCUUUUCUCUAUAUAAGAGUUUUCCAGGCUUGUCCUUUGCUACAAAAAGGAUUGGGCCACCUUGCUGCACUUUAUUUACUUUUGUUACUUGUUGCUCGUUACAAAUUAUCCUAUCACAAAACUAUCUGUUACCACUUAUUUUAGUACUUGCAGAGAAUACCUUGCUGGAAACCUCUUAUCAUUUCCUUCUGCUCCUCGUUGGGUUCGACACUAUUACUUAUCGAAAGGACUAGAUAGAUCCCCUAUACUUGUGGGUCAUCAAUCAUCCUGCACCGGUUCACCCUCCUCCUCUCCACCCAGCGGCUGGAAAUCAAUGGUGGUCCAGUCGAUUCCAGUUAGGGCCUUGAAUACAGCUUCGUCGCUUAUAAGGGUGGAGGGGUCAACAUCAGGAGCGUAGGUAUGCUUACGGAUUGGUGGGAUAAGAUUAUCCACAUCAUGAGUUGGUGCAACAAGUCAUUUGUUGUCAACAUCAUAAACUGGCUGAUAGUGAGAGAGAUCUGUUUCUUCGGCCAGUUUGCUCGCUAAUGGGCGCAUUUCCUUUGUCAAAGCUCGAAGAUCAUCAUUAUCAAACUCUAACCCGUCUUCCUUUAUGCUCGGAUAGCUGCGUCCUAUAUUGGCUGAGUCAAGAUCGGGUAUCCAGGCAUUAGCCCGGAUUAGCGCAGUCAGAGCACCCGCCCUUGCAGCUGAUCUUUUUAACUCGUCCAACUGGGCAGGAAGCAUUGACAACUUUUCUAAUGUUUCCUUGAUCAGGUUUGGGGGUGGUUUGUUAUGAGCGGCAGUGCAAAUGAUCUGUUGUGCGCCGGUAUAUAACUGCUCUAUAAGAGUAUAGGCAGCCUUCAACUUCUUCUGCAUAUCAGAGCCCAGGUGGGUAAUGCGAGAUCCUGCAUCAUUGAACAUAUUGAUAAACCGACAGUUUAUGGGAUAAUACAUGUUGAAGCUUAUCAUAAGGGUACUUACCAAACACAGCAGUGGUCAUGGCAUUGAUUUGCUGCUUCAAGCCAGUCAAUUCUUCUGCUACCGGUUUAAGAGUUGUUUCAGCGUCCUCCGCCCGCUUUAGCAGAGUUGCUUUUUCAGCGUCCCAUCCUGCCCGUUCGCCUUUAAAGCCUUCUUUCAGUUGUUCCAUGGCUGUUAAAGCGCCAGUCAGCUCUUCUUUAGCCUUGGAAAUUUCUGCCUGUUGGGACUUGAUAUUUUCCUGAAGGUCGGCAAUUUGAGAUUCUUUUUGGCUUAGAUCGGCCUGCAAGCGACAUGUAAUGAGUUACUAAUGCAUAUUUGAAGUCCCAGGCAUAUAACAGGUUAUACACUUGGCACUUGGGGGCUAAUGCGUAUGGCUUUUAUCAACUGACAUUUUCAAGUCCCAAGCACAUAACAACUUAUACACUUGGCACUUGGGGGCUAAUGUAUAUUUGCUCAAGUCAAAAUUAUGGAUUUUUCUUCAUCAAUCGGUUUACAAAGAUGGUGUCAAGAGUUUUGGAAGCUUCACGACAAAAAGGUACCGAUUCAUCCUAAAGGUAUAAACCGAUCCCUGGGGGCUACACAAGCAAAAAUUGCAAGAUUCAUACUUUAAAGUCCCAGUUCAUCCUGAAACGAUAAACCGGCCCUUGGGGACUACGCAGGCAAAAGUUGAAGCAUUACAAAGUCCCGGUUCACGAUGAUAUCAUAAACCGGCCCUGGGGGGCUGCUGGAGUUGAUAUUAGAAAUUGGACACAAGAUAAACAAUUAUGAAGAGUUAAUAGUGUUUACCUCAUAUCGCUCCAUCACAAGGCCCACUAAACCGGCUUCAUAGUCGCGGCUUGUAUACAGGCGAUUUAAGAAGCUAGAAUGAAUCUCUUGGGCGUUGAGGUGGGCAUAGCUGGAUAAAUCCGUUUUCCACUUGCCCAUAUCCAUAGCAGAAAACUCUUCCUUGGCACUAUGCGUUGAUAAAGCGAUAGGAUUGCCAGGGGUGGUGUGGCCGACGCCGGUGACAAUGACAUCAUCCGAUUGGUCAUUAGCUGCUUUGGCUGGGCUUAGCGGCUUGGCUGCAGCUUUAGCCAGGCUUGGCGGGUCAGUAGCAUGGCCGGUGGGAUCCUCUUCCAUCGGUUCAGCAAAGGUUUCAUGAUGUUCUGGUGGCGGAUCAUCAUGUAUAGCGUCAACAUUAGGCUCAAAUUGUUCUGGGAUCUGUUCUGGAUUAUCAUCAACCGGAUUAUCAUCAGUCGGUUUAUCAUCAGCUGGUUUAUUCAAUUUGGCCUUUUUGCUAGGCCUGGCCUUGGCUCUGAAAGGAAAAGAUAUAUAGGUUAGUAUAACAAACAAGUAUAAAGCGUCAAAGAGUUAAGUUUAAAGUGUUCACCCAGGAACAGUCUUGAGAGGAGGGAGUUGUGUGGCCAUUGACACGCCAGAUGAUGAAUGAGGUGUUCCAUGAUAGUUUGAAUCAGACGGAUUAAGAGGUUGCCUGAAAUAACCCGCCUUGGGAUAAGGAGUAUCAGAAAUGUAGCGACCCGACCCGAAUGAAUCAAGUGCUCUGUGCUCAGGUGUCAUCCCUGGAUCAGUAAUGCUGACACCACACAGUACAUCGAAGGAUUUAUAGCAGAGUGGCAAUCACACACUUAUUACAUCGUUGUCUCAAAGAGAACUUUACAAUAAAUAUGGCUUAAGGCCAUCUAAUAAUGAUAACAGCGGAAUACUCGGAAGAUAAAUGGGUCCAUCAACUCCAACGGCAUCACUGAGUAUAGGGCCACGAGCUAAAAACACCUUACUCGUCGUCUGAAAAGUCUGCAACAUGAGAAGUUGCAGCCUGAAAACGGGUCAGCACAUGGAAUAUGCUGGCAAUGUAACACAUAGAGAGUAAUGGAAUGAAACAGCUAUACUAUAUGCAUAUAAGGCUGGUGGAAAGCUCUAUGGUUACAGUUUUGCGUAAAGCCAGUUUUUCCCUACUGCAAAGGAAUAAAUUUGUUUAACUAUCAUGGUAGUUGUUAAACAUCGAGAAUGGUUGACAGCAUUCCGAUCCCAAUUAAGUGAACAGUUAAAACCCAACAACAUUAAUUAGAAGUAACAUGUUGAGAUUCACAUGAUAUUCAAGUACUAGAUACUCAAGUUGUCCAUAACCGGGGACACGGCUAAUCAUGAUUAGUUUGUACACUCUGCAGAGGUUUGCGCACUUUUCCCCACAUGACUCGAUCGCCUCCGUUUGUUUUCUAGCACUACAUGGUGUUUGAGAAACGGAUGACCGAGACAUAGUCUUUCAGAAGCACUAGCACCUUACAUGUGGGGUAGACCGUACCACCUACAACCCCUACAUCUGCUAGUCCACCCCGUAAGAGUUCGCACAACUUAGUCAACUAUGCCAGAGCCCAUAGUAGCAUGUGGCUGCACACGGAAGUUUCUAGCAUGAAUGAUCUUAUGAUCCCUUUGAGCCUGGGUGGCGGUCCAAAAUAAAACAGGCAAGUCCUGAUAGACAUCAGGUGCCUCAAUCCACCCAGAUGUGUGUUUAAGUUGCCACCUUAGAUAAACCAUUAAAAUUAUCAACUCACAUCUGUCAUGGAUAUCACUCACCCAAUCCACGUCUACUAGCAUAGCAUGGCAUAAUAAGCAAACGUAGAAGUAACUCCCAAAGGUUUCAUAAUAAUACAGGUGAUAGGUACUACCUCAUCUACUUCCCAUCCCACAGUUUAAUUAGAUCCUAAUCAUGCAAUGUGUGAGGAUUGAUCUAAUGCAAUAAAACAAGGGUUGUAGAAAAGGUAUGAUCAAAGUGUUACUUGCCUUGCUGAUGAUCCGCGAGACCUAGGGUUUCGAAGUAACAAGCGGCGCAAUCCGGGUGAUCUAUCGUAGACAAACAACAAGCAUACAAAAGUACUCAUCUAAUGCACAGGUAAAACUCGAACAAGAGAAUGAAACAGAAAAUUCAACUUAAGAACUCUGGUUGCAAAGAAAGAAAGAACCGAACAAGGAAACGGAAAACAAAAGGCGGAAGAAAACAACUCGGUUCUAGCAAGUUGAAACUAGGUCAAAUUUUACCAGGGCAAAAACAUGUUUAGGUUGAUUAGACGGAACGGCGGUUUCGAAAUGAAACUCCAGGCGCUUGAAUCACCUGAUUCCGAUAAACGAGCGAGAAGAAAGACUAGAACGAAGAUCGGAUCUGAGAUCACGAUCGCGGAAUAAAUCCGACGAAAAGAAAGAGACGAACGGUUAAACGAACGGGCGUCGUUAACCGGGGAAUAAUCGGUGAUCAUGUUCGUUGAGACGAACAGUCCGAAAGAAGAACGAAAACCAAUCUCGGGUUUUCGGAAAAGAAACCGAAAAAGAAACGGAAAACCAAUCUAGGGUUUCGGAAGAAAACCGAAACAAAACCGGAAGAAAAAGAAAAGAAUCAGAGAGAAAACGGAAUGGUUCUUUUAGGAAAAACCGGACCGGGGAAGAAAAAAGAGGCGCAGCGCGGGGCUACCUCCGGCAAGGCGAAACUCCGACGGCGGCGAGGCAAGAGCGGCGGCGGCGGCUAUAGGCGCGGGGCGGCGGGUGAGGGGUGCGGGGUGGGGCUGCGCGCUGCUGCUUGCUGUGGCUUAGGAGGAGAGGGGCUUGGGGUUUUGAUUUGAUGUUUUGGAGGGGGGGGUGUUGGUAUUUAUAUAGGUGAGGGGAGGGGGUUUCUUGGGGUGGGGGACAAGAAAUAGAGUAGGAAAAGGAAAACGAAACAAAGGAAAGAGGGCUAGAACCGGCCUUGAGUCCCUCAGGGACUCAGCCUGAGCGAGGGGAGGCGGCGGCUGGCGCCUGGCGCGUGGCGCGCAGCGCUGCAGGGGGCGGCGGCGGGCUGGGCCUUUGGCCCGGCUGGCCUGCGGGAGUUCCCUUUUUUUUAAAUCGGUUACGCGCGCAGAAAAACAAAAGAAAAACUAUCUAAACGAACUCCGAAAAUUACUAAAGUAAAUUUUCCCCGACUCCUAAAAAUGAGCCGAACAAAAUGAACUUUACUCCGGGCCUAAAAUGCAAUUUUCGAAAACGCGCAUUUUUCCCUAUCCAAAUAAAAAGCAAACAAAACUCCGGCAAAACCAAAAUUUGAUUUAUUCAUUAGAUCUUCAUUUUUCCUAACUUUGGGAAAGUCAUAUUAUUCCCUCUCUCAUAUUGUGAUAUUGGGAAAAAUAAUUGAAGAUGAAAUAAAAUAAAUCAAAUGAUCCUCUUUUCAAAAUUUGAGAAAACUCAAAUAUGAAAAUAACGAAAUCUCCAACUCUCUCCGAGGGUCCUUGAGUUGCGUGAAAUUUCUAGGAUCGGGCAAAAUGCAAGAAAAUAUGACAUGCAUGAUGAUCUAAUGUAUAACAUUCCAAAUUGAAAAUUUGGGAUGUUACAAACCUACCCCCCUUAAAAUGAAUCUCGCCCUCGAGAUUCGGGUUGGCUAGAAAAUAGGCGAGGGUGGUCCUUGAGCAAAUCUUCUUCUCUCUCCCAGGUGGCUUCAUCCUCUGAGUGGUGGUUCCGCUGAACUUUGCAAAACUUGAUAACCUUGCUGCGAGUAACUCUGCUGGCAUAAUCGAGAAUCUUGACUGGCUUCUCCUCAUAUGUCAAGUCAUCCUCCAACUGAAUCGCUUCGAGUGGCAUGGUAUCUCUUAGCGGUACCUCUGCCAUCUCGGCAUGACAUUUCUUAAGCUGAGAAACAUGGAAUACAUCAUGAACUCCUGACAGUCCCUCUGGUAAUUCCAACUUAUAAGCGACUUCUCCCAUACGUUGCAAGAUCUUGUACGAUCCAACGAAACACGGUGCUAACUUUCCCUUAACUCCAAAGCGCUUAACUCCUCGAAGUGGGGAUACUCGGAGAUAAACUCUGUCUCCGGUUUUGUAAACUGUCUCCUUGCAUUUAGAAUCUGCGUAGCUCUUCUGCCUAGACUGGGCUACCUUGAGCCUAUCGCGAAUCAACUUAACUUUCCAUUCAGACUCCUUAAUCAAAUCUGGUCCAAAGAAUUGACGGUCUCCAACUUCGUCCCAUGACAACGGUGUCCUGCACCUCCUUCCGUAUAAAGCUUCGAAAGGUGCCAUCUUCAAACUGGUUUGGUAACUGUUGUUAUAAGAAAACUCCGCAUACGGCAAGUUAUCGUCCCAACUAGAUCCAUAAUCUAGUGCACAAGCUCUCAGCAUAUCUUCCAAAAUCUGAUUGACUCUCUCGGUCUGUCCAUCCGUCGGUGGAUGAAAAGCCGUGCUGAACUCUAGUCUGGUUCCUAAAGUUUCAUGCAACUGAUUCCAAAACUUUGAAGUAAAUUUAGUUCCUCUAUCUGAUACGAUACUCCUCGGAACUCCAUGCAAACAAAUGAUCCUAGUCAUAUAUAUCUUCGCCAACUUAGCACUGGUGUAAGUGGUCUUAACUGGGAUAAAAUGUGCUACCUUUGUCAAAUGAUCAACUACUACCCAUAUCGAAUCGUAGCCUGCCUUUGUCCUGGGUAGUCCCGUGAUAAAAUCCAUGCCUAUCUUAUCCCACUUCCAUUUGGGUAUCGGCAAUGGUUGUAACAAUCCUGCUGGCUUCUGAUGCUCUACCUUUACUCUCUGACAUACGUCACAAACUACUACAUAUGCUGCAAUAUCCUUCUUCAUUCCGGUCCACCAGAAUGUUUCCUUCAAAUACAAAUACAUCUUGGUAUCCCUGGGUGAAUCAAAUACGGUGAAUCAUGUGCCUCUUGCAAAAUCAACUUCCUGAUCUCCGGGUCAUUUGGCACAUAAACACGGUCCUCAAACCAUAGGGUAUCGUGCUCAUCCUCAUGAAAUACCUUUGCUUUUCCUUCGCUCAAUUUCUCUUUUAUAACAGCAAUCUCCUUGUCAGAUUUCUGAGCUUCUUUGAUCUUAUCCAUCAAUGUUGACUGAAUCUCCAAUGUUGCUACAUAGCCUCUCGGAACUAUUUCCAAAAAUAGCUCACGAAGAUUUUCUGCUAACUCCUUUGGUAUUUUCCCCGUCAUUAGAGUUUUGACAUGGCUCUUACGGCUCAAUGCGUCAGCUACUACAUUAGCUUUUUCGGGAUGGUAAUGCAACCUCAUGUCAUAAUCCUUGAUGAGCUCCAACCAUCAUCCUUUGUCUGAGGUUCAACUCCUUCUGCGUGAAAAUGUACUUCAAACUCUUGUGAUCCGUGUACACCUCACAAUGAUUUCCAAUGAGGAAAUGUCUCCAUCUUUUCAAUGCAUGCACUACGGCUACUAACUCCAAAUCAUGCGUGGCAUAAUUCAACUCAUGAGGCUUCAGUUGCCGUGAAGCAUACGAAACAACUCUCCCUUCCUGCAUAAGCACUGCUCCAAGUCCUCGACGUGAAGCGUCGCAAUACACCUCAUAAUCCUUGGUCUGAUCUGGCAAAAUCAAUACUGGUGAGGUGACCAAACGUUUCUUCAACUCUUGGAAACUAGCCUCACACUCCUCAGUCCAUUUGAACUUAGUAUCCUUCUUCAACAACUCCGUCAUAGGCUUCACAAUCUUUGAGAAAUUCUCAAUAAACCUCCAGUAGUAUCCUGCGAGUCCAAGAAAACUCGGGAUCUCUCCAACUGUUGUUGGUGCUUCCCAUUCGGUUACGGUCUCAACCUUUGUGGGGUCAACUGCUAUAACUUCUCCGGAUAUAACGUGUCCGAGGAAUCCAACUUCCUUCAACCAAAACUCACAUUUGCUGAAUUUGGCAUAUAACUGGUGUUCCCUUAGUUUCUUCAAAACCAAACGCAAAUGUUCCUUAUGCUCCUCUUCAUUCUUUGAAUAAACCAGGAUGUCAUCAAUGAACACUACGACGAACUUAUCCAAAAACUCCAUAAACACUUUGUUCAUCAGGUUCAUAAAAUAGGCAGGUGCGUUAGUCAAUCCAAAUGACAUAACGGUAUACUCAUACAGUCCAUAUCUUGUGGUGAAUGCUGUCUUAGGUACGUCCUGCUCUCGAAUCUUCAAUUGAUGGUACCCUGAUCGCAAAUCGAUCUUGAAAAACACUUUAGCUCCUUGCAACCGAUCAAACAGAUCGUUGAUCAUUGGCAGUGGGUACUUGUUCUUGAUGGUUACUUCGUUCAAUCCCCGAUAAUCUACAACCAUCCUUAAGGAUCCAUCCUUCUUUUCCACUAGAAGUAUGGGUGAUCCCCAAGGUGAAGAACUUGGGCGAAUGUAACCUUUAUCCAAUAACUCCUUAAUCUGAUUCUUAAUUUCCACCAAAUCCUUUGCUGGCAUCCGAUACGGUCGCUUCGAUAUUGGCCCAGUGCCUGGCAAUAGCUCAAUCAAAAACUCAAUGUCUCUAUCCGGUGGCAUUCCUCGCAAUUCCUCAGGAAAUACAUCAGGAAAAUCCUUCACCACUGGUACUUCCUCUUGCACAACUCCUGUUAGGCAGUUUACUUGUGUCCUGUUUGGCACAUGCCGGGAUACAUACUUGAUCCUUCUUCCUUCUGGUGUGGUAAGCAAAAUUGUCCUACUGGCGCAAUCGAUGUUUCCUCCAUACAUCGACAACCAAUCCAUACCAAGAAUCACAUCCAAUCCUUGAGAUUCCAAUACUAUUAGGUCUGAGGGAAACACAUAGUUACCAAUCCUUAAUGGUAACCGAUCACACCAUCGUCUAGCCAUAAACUCCGCUCCUGGUGAGCUUACUAACAUGGGUGUCCUAAGGGCUUGGGUUGGCAAGUUAUAUUUAUCCACAAAUCCCCUUGAUAUGUAUGAAUGCGAUGCACCGGUAUCAAAAAGAACGAGUGCAGUAAAUGACUUAACCAGAAACUUACCGAUUACUGCAUCAGGCUGAUCUUCAACCUCCUCCACAUUAAUGUGGUUCACCUGUCCCCUAUUGAAAGGGUUCGGUUUCUUCCCAGAGCUGCCAUUGCCACUUCCAUUCUGGCCUUCGGGACAUUCAUUGGCAUAAUGUCCGGUCUUAGAACACUUGAAACAGGUGACUUGACUCAGAUCUCUCUUGGUUGGGGUCGAUGGGGUGGUCCGGUUCUGGCCGUUGCUUCCUCCAUUCCCAUUACCAUUCUUGUGGCCAUUAUGGUUGUGCGAACUACCUCCUCCAUGGGUAUGCUGAAACUGAAAUCCCGGUUUUGGGGUAAAACGGGGCUUCUGCUGGGCUCCAGAAUUAUACUUCCCCUGUCCAUACUUCCUCUUACGGUUCUCAAUCUGCUGUUGCUUUCCUUCAAUCAUGAUGGCACGAUCUACCAACUCCUGGUAGUUGUUGAAACUCGCUACCAUCAACUUCAUGCUUAGUUCAUGAUUCAGUCCUUCCAGAAACUUCUCCUGCUUAGCUGCAUCCGUAGCAACGUCAUCUGGGGCAUAACGUGCUAACUUGCUGAAAUCGUCAAUGUACUGGCCAACUGUCCUUCCUCCUUGGCGUAAGUUGCGAAACUCACGCUUCUUCAUGGCCAUAGCUCCUGCUAAAACAUGGGCAGUGCGGAAAGCUUGCUGAAAGUGAUCCCAUGUGACAGUGUCAACUGGGUAAGUCGCUGUGAAAUUCUCCCACCAUGCUGCCGCGGGUCCGUCAAGCUGGUGAGCGGCAAACUUCACUUUCUCACCAUCCGUGCAUCCUGCAGUGGUCAACUCCCUUCCUAUCUUGCGGAGCCAAUCGUCUGCUACUAUCGGCUCGGUGCUACUGGAAAACACCGGCGGAUUCAACCUAAGGAAAUGGGCUAAGUGGUCAACAGGUGGUGGUGGUGGUGGGUUGUUGUUGUUUCCCUGAUUCUGAUUCUGAACUAGCAACUGCAUCAAGGUGUUCUGCUGCUGGAUCAACUGGGUGAGCUCCGGCGGAAAGGCAAAUCCGAGGUCACGUCUCGGAGGCAUCUGAGGGUUUAGAAAAGACGAGAAUUAAGAAUAGAGUGAGGUCUAAAGGGAAAACACUACCCCAAUGCACAUGAGCAAAUGCACACAAAAUCACUUCAUUCAGUCAAACAAGGGCUUACAAUCGGUCUAACUAUCGCAAAAGUGCUCGAACUAUAAUGUUUACCUGGGGGAAUACUACUAUUAUCUGGUGGUCAUCUAGAAAUUUGAACCGGUGGAAGACUCCAUGAUAUCUGCUCCAGCUUCGUCUUCAAAGUCGGGUUCACUUCGAUCCGAAUCGGUGUCGUCGAUGAUGACGUAGUUGUCCGGACAUGCGACGUACAUGUCUUCCUUCCUGGAUGCUAACUUCUUCUUGAGUUAUUCAAUCUCCUGCUUAAGAUCGCCAGUGUGUCUUGCUAGAGCUAUGAUCUCGUCCAUGUAGUCCUUGCGUGUAGACUUCAGUUCUCCUUCUAGCUCGAUGAUCCUUGCCUUUGCAUUCUUCAACUCUAUCAUAUCAUUGCACAUCUGGUUCUUGUGGCGUCGAAUGUGCUGGUUUAACUCCUGGAUGAAAGAUGCAAUGGAUCUAUCCUUCUUAGUGCUGACUAACUCCCAUUGUUCAUCUCGACGUCCGCAAAUCUGGUAGAUAGUGUCCUUGAGGUCUUCUUGGUAAACUUCUCCAAUGUGUCCUAUGGUGAUAUGAGCUGCCAUGCUCUUUCCCAGACUCCAGGUUGGUGCAUUGAAAACACUAUCUAUAGGCUUCGUGAUUGGCGCGAAUGUUCUUCCCGGAACAUGAGCUUGAAUCUUCCAGCGCUCCUCUUCAGGCAGAGUGGCGUUGAAGGUUCCCGUGAAACUUUGUAAUCCAAUGUUUAGGUACUUGGUGACUUCCUUCAGGUGAAAUCCAAAUGGUGUGCCUUCAUCCGGUUGAGCGUACUUAAUCUUCGCGUUCAUCAUCCUAAAAGAGUAGAAAAGAUGAGGAGUUUAGAAAAUGAGAAGAGAAGGGUGAUCUAUGGCUUUAACUUAGUGGUCGUGUCCUACAGUCAGCGUGUGCUCUGAUACCAUCUCUGUAGCGACCCGACCCGAAUGGAUCAAGUGCUCUGUGCUCAGGUGUCACCCCUGGAUCAGUAAUGCUGACACCACACAGUACAUCGAAGGAUUUAUAGCAAAGUGGCAAUCACACACUUAUUACAUCGUUGUCUCAAAGAGAACUUUACAAUAAAUAUGGCUUAAGGCCAUUCAAUAAUGAUAACAGCGGAAGACUCGGAAGAUAAAUGGGUCCAUCAACUCCAACGGCAUCACUGAGUAUAGGGUCACGACCUAAAAACACCUUACUCGUCGUCUGAAAAGUCUGCAACAUGAGAAGUUGCAGCCCGAAAACGGGUCAGCACAUGGAAUAUGCUGGCAAUGUAACACAUAAAGAGUAAUGGAAUGAAACAGUUAUACUAUAUGCAUAUAAGGCUGGUGGAAAGCUCUAUGGUUACAGUUUUGCGUAAAGCCAGUUUUUCCCUACUGCAAAGGAAUAAAUUUGUUUAACUAUCAUGGUAGUUGUUAAACAUCGAGAAUGGUUGACAGCAUUCCGAUCCCAAUUAAGUGAACAGUUAAAACCCAAAUACAUUAAUUAGAAGUAACAUGUUGAGAUUCACAUGAUAUUCAAGUACUAGAUACUCAAGUUGUCCAUAACCGGGGACACGGCUAAUCAUGAUUAGUUUGUACACUCUGCAGAGGUUUGCGCACUUUUCCCCACAUGACUCGAUCGCCUCCGUUUGUUUUCUCGCACUACAUGGUGUUUCAGAAACGGAUGACCGAGACAUAGUCUUUCAGAAGCACUAGCACCUUACAUGUGGGGUAGACCGUACCACCUACAACCCCUACAUCUGCUAGUCCACCCCGUAAGAGUUCGCACAACUUAGUCAACUAUGCCAGAGCCCAUAGUAGCAUGUGGCUGCACACGGAAGUUUCUAGCAUGAAUGAUCUUAUGAUCCCUUUGAGCCUGGGUGGCGGUCCAAAAUAAAACAGGCAAGUCCUGAUAGACAUCAGGUGCCUCAAUCCACCCAGAUGUGUGUUUAAGUUGCCACCUUAGAUAAACCAUUAAAAUUAUCAACUCACAUCUGUCAUGGAUAUCACUCACCCAAUCCACGUCUACUAGCAUAGCAUGGCAUAAUAAGCAAACGUAGAAGUAACUCCCAAAGGUUUCAUAAUAAUACAGGUGAUAGGUACUACCUCAUCUACUUCCCAUCCCACAGUUUAAUUAGAUCCUAAUCAUGCAAUGUGUGAGGAUUGAUCUAAUGCAAUAAAACAAGGGUUGUAGAAAAGGUAUGAUCAAAGUGUUACUUGCCUUGCUGAUGAUCCGCGAGACCUAGGGUUUCGAAGUAACAAGCGGCGCAAUCCGGGUGAUCUAUCGCAGACAAACAACAAGCAUACAAAAGUACUCAUCUAAUGCACAGGUAAAACUCGAACAAGAGAAUGAAACAGAAAAUUCAACUUAAGAACUCCGGUUGCAAAGAAAGAAAGAACCGAACAAGGAAACGGAAAACAAAAGGCGGAAGAAAACAACUCGGUUCUAGCAAGUUGAAACUAGGUCAAAUUUUACCAGGGCAAAAACAUGUUUAGGUUGAUUAGACGGAACGGCGGUUUCGAAAUGAAACUCCAGGCGCUUGAAUCACCUGAUUCCGAUAAACGAGCGAGAAGAAAGACUAGAACGAAGAUCGGAUCUGAGAUCGCGAUCGCGGAAUAAAUCCGACGAAAAGAAAGAGACGAACGGUUAAACGAACGGGCGUCGUUAACCGGGGAAUAAUCGGUGAUCAUGUUCGUUGAGACGAACAGUCCGAAAGAAGAACGAAAACCAAUCUCGGGUUUUCGGAAAAGAAACCGAAAAAGAAACGGAAAACCGAUCUAGGGUUUCAGAAGAAAACCGAAACAAAACCGGAAGAAAAAGAAAAGAAUCAGAGAGAAAACGGAAUGGUUCUUUUAGGAAAAACCGGACCGGGGAAGAAAAAAGAGGCGCAGCGCGGGGCUACCUCCGGCGAGGCGAAACUCCGACGGUGGCGAGGCAAGAGCGGCGGCGGCGGCUAUAGGAGCGGGGCGGUGGGUGAGGGGUGCGGGGUGGGGCUGCGCGCUGCUGCUUGCUGUGGCUUAGGAGGAGAGGGGCUUGGGGUUUUGAUUUGAUGUUUUGGAGGGGGGGGUGUUGGUAUUUAUAUAGGAGAGGGGAGGGGGUUUCUUGGGGUGGGGGACAAGAAAUAGAGUAGGAAAAGGAAAACGAAACAAAGGAAAGAGGGCUAGAACCGGCCUUGAGUCCCUCAGGGACUCAGCCUGGGCGAGGGGAGGCGGCGCCUGGCGCCUGGCGGCUGGCGGCUGGCGCCUGGCGCGCAGCGCUGCAGGGGGCGGCGGCGGGCUGGGCCUUUGGCCCGGCUGGCCUGCGGGAGUUCCCUUUUUUUUAAAUCGGUUACGCGCGCAGAAAAACAAAAGAAAAACUAUCUAAACGAACUCCGAAAAUUACUAAAGUAAAUUUUCCCCGACUCCUAAAAAUGAGCCGAACAAAAUGAACUUUACUCCGGGCCUAAAAUGCAAUUUUCGAAAACGCGCAUUUUUCCCUAUCCAAAUAAAAAGCAAACAAAACUCCGGCAAAACCAAAAUUUGAUUUAUUCAUUAGAUCUUCAUUUUUCCUAACUUUGGGAAAGUCAUAUUAUUCCCUCUCUCAUAUUGUGAUAUUGGGAAAAAUAAUUGAAGAUGAAAUAAAAUAAAUCAAAUGAUCCUCUUUUCAAAAUUUGAGAAAACUCAAAUAUGAAAAUAACGAAAUCUCCAACUCUCUCCGAGGGUCCUUGAGUUGCGUGAAAUUUCUAGGAUCGGGCAAAAUGCAAGAAAAUAUGACAUGCAUGAUGAUCUAAUGUAUAACAUUCCAAAUUGAAAAUUUGGGAUGUUACAAACCUACCCCCCCUUAAAAUGAAUCUCGCCCUCGAGAUUCGGGUUGGCUAGAAAAUAGGCAAGGGUGGUCCUUGAGCAAAUCUUCUUCUCUCUCCCAGGUGGCUUCAUCCUCUGAGUGGUGGUUCCACUGAACUUUGCAAAACUUGAUAACCUUGCUGCGAGUAACUCUGCUGGCAUAAUCGAGAAUCUUGACUGGCUUCUCCUCAUAUGUCAAGUCAUCCUCCAACUGAAUCGCUUCGAGUGGCACGGUAUCUCUUAGCGGUACCUCUGCCAUCUCGGCAUGACAUUUCUUAAGCUGAGAAACAUGGAAUACAUCAUGAACUCCUGACAGUCCCUCUGGUAAUUCCAACUUAUAAGCGACUUCUCCCAUACGUUGCAAGAUCUUGUACGGUCCAACGAAACGCGGUGCUAACUUUCCCUUAACUCCAAAGCGCUUAACUCCUCGAAGUGGGGAUACUCGGAGAUAAACUCUGUCUCCGGUUUCGUAAACUGUCUCCUUGCGUUUAGAAUCUGCGUAGCUCUUCUGCCUGGACUGGGCUACCUUGAGCCUAUCGCGAAUCAACUUAACUUUCCGUUCAGACUCCUUAAUCAAAUCUGGUCCAAAGAAUUGACGGUCUCCAACUUCGUCCCAUGACAACGGUGUCCUGCACCUCCUUCCAUAUAAAGCUUCGAAAUGUGCCAUCUUCAAACUGGUUUGGUAACUGUUGUUAUAAGAAAACUCCGCAUAUGGCAAGUUAUCGUCCCAAUUAGUUCCAUAAUCUAGUGCACAAGCUCUCAGCAUAUCUUCCAAAAUCUGAUUGACUCUCUCGGUCUGUCCAUCCAUCUGCGGAUGAAAAGCUGUGCUGAACUCUAGUCUAGUUCCUAAAGUUUCAUGCAAAUGAUUCCAAAACUUUGAAGUAAAUUGAGUUCCUCUAUCUGAUACGAUACUCCUUGGAACUCCAUGCAAACAAAUGAUCCUAGUCAUGUAUAUCUUCGCCAACUUAGCACUGGUGUAAGUGGUCUUAACUGGGAUAAAAUGUGCUACCUUUGUCAAACGAUCAACUACUACCCAUAUCGAAUCGUAGCCUGCCUUUGUCCUGGGUAGUCCCGUGAUAAAAUCCAUGCCUAUCUUAUCCCACUUCCAUUCGGGUAUCGGCAAUGGUUGUAACAAUCCUGCUGGCUUCUGAUGCUCUACCUUCACUCUCUGACAUACGUCACAAACUGCUACAUAUGCUGCAAUAUCCUUCUUCAUUCCGGUCCACCAGAAUGUUUCCUUCAAAUCCAAAUACAUCUUGGUAUUCCCUGGGUGAAUUGAAUACGAUGAAUCAUGUGCCUCUUGCAAAAUCAACUUCCUGAUCUCCGGGUCAUUUGGCACAUAAACACGGUCCUCAAACCAUAGGGUAUCGUGCUCAUCCUCACGAAAUCCCUUUGCUUUUCCUUCGCUCAAUUUCUCUUUUAUAGCAGCAAUCUGCUUGUCAGAUUUUUGAGCUUCUCUGAUCUUAUCCAUCAAUGUUGACUAAAUCUCCAAUGUUGCUACAUAGCCUCUCGGAACUAUUUCCAAACAUAGCUCACGAAGAUUUUCUGCUAACUCCUUUGGUAUUUUCCCCGUCAUUAGAGUUUUGACAUGGCUCUUACGGCUCAAUGCGUCAGCUACUACAUUAGCUUUUCCGGGAUGGUAAUGCAACCUCAUGUCAUAAUACUUGAUGAGCUCCAACCAUCAUCCUUUGUCUGAGGUUCAACUCCUUCUGGGUGAAAAUGUACUUCAAACUCUUGUGAUCCAUGUACACCUCACAAUGAUUUCCAAUGAGGAAAUGUCUCCAUGUUUUCAAUGCAUGCACUACGGCUGCUAACUCCAAAUCAUGCGUGGCAUAAUUCAACUCAUGAGGCUUCAGUUGCCGUGAAGCAUAUGAAACAACUCUCCCUUCCUGCAUAAGCACUGCUCCCAGUCCUCGACGUGAAGCGUCGCAAUACACCUCAUAAUCCUUGGUCUGAUCUGGCAAAAUCAAUACUGGUGAGGUGACCAAACGUUUCUUCAACUCCGGGAAACUAGCCUCACACUCCUCAGUCCAUUUUGAACUUAGUAUCCUUCUUCAACAACUCCAUCAUAGGCUUCACAAUCUUUGAGAAAUUCUCAAUAAACCUCCGGUAGUAUCCUGCGAGUCCAAGAAAACUCGGGAUCUCUCCAACUGUUGUUGGUGCUUCCCAUUCGGUUACGGUCUCAACCUUUGUGGGGUCAACUGCUAUACCUUCUCCGGAUAUAACGUGUCCGAGGAAUCCAACUUCCUUCAACCAAAACUCACAUUUGCUGAAUUUGGCGUAUAACUGGUGUUCCCUUAGUUUCUCCAAAACCAAACGCAAAUGUUCCUUAUGCUCCUCUUCAUUCUUUGAAUAAACCAGGAUGUCAUCAAUGAACACUACGACGAACUUAUCCAAAAACUCCAUAAACACUUUGUUCAUCAGGUUCAUAAAAUAGGCAGGUGCGUUAGUCAAUCCAAAUGACAUAACGGUAUACUCAUACAGUCCAUAUCUUGUGGUGAAUGAUGUCUUAGGUAUGUCCUGCUCUCGAAUCUUCAAUUGAUGGUACCCUGAUCGCAAAUCGAUCUUGGAAAACACUUUAGCCCCUUGCAACCGAUCAAACAGAUCGUUGAUCAUUGGCAGUGGGUACUUGUUCUUGGUGGUUACUUCAUUCAAUCCCCGAUAAUCUACAACCAUCCUUAAUGAUCCAUCCUUCUUUUCCACUAGAAGUACGGGUGAUCCCCAAGGCGAAGAACUUGGGCGAAUGUAACCUUUAUCCAAUAACUCCUUAAUCUGAUUCUUAAUUUCCACCAAAUCCUUUGCUGGCAUCCGGUACGGUCGCUUCCAUAUUGGCCCAGUGCCUGGCAAUAGCUCAAUCAAAAACUCAAUGUCUCUAUCCGGUGGCAUGCCUGGCAAUUCCUCAGGAAAUACAUCAGGAAAAUCCUUCACCACUGGUACUUCCUCUUGCACAACUCCUGUUAGGCAGUUUACUUGUGUCCUGUUUGGCACAUGCCGGGAUACAUACUUGAUCCUUCUUCCUUCUGGUGUGGUAAGCAAAACUGUCCUACUGGCGCAAUCGAUGUUUCCUCCAUACAUCGACAGCCAAUCCAUACCAAGAAUCACAUCCAAUCCUUGAGAUUCCAAUACUAUUAGGUCUGAGGGAAACACAUAGUUACCAAUCCUUAAUGGUAACCGAUCACACCAUCGUCUAGCCAUAAACUCCGCUCCUGGUGAGCUUACUAACAUGGGUGUCCUAAGGGCUUGGGUUGGCAGGUUAUAUUUAUCCACAAAUCCCCUUGAUAUGUAUGAAUGCGAUGCACCGGUAUCAAAAAGAACAAGUGCAGUAAAUGACUUAACCAGAAACUUACCGAUUACUGCAUCAGGCUGAUCUUCAACCUCCUCCACAUUAAUGUGGUUCACCUGUCCCCUAUUGAAAGGGUUCGGUUUCUUCCCAGAGCUUCCAUUGCCAUUUCCAUUCUGGCCUUCGGGACAUUCAUUGGCAUAAUGUCCGGUCUUAGAACAGUUGAAAUAGGUGACUUGACUAAGAUCUCUCUUGGUUGGGGUCGAUGGGGUGGUCCGGUUCUGGUCGUUGCUUCCUCCAUUCCCAUUACCAUUCUUGUGGCCAUUGUGGUUGUGCGAACUACCUACUCCAUGGGUAUGCUGAAACUAAAAUCCCGGUUUUGGGGUAAAACGGGGCUUCUGCUGGGCUCUAGAAUUAUACUUCCCCUGUCCAUACUUCCUCUUACGGUUCUCAAUCUGCUGUUGCUUUCCUUCAAUCAUGAUGGCACGAUCUACCAACUCCUGGUAGUUGUUGAAACUCGCUACCAUCAACUUCAUGCUUAGGUCAUCAUUCAGUCCUUCCAGAAACUUCUCCUGCUUAGUCACAUCCGUAGCAACGUCAUCUGGGGCAUAACACGCUAACUUGCUGAAAUCGUCAACGUACUGGCCAACUGUCCUUCCUCCUUGGCGUAAGUUGCGAAACUCACGCUUCUUCAUGGCCAUAGCUCCUGCUGAAACAUGGGCAGUGCAAAAAGCUUGCUGAAACUGAUCCCAUGUGACAGUGUCAACUGGGUAAGUGGCUGUGAAAUUCUCCCACCAUGCUGCCACGGGUCCGUCAAGCUGGUGAGCGGCAAACUUCACUUUCUCACCAUCCGUGCAUCCUGCAGUGGUCAACUCCCUUCCUAUCUUGCGGAGCCAAUCGUCUGCUACUAUCGGCUCGGUGCUACUGGAAAACACCGGCGGAUUCAGCCUAAGGAAACGGGCUAAGUGGUCAACAGGUGGUGGUGGUGGUGGGUUGUUGUUGUUUCCCUGAUUCUGAUUCUAAACUAGCAACUGCAUCAAGGUGUUCUGCUGCUGGAUCAACUGGGUGAGCUCCGGCGGAAAGGCAAAUCCGGGGUCACGUCUCGGAGGCAUCUGAGGGUUUAGAGAAGACGAGAAUUAAGAAUAGAGUGAGGUCUAAAGGGAAAACACUACCCCAAUGCACAUGAGCAAAUGCACACAAAAUCACUUCAUUCAAUCAAACAAGGGCUUACAAUCAGUCUAACUAUCGCAAAAGUGCUCGAACUAUAAUGUUUACAUGGGGGAAUACUACUAUUAUCUGGUGGUCAUCUAGAAAUUUGAACCUGUGGAAGACUCCAUGAUAUCUGCUCCAGCUUCGUCUUCAAAGUCGGGUUCACUUGGAUCCGAAUCGGUGUCGUCGAUGAUGACGUAGUUGUCCGGACAUGCGACGUACAUGUCUUCCUUCCUGGAUGCUAACUUCCUCUUGAGUUCUUCAAUCUCCUGCUUAAGAUCGCCAGUGUGUCUUGCUAGAGCUACGAUCUCGUCCAUGUAGUCCUUGCGUGUAGACUUCAGUUCUCCUUCUAGCUCGAUGAUCCUUGCCUUUGCAUUCUUCAACUCUAUCAUAUCAUUGCACAUCUGGUUCUUGUGGCGUCGAAUGUGCUAGUUUAACUCCUGGAUGAAAGAUGCAAUGGAUCUAUCCUUCUUGGUGCUGACUAACUCCCAUUGUUCAUCUCGGCGUCCGCAAAUCUGGUAGAUAGUGUCCUUGAGGUCUUCUUGGUAAACUUCUCCAAUGCGUCCUAUGGUGAUAUGAGCUGCCAUGCUCUUUCCCAGACUCCAGGUUGGUGCAUUGAAAACACUAUCUAUAGGCUUCGUGAUUGGCGCGAAUGUUCUUCCCGGAACAUGAGCUUGAAUCUUCCAGCGCUCCUCUUCAGGCAGAGUGGCAUUGAAGGUUCCCGUGAAGCUUGGUAAUCCAAUGUUUAGGUACUUGGUGACUUCCUUCAGGUGAAAUCCAAAUGGUGUGCCUUCAUCCGGUUGAGCGUACUUAAUCUUCGCGUUCGUCAUCCUAAAAGAGUAGAAAAGAUGAGGAGUUUAGAAAAUGAGAAGAGAAGGGUGAUCUAUGGCUUUAACUUAGUGGUCGUGUCCUACAGUCAGCGUGUGCUCUGAUACCAUCUCUGUAGCGACCCGACCCGAAUGGAUCAAGUGCUCUGUGCUCAGGUGUCAUCCCUGGAUCAGUAAUGCUGACACCACACAGUACAUCAAAGGAUUUAUAGCAGAGUGGCAAUCACACACUUAUUACAUCGUUGUCUCAAAGAGAACUUUACAAUAAAUAUGGCUUAAGGCCAUCUAAUAAUGAUAACAGCGGAAGACUCGGAAGAUAAAUGGGUCCAUCAACUCCAACGGCAUCACUGAGUAUAGGGCCACGACCUAAAAACACCUUACUCGUCGUCUGAAAAGUCUGCAACAUGAGAAGUUGCAGCCCGAAAACGGGUCAGCACAUGGAAUAUGCUGGCAAUGUAACACAUAGAGAGUAAUGGAAUGAAAUAGCUAUACUAUAUGCAUAUAAGGCUGGUGGAAAGCUCUAUGGUUACAGUUUUGCGUAAAGCCAGUUUUUCCCUACUGCAAAGGAAUAAAUUUGUUUAACUAUCAUGGUAGUUGUUAAACAUCGAGAAUGGUUGACAACAUUCCGAUCCCAAUUAAGUGAACAGUUAAAACCCAACAACAUUAAUUAGAAGUAACAUGUUGAGAUUCACAUGAUAUUCAAGUACUAGAUACUCAAGUUGUCCAUAACCGGGGACACGGCUAAUCAUGAUUAGUUUGUACACUCUGCAGAGGUUUGCGCACUUUUCCCCACAUGACUCGAUCGCCUCCGUUUGUUUUCUCGCACUACAUGGUGUUUGAGAAACGGAUGACCGAGACAUAGUCUUUCAGAAGCACUAGCACCUUACAUGUGGGGUAGACCGUACCACCUACAACCCCUACAUCUGCUAGUCCACCCCGUAAGAGUUCGCACAACUUAGUCAACUAUGCCAGAGCCCAUAGUAGCAUGUGGCUGCACACGGAAGUUUCUAGCAUGAAUGAUCUUAUGAUCCCUUUGAGCCUGGGUGGUGGUCCAAAAUAAAACAGGCAAGUCCUGAUAGACAUCAGGUGCCUCAAUCCACCCAGAUGUGUGUUUAAGUUGCCACCUUAGAUAAACCAUUAAAAUUAUCAAUUCACAUCUGUCAUGGAUAUCACUCACCCAAUCCACGUCUACUAGCAUAGCAUGGCAUAAUAAGCAAACGUAGAAGUAACUCCCAAAGGUUUCAUAAUAAUACAGGUGAUAGGUACUACCUCAUCUACUUCCCAUCCCACAGUUUAAUUAGAUCCUAAUCAUGCAAUGUGUGAGGAUUGAUCUAAUGCAAUAAAACAUGGGUUGUAGAAAAGGUAUGAUCAAAGUGUUACUUGCCUUGCUGAUGAUCCGCGAGACCUAGGGUUCCGAAGUAACAAGCGGCGCAAUUCGGGUGAUCUAUCGCAGACAAACAACAAGCAUACAAUAAGUACUCAUCUAAUGCACAGGUAAAACUCGAACAAGAGAACGAACCAGAAAAUUCAACUUAAGAACUCCGGUUGCAAAGAAAGAAAGAACCGAACAAGGAAACGGAAAACAAAAGGCGGAAGAAAACAACUCGGUUCUAGCAAGUUGAAACUAGGUCAAAUUUUACCGGGGCAAAAACUUGUUUAGGUUGGUUAGAUGGAACGGCGGUUUCGAAACGAAACUCUAGGCGCUUGAAUCACCUGAUUCCGAUAAACGAGCGAGAAGAAAGACUAGAACGAAGAUCGGAUCUGAGAUCGCGAUCGCGGAAUAAAUCCGACGAAAAGAAAGAGAUGAACAGUUAAACGAACGGGCGUCAUUAGCCGGGGAAUAAUCGGUGAUCACGUUCGUUGAGACGAACGGUCCGAAAGAAGAACGAAAACUGAUCUAGGGUUUUCGGAAAAGAAACCGAAAAAGAAACGGAAAACCGAUCUAGGGGUUCGGAAGAAAAUCGAAACAAAACCGGAAGAAAAAGAAAAGAAUCGGAGAGAAAACGGAACGGUUCUUUUAGGAAAAACCGGACCGGGGAAGAAAAAAGAGGCGCGGCGCGGGGCUACCUCCGGCGAGGCGGAACUCCGACAGCGGCGAGGCAAGAGCGGCGGCGGCGGCUAUAGGCGCGGGGCGGCGGGUGAGGGGCGCGGGGUGGGGCUGCGCGCUGCUGCUUGCUGCGGCUUAGGAGGAGAGGGGCUUGGGGUUUUGAUUUGAUGUUUUGGAGGGGGGAUGUUGGUAUUUAUAUAGGUGAGGGGAGGGGGUUUCUUGGGGUAGGGGACAAGAAAUAGAGUAGGAAAAGGAAAACGAAACAAAGGAAAGAGGGCUAGAACCGGCCUUGAGUCCCUCUGGGACUCGGCCUGGGCGAGGGGAGGCGGCGGCUGGCGCCUGGCGCCUGGCGCGCAGCGCUGCUGGGGGCGGCGGCGGGCUGGGCCUUUGGCCCGGCUGGCCUGCGGGAGUUCCCUUUUUUUUAAAUCGGUUACGCGCGCAGAAAAACAAAAGAAAAACUAUCUGAACGAACUCCGAAAAUUACUAAAGUAAAUUUUCCUCGACUCCUAAAAAUGAGCCGAACAAAAUGAACUUUACUCCGGGCCUAAAAUGCAAUUUUCGAAAACGCGCAUUUUUCCCUAUCCAAAUAGAAAGCAAACAAAACUCCGGCAAAACCAAAAUUUGAUUUAUUCAUUAGAUCUUCAUUUUUCCUAACUUUGGGAAAGUCGUAUUAUUCCCUCUCUCAUAUUGUGAUAUUGGGAAAAUAAUUGAAGAUGAAAUAAAAUAAAUCAAAUGAUCCUCUUUUCAAAAUUUGAGAAAACUCAAAUAUGAAAAUAACGAAAUCUCCAACUCUCUCCGAGGGUCCUUGAGUUGCGUGAAAUUUCUAGGAUCGGGCAAAAUGCAAGAAAAUAUGACAUGCAUGAUGAUCUAAUGUAUAACAUUCCAAAUUGAAAAUUUGGGAUGUUACAAACCUGCCCCCCUUAAAAUGAAUCUCGCCCUCGAGAUUCGGAUUGGCUAGAAAAUAGGCGAGGGUGGUCCUUGAGCAAAUCUUCUUCUCUCUCCCAGGUGGCUUCAUCCUCUGAGUGGUGGUUCCACUGAACUUUGCAAAACUUGAUAACCUUGCUGCGAGUAACUCUGCUGGCAUAAUCAAGAAUCUUGACUGGCUUCUCCUCAUAUGUCAAGUCAUCCUCCAACUGAAUCGCUUCGAGUGGCACGGUAUCUCUUAGCGGUACCUCUGCCAUCUCGGCAUGACAUUUCUUAAGCUGAGAAACAUGGAAUACAUCAUGAACUCCUGAUAGUCCCUCUGGUAAUUCCAGCUUAUAAGCGACUUCUCCCAUAUGUUGCAAGAUCUUGUACGGUCCAACGAAACGCGGUGCUAACUUUCCCUUAACUCCAAAGCGCUUAACUCCUCGAAGUGGGGAUACUCGGAGAUAAACUCUGUCUCCGGUUUCGUAAAGUGUCUCCUUGCGUUUAGAAUCUGCGUAGCUCUUCUGCCUGGACUGGGCUACCUUGAGCCUAUCGCGAAUCAACUUAACUUUCCGUUCAGACUCCUUAAUCAAAUUUGGUCCAAAGAAUUGACGGUCUCCAACUUCGUCCCAUGACAACGGUGUCCUGCACCUCCUUCCGUAUAAAGCUUCGAAAGGUGCCAUCUUCAAACUGGUUUGGUAACUGUUGUUAUAAGAAAACUCCGCAUAGGGCAAGUUAUCAUCCCAACUAGAUCCAUAAUCUAGUGCAAAAGCUCUCAGCAUAUCUUCCAAAAUCUAAUUGACUCUCUCGGUCUGUCCAUCCGUCUACGGAUGAAAAGCUGUGCUGAACUCUAGUCUGGUUCCUAAAGUUUCAUGCAACUGAUUCCAAAACUUUGAAGUAAAUUGAGUUCCUCUAUCUGAUACGAUACUCCUCGGAACUCCAUGCAAACAAAUGAUCCUAGUCAUGUAUAUCUUCGCCUACUUAGGACUGGUGUAAGUGGUCUUAACUGGGAUAAAAUGUGCUACCUUUGUCAAACGAUCAACUACUACCCAUAUCAAAUCAUAGCCUGCCUUUGUCCUGGGUAGUCCCGUGAUAAAAUCCAUGCCUAUCUUAUCCCACUUCCAUUCGGGUAUCGGCAAUGGUUGUAACAAUCCUGCUGGCUUCUGAUGCUCUGCCUUUACUCUCUGACAUACGUCACAAACUGCUACAUAUGCUGCAAUAUCCUUCUUCAUUCCGGUUCACCAGAAUGUUUCCUUCAAAUCCAAAUACAUCUUGGUAUUCCCUGGGUGAAUCGAAUACGGUGAAUCAUGUGCCUCUUGCAAAAUCAACUUCCUGAUCUCCGGGUCGUUUGGCACAUAAACACGGUCCUCAAACCAUAGGGUAUCGUGCUCAUCCUCACGAAAUCCCUUUGCUUUUCCUUCGCUCGGUUUCUCUUUUAUAGUAGCAAUCUCCUUGUCAGAUUUUUGAGCUUCUCUGAUCUUAUCCAUCAAUGUUGACUAAAUCUCCAAUGUUGCUACAUAGCCUCUCGGAACUAUUUCCAAACAUACUCACGAAGAUUUUCUGCUAACUCCUUUGGUAUUUUCCCCGUCAUUAGAGUUUUGACAUGGCUCUUACGGCUCAAUGCGUCAGCUACUACAUUAGCUUUUCCGGGAUGGUAAUGCAACCUCAUGUCAUAAUCCUUGAUGAGCUCCAACCAUCAUCCUUUGUCUGAGGUUCAACUCCUUCUGCGUGAAAAUGUACUUCAAACUCUUGUGAUCCGUGUACACCUCACAAUGAUUUCCAAUGAGGAAAUGUCUCCACGUUUUCAAUGCAUGCACUACGGCUGCUAACUCCAAAUCAUGCGUGGCAUAAUUCAACUCAUGAGGCUUCAGUUGCCGUGAAGCAUACGAAACAACUCUCCCUUUCUGCAUAAGCACUGCUCCAAGUCCUCGACGUGAAGCGUCGCAAUACACCUCAUAAUCCUUGGUCUGAUCUGGCAAAAUCAAUACUGGUGAGGUGACCAAACGUUUCUUCAACUCCUGGAAACUAGCCUCACACUCCUCAGUCCAUUUGAACUUAGUAUCCUUCUUCAACAACUCCGUCAUAGGCUUCGCAAUCUUUGAGAAAUUCUCAAUAAACCUCCGGUAGUAUCCUGCGAGUCCAAGAAAACUCGGGAUCUCUCCAACUGUUGUUGGUGCUUCCCAUUCGGUGACGGUCUCAACCUUUGUGGGGUCAACUGCUAUACCUUCUCCGGAUAUAACGUGUCCGAGGAAUCCAACUUCCUUCAACCAAAACUCACAUUUGCUGAAUUUGGCGUAUAACUGGUGUUCCCUUAGUUUCUCCAAAACCAAAUGCAAAUGUUCCUUAUGCUCCUCUUCAUUCUUUGAAUAAACCAGGAUGUCAUCAAUGAACACUACGACGAACUUAUCCAAAAACUCCAUAAACACUUUGUUCAUCAGGUUCAUAAAAUAGGCAGGUGCGUUAGUCAAUCCAAAUGACAUAACGGUAUACUCAUACAGUCCAUAUCUUGUGGUGAAUGCUAUCUUAGGUAUGUCCUUCUCUCGAAUCUUCAAUUGAUGGUACCCUGAUCGCAAAUCGAUCUUGGAAAACACUUUAGCUCCUUGCAACCGAUCAAACAGAUCGUUGAUCAUUGGCAGUGGGUACUUGUUCUUGAUGGUUACUUCAUUCAAUCCCCGAUAAUCUACAACCAUCCUUAAUGAUCCAUCCUUCUUUUCCACUAGAAGUACGGGUGAUCCCCAAGGCGAAGAACUUGGGCGAAUGUAACCUUUAUCCAAUAACUCCUUAAUCUGAUUCUUAAUUUCCACCAAAUCCUUUGUUGGCAUCCGGUACGGUCGCUUCGAUAUUGGCCUAGUGCCUGGCAAUAGCUCAAUCAAAAACUCAAUGUCUCUAUCCGGUGGCAUGCCUGGCAAUUCCUCAGGAAAUACAUCAGGAAAAUCCUUCACCACUGGUACUUCCUCUUGCACAACUCCUGUUAGGCAGUUUACUUGUGUCCUGUUUGGCACAUGCCGGGAUACAUACUUGAUCCUUCUUCCUUCUGGUGUGGUAAGCAAAACUGUCCUACUGGCGCAAUCGAUGUUUCCUCCAUACAUCGACAACCAAUCCAUACCAAGAAUCACAUCCAAUCCUUGAGAUUCCAAUACUAUUAGGUCUGAGGGAAACACAUAGUUACCAAUCCUUAAUGGUAACCGAUCACACCAUCGUCUAGCCAUAAACUCCGCUCCUGGUGAGCUUACUAACAUGGGUGUCCUAAGGGCUUGGGUUGGCAGGUUAUAUUUAUCCACAAAUCCCCUUGAUAUGUAUGAAUGCGAUGCACCGGUAUCAAAAAGAACGAGUGCAGUAAAUGACUUAACCAGAAACUUACGAUUACUGCAUCAGGCUGAUCUUCAACCUCCUCCACAUUAAUGUGGUUCACCUGUCCCCUAUUGAAAGGGUUCGGUUUCUUCCCAGAGCUUCCAUUGCCACUUCCAUUCUGGCCUUCGGGACAUUCAUUGGCAUAAUGUCCGGUCUUAGAACACUUGAAACAGGUGACUUGACUCAGAUCUCUCUUGGUUGGGGUCGAUGGGGUGGUCCGGUUCUGGCCGUUGCUUCCUCCAUUCCCAUUACCAUUCUUGUGGCCAUUAUGGUUGUGCGAACUACCUCCUCCAUGGGUAUGCUGAAACUAAAAUCCCGGUUUUUGGGUAAAACGGGGCUUCUAUUGGGCUCCAGAAUUAUACUUCCCCUGUCCAUACUUCCUCUUACGGUUCUCAAUCUGCUGUUGCUUUCCUUCAAUCAUGAUGGCACGAUCUACCAACUCCUGGUAGUUGUUGAAACUCGCUACCAUCAACUUCAUGCUUAGUUCAUCAUUCAGUCCUUCCAGAAACUUCUCCUGCUUAGCUGCAUCCGUAGCAACGUCAUCUGGGGCAUAACGCGCUAACUUGCUGAAAUCGUCAACGUACUGCCCAACUAUCCUUCCUCCUUGGCGUAAGUUGCGAAACUCACGCUUCUUCAUGUCCAUAGCUCCUGCUGAAACAUGGGCAGUGCGGAAAGCUUGCUGAAACUGAUCCCAUGUGACAGUGUCAACUGGGUAAGUGGCUGUGAAAUUCUCCCACCAUGCUGCCGCGGGUCCGUCAAGCUGGUGAGCGGCAAACUUCACUUUCUCACCAUCCGUGCAUCCUGCAGUGGUCAACUCCCUUCCUAUCUUGCGGAGCCAAUCGUCUGCUACUAUCGGCUCGGUGCUACUGGAAAACACCGGCGGAUUCAGCCUAAGGAAACGGGCUAAGUGGUCAACAGGUGGUGGUGGUGGUGGGUUGUUGUUGUUUCCCUGAUUCUGAUUCUAAACUAGCAACUGCAUCAAGGUGUUCUGCUGCUGGAUCAACUGGGUGAGCUCCAGCGGAAAGGCAAAUCCGGGGUCACGUCUCGGAGGCAUCUGAGGGUUUAGAAAAGACGAGAAUUAAGAAUAGAGUGAGGUCUAAAGGCAAACACUACCCCAAUGCACAUGAGCAAAUGCACACAAAAUCACUUCAUUCAAUCAAACAAGGGCUUACAAUCGGUCUAACUAUCGCAAAAGUGCUCGAACUAUAAUGUUUACAUGGGGGAAUACUACUAUUAUCUGGUGGUCAUAUAGAAAUUUGAACCGGUGGAAGACUCCAUGAUAUCUGCUCCAGCCUCGUCUUCAAAGUCGGGUUCACUUGGAUCCGAAUCGGUGUCGUCGAUGAUGACGUAGUUGUCCGGACAUGCGACGUACAUGUCUUCCUUCCUGGAUGCUAACUUCCUCUUGAGUUCUUCAAUCUCCUGCUUAAGAUCGCCAGUGUGUCUUGCUAGAGCUACGAUCUCGUCCAUGUAGUCCUUGCGUGUAGACUUCAGUUCUCCUUCUAGCUCGAUGAUCCUUGCCUUUGCAUUCUUCAACUCUAUCAUAUCAUUGCACAUCUGGUUCUUGUGGCAUCGAAUGUGCUGGUUUAACUCCUGGAUGAAAGAUGCAAUGGAUCUAUCCUUCUUGGUGCUGACUAACUCCCAUUGUUCAUCUCGGCGUCCGCAAAUCUGGUAGAUAGUGUCCUUGAGGUCUUCUUGGUAAACUUCUCCAAUGCGUCCUAUGGUGAUAUGAGCUGCUAUGCUCUUUCCCAGACUCCAGGUUGGUGCAUUGAAAACACUAUCUAUAAGCUUCGUGAUUGGCACGAAUGUUCUUCCCGGAACAUGAGCUUGAAUCUUCCAGCGCUCCUCUUCAGGCAGAGUGGCGUUGAAGGUUCCCGUGAAGCUUGGUAAUCCAAUGUUUAAGUACUUGGUGACUUCCUUCAGGUGAAAUCCAAAUGGUGUGCCUUCAUCCGGUUGAGCAUACUUAAUCUUCGCGUUCGUCAUCCUAAAAGAGUAGAAAAGAUGAGGAGUUUAGAAAAUGAGAAGAGAAGGGUGAUCUAUGGCUUUAACUUAGUGGUCGUGUCCUACAGUCAGCGUGUGCUCUGAUACCAUCUCUGUAGCGACCCGACCCGAAUGGAUCAAGUGCUCUGUGCUCAGGUGUCAUCCCUGGAUCAGUAAUGCUGACACCACACAGUACAUCGAAGGAUUUAUAGCAGAGUGGCAAUCACACACUUAUUACAUCAUUGUCUCAAAGAGAACUUUACAAUAAAUAUGGCUUAAGGCCAUCUAAUAAUGAUAACAGCGGAAGACUCGGAAGAUAAAUGGGUCCAUCGACUCCAACGGCAUCACUGAGUAUAGGGCCACGACCUAAAAACACCUUACUCAUCAUCUGAAAAGUCUGCAACAUGAGAAGUUGCAGCCCGAAAACGGGUCAGCACAUGGAAUAUGCUGGCAAUGUAACACAUAGAGAGUAAUGGAAUGAAAUAGCUAUACUAUAUGCAUAUAAGGCUGGUGGAAAGCUUUAUGGUUACAGUUUUGCGUAAAGCCAGUUUUUCCCUACUGCAAAGGAAUAAAUUUGUUUAACUAUCAUGGUAGUUGUUAAACAUCGAGAAUGGUUGACAGCAUUCCGAUCCCAAUUAAGUGAACAGUUAAAAACCAACAACAUUAAUUAGAAGUAACAUGUUGAGAUUCACAUGAUAUUCAAGUACUAGAUACUCAAGUUGUCCAUAACCGGGGACACGGCUAAUCAUGAUUAGUUUGUACACUCUGCAGAGGUUUGCGCACUUUUCUCCACAUGACUCGAUCGCCUCCGUUUGUUUUCUCGCACUACAUGGUGUUUGAGAAACGGAUGACCGAGACAUAGUCUUUCAGAAGCACUAGCACCUUACAUGUGGGGUAGACCGUACCACCUACAACCCCUACAUCUGCUAGUCCACCCCGUAAGAGUUCGCACAACUUAGUCAACUAUGCCAGAGCCUAUAGUAGCAUGUGGCUGCACACAGAAGUUUCUAGCAUGAAUGAUCUUAUGAUCCCUUUGAGCCUGGGUGGCGGUCCAAAAUAAAACAGGCAAGUCCUGAUAGACAUCAGGUGCCUCAAUCCACCCAGAUGUGUGUUUAAGUUGCCACCUUAGAUAAACCAUUAAAAUUAUCAACUCACAUCUGUCAUGGAUAUCACUCACCCAAUCCACGUCUACUAGCAUAGCAUGGCAUAAUAAGCAAAUGUAGAAGUAACUCCCGAAGGUUUCGUAAUAAUACAGGUGAUAGGUACUACCUCAUCUACUUCCCAUCCCACAGUUUAAUUAGAUCCUAAUCAUGCAAUGUGUGAGGAUUGAUCUAAUGCAAUAAAACAUGGGUUGUAGAAAAGGUAUGAUCAAAGUGUUACUUGCCUUGCUGAUGAUCCGCGAGACCUAGGGUUUCGAAGUAACAAGCGGCGCAAUCCGGGUGAUUUAUCGCAAACAAACAACAAGCAUACAAUAAGUACUCAUCUAAUGCACAGGAAAAACUCGAACAAGAGAACGAACCAGAGAAUUCAACUUAAGAACUCCGGUUGCAAAGAAAGAAAGAACCGAACAAGGAAACGGAAAACUAAAAGGCGGAAGAAAACAACUCGGUUCUAGCAAGUUGAAACUAGGUCAAAUUUUACCGGGGCAAAAACUUCUUUAGGUUGAUUAGACGGAACGGCGGUUUCGAAACGAAACUCCAGGCGCUUGAAUCACCUGAUUCCGAUAAACGAGUGAGAAGAAAGACUAGAACGAAGAUCGGAUCUGAGAUCGCGAUCACGGAAUAAAUCCGACGAAAAGAAAGAGACGAACGGUUAAACGAACGGGCAUCGUUAACCGGGGAAUAAUCGGUGAUCACGUUCGUUGAGAUGAACGGUCCAAAAUAAGAACGAAAAUCGAUCUAGGGUUUUCGGAAAAGAAACCGAAAAAGAAAUGGAAAACCGAUCUAGGGUUUCGGAAGAAAACUGAAACAAAAUCGGAAGAAAAAGAAAAGAAUCGGAGAGAAAACGGAAUGGUUCUUUUAGGAAAAACCGGACCGGGGAAGAAAAAAGAGGCGCGGCGCGGGGCUACCUCCGGCGAGGCGGAACUCCGACGGCGGCGAGGCAAGAGCGGCGGCGGCGGCUAUAGGUGCGGGGUGGCGGGUGAGGGGCGCGGGGUGGGGCUGCGCGCUGCUGCUUGCUGCGGCUUAGGAGGAGAGGGGCUUGGGGUUUUGAUUUGAUGUUUUGGAGGGGGGUGUUGGUAUUUAUAUAGGUGAGGGGAGGGGGUUUCUUGGGGUAGGGGACAAGAAAUAGAGUAGGAAAAGGAAAACGAAACAAAGGAAAGAGGGCUAGAACCGGCCUUGAGUCCCUUUGGGACUCAGCCUGGGUGAGGGGAGGCGGCGGCUGGCGCCUGGCGCCUGGCGCGCAGCGCUGCUGGGGGCGGCGGCUGGCUGGGCCUUUGGCCCGGCUGGCCUGCGGGAGUUCCCUUUUUUUAAAUCGGUUACGCGCGCAGAAAAACAAAAGAAAAACUAUCUAAACGAACUCCGAAAAUUACUAAAGUAAAUUUUCCCCGACUCCUAAAAAUGAGCCGAACAAAAUGAACUUUACUCCGGGCCUAAAAUGCAAUUUUCGAAAACGCGCAUUUUUCCCUAUCCAAAUAAAAAGCAAACAAAACUCCGGCAAAACCAAAAUUUGAUUUAUUCAUUAGAUCUUCAUUUUUCCUAACUUUGGGAAAGUCAUAUUAUUCCCUCUCUCAUAUUGUGAUAUUGGGAAAAAUAAUUGAAGAUGAAAUAAAAUAAAUCAAAUGAUCCUCUUUUCAAAAUUUGAGAAAACUCAAAUAUGAAAAUAACGAAAUCUCCAACUCUCUCCGAGGGUCCUUGAGUUGCGUGAAAUUUCUAGGAUCGGGCAAAAUGCAAGAAAAUAUGACAUGCAUGAUGAUCUAAUGUAUAACAUUCCAAAUUGAAAAUUUGGGAUGUUACAAACCUACCCCCCUUAAAAUGAAUCUCGCCCUCGAGAUUCGGGUUGGCUAGAAAAUAGGCGAGGGUGGUCCUUGAGCAAAUCUUCUUCUCUCUCCCAGGUGGCUUCAUCCUCUGAGUGGUGGUUCCACUGAACUUUGCAAAAUUUGAUAACCUUGCUGCGAGUAACUCUGCUGGCAUAAUCGAGAAUCUUGACUGGCUUCUCCUCAUAUGUCAAGUCAUCCUCCAACUGAAUCGCUUCGAGUGGCAUGGUAUCUCUUAGCGGUACCUCUGCCAUCUCGGCAUGACAUUUCUUAAGCUGAGAAACAUGGAAUACAUCAUGAACUCCUGACAGUCCCUCUGGUAAUUCCAACUUAUAAGCGACUUCUCCCAUACGUUGCAAGAUCUUGUACGGUCCAACGAAACGCGGUGCUAACUUUCCCUUAACUCCAAAGCGCUUAACUCCUCGAAGUGGGGAUACUCGGAGAUAAACUCUGUCUCCGGUUUCGUAAACUGUCUCCUUGCGUUUAGAAUAUGCGUAGCUCUUCUGCCUGGACUGGGCUACCUUGAGCCUAUCGCGAAUCAACUUAACUUUUCGUUCAGACUCCUUAAUCAAAUCUGGUCCAAAGAAUUGACGGUCUCCAACUUCGUCCCAUGACAACGGUGUCCUGCACCUCCUUCCGUAUAAAGCUUCGAAAGGUGCCAUCUUCAAACUGGUUUGGUAACUGUUGUUAUAAGAAAACUCCGCAUACGGCAAGUUAUCGUCCCAACUACAUCCAUAAUCUAGUGCACAAGCUCUCAGCAUAUCUUCCAAAAUCUGAUUGACUCUCUCGGUCUGUCCAUCCGUCUGCGGAUGAAAAGCUGUGCUGAACUCUAGUCUGGUUCCUAAAGUUUCAUGCAACUGAUUCCAAAACUUUGAAGUAAAUUGAGUUCCUCUAUCUGAUACGAUACUCCUCGGAACUCCAUGCAAACAAAUGAUCCUAGUCAUGUAUAUCUUCGCCAACUUAGCACUGGUGUAAGUGGUCUUAACUGGGAUAAAAUGUGCUACCUUUGUCAAACGAUCAACUACUACCCAUAUCGAAUCAUAGCCUGCCUUUGUCCUGGGUAGUCCCGUGAUAAAAUCCAUGCCUAUCUUAUCCCACUUCCAUUCGGGUAUCAGCAAUGGUUGUAACAAUCCUGCUGGCUUCUGAUGCUCUGCCUUUACUCUCUGACAUACGUCACAAACUGCUACAUAUGCUGCAAUAUCCUUCUUCAUUCCGGUCCACCAGAAUGUUUCCUUCAAAUCCAAAUACAUCUUGGUAUUCCCUGGGUGAAUCGAAUACGGUGAAUCAUGUGCCUCUUGCAAAAUCAACUUCCUGAUCUCCGGGUCAUUUGGCACAUAAACACGGUCCUCAAACCAUAGGGUAUCGUGCUCAUCCUCACGAAAUCCCUUUGCUUUUCCUUCGCUCAGUUUCUCUUUUAUAGCAGCAAUCUCCUUGUCAGAUUUCUGAGCUUCUCUGAUCUUAUACAUCAAUGUUGACUGAAUCUCCAAUGUUGCUACAUAGCCUCUCGGAACUAUUUCCAAAAAUAGCUCACGAAGAUUUUUUACUAACUCCUUUGGUAUUUUCCCCGUCAUUAGAGUUUUGACAUGGCUCUUACGGCUCAAUGCGUCAGCUACUACAUUAGCUUUUCCGGGAUGGUAAUGCAACCUCAUGUCAUAAUCCUUGAUGAGCUCCAACCAUCAUCCUUUGUCUAAGGUUCAACUCCUUCUGCGUGAAAAUGUACUUCAAACUCUUGUGAUCCGUGUACACCUCACAAUGAUUUCCAAUGAGGAAAUGUCUCCACGUUUUCAAUGCAUGCACUACGGCUGCUAACUCCAAAUUAUGCGUGGCAUAAUUCAACUCAUGAGGCUUCAGUUGCUGUGAAGCAUACGAAACAACUCUCCCUUCCUGCAUAAGCACUGCUCCAAGUCCUCGACGUGAAGCGUCGCAAUACACCUCAUAAUCCUUGGUCUGAUCUGGCAAAAUCAAUACUGGUGAGGUGACCAAACGUUUCUUCAACUCCUGGAAACUAGCCUCACACUCCUCAGUCCAUUUGAACUUAGUAUCCUUCUUCAACAACUCCGUCAUAGGCUUCGCAAUCUUUGAGAAAUUCUCAAUAAACCUCCGGUAGUAUCCUGCGAGUCCAAGAAAACUCUGGAUCUCUCCAACUGUUGUUGGUGCUUCCCAUUCAGUUACGGUCUCAACCUUUGUGGGGUCAACUACUAUACCUUCUCCGGAUAUAACGUGUCCGAGGAAUCCAACUUCCUUCAACCAAAACUCACAUUUGCUGAAUUUGGCGUAUAACUGGUGUUCCCUUAGUUUCUCCAAAACCAAACGCAAAUGUUCCUUAUGCUCCUCUUCAUUCGUUGAAUAAACCAGGAUGUCAUCAAUGAACACUGCGACGAACUUAUCCAAAAACUCCAUAAACACUUUGUUCAUCAGGUUCAUAAAAUAGGCAGGUGCGUUAGUCAAUCCAAAUGACAUAACGGUAUACUCAUAUAGUCCAUAUCUUGUGGUGAAUGUUGUCUUAGGUAUGUCCUGCUCUCGAAUCUUCAAUUGAUGGUACCCUGAAAGCAAAUCGAUCUUGGAAAACACUUUAGCUCCUUGCAACCGAUCAAACAGAUCGUUGAUCAUUGGCAGUGGGUACUUGUUCUUGAUGGUUACUUCAUUCAAUCCCCGAUAAUCUACAACCAUCCUUAAUGAUCCAUCCUUCUUUUCCACUAGAAGUACGGGUGAUCCCCAAGGCGAAGAACUUGGGCGAAUGUAACCUUUAUCCAAUAACUCCUUAAUCUGAUUCUUAAUUUCCACCAAAUCCUUUGCUGGCAUCCGGUACGGUCGCUUCGAUAUUGGCCCAGUGCCUGGCAAUAGCUCAAUCAAAAACUCAAUGUCUCUAUCUGGUGGCAUGCCUGGCAAUUCCUCAGGAAAUACAUCAGGAAAAUCCUUCACCACUGGUACUUCCUCUUGCACAACUCCUGUUAGGCAGUUUACUUGUGUCCUGUUUGGCACAUGCCGGGAUACAUACUUGAUCCUUCUUCCUUCUGGUGUGGUAAGCAAAACUGUACUACUGGCGCAAUCGAUGUUUCCUCCAUACAUCGACAGCCAAUCCAUACCAAGAAUCACAUCCAAUCCUUGAGAUUCCAAUACUAUUAGGUCUGAGGGAAACACAUAGUUACCAAUCCUUAAUGGUAACCGAUCACACCAUCGUCUAGCCACAAACUCCGCUCCUGGUGAGCUUACUAACAUGGGUGUCCUAAGGGCUUGGGUUGGCAGGUUAUAUUUAUCCACAAAUCCCCUUGAUAUGUAUGAAUGCAAUGCACCGGUAUCAAAAAGAACGAGUGCAGUAAAUGACUUAACCAGAAACUUACCGGUUACUGCAUCAGGAUGAUCUUCAACCUCCUCCACAUUAAUGUGGUUCACCUGUCCCCUAUUGAAAGGGUUCGGUUUCUUCCCACAGGUUCCAUUGCCAUUUCCAUUCUGGCCUUCGGGACAUUCAUUGGCAUAAUGUCCGGUCUUAGAACACUUGAAACAGGUGACUUGACUCAGAUCUCUCUUGGUUGGGGUCGAUGGGGUGGUCCGGUUCUGGCCGUUGCUUCCUCCAUUCCCAUUACCAUUCUUGUGGCCAUUAUGGUUGUGCGAACUACCUCCUCCAUGGGUAUGCUGAAACUGAAAUCCCGGUUUUGGGGUAAAACGAGGCUUCUGCUGGGCUCCAGAAUUAUACUUCCCCUGUCCAUACUUCCUCUUACGGUUCUCAAUCUGCUGUUGCUUUCCUUCAAUCAUGAUGGCACGAUCUACCAACUCCUGGUAGUUGUUGAAACUCGCUACCAUCAACUUCAUGCUUAGUUCAUCAUUCAGUCCUUCCAGAAACUUCUCCUGCUUAGCUGCAUCUGUAGCAACGUCAUCUGGGGCAUAACGCGCUAACUUGCUGAAAUUGUCAACGUACUGGCCAACUGUCCUUCCUCCUUGGCGUAAGUUGCGAAACUCACGCUUCUUCAUGGCCAUAGCUCCUGCUGAAACAUGGGCAGUGCGGAAAGCUUGCUGAAACUGAUCCCAUGUGACAGUGUCAACUGGGUAAGUGGCUGUGAAAUUCUCCCACCAUGCUGCCGCGGGUCCGUCAAGCUGGUGAGCGGCAAACUUCACUUUCUCACCAUCCGUGCAUCCUGCAGUGGUCAACUCCCUUCCUAUCUUGCGGAGCCAAUCGUCUGCUACUAUCGGCUCGGUGCUACUGGAAAACACCGGCGGAUUCAGCCUAAGGAAACGGGCUAAGUAGUCAACAGGUGGUGGUGGUGGUGGGUUGUUGUUGUUUCCCUGAUUCUGAUUCUAAACUAGCAACUGCAUCAAGGUGUUCUGCUGCUGGAUCAACUGGGUGAGCUCCGGCGGAAAGGCAAAUCCGGGGUCACGUCUCGGAGGCAUCUGAGGGUUUAGAAAAGACGAGAAUUAAGAAUAGAGUGAGGUCUAAAGGGAAAACACUACCCCAAUGCACAUGAGCAAAUGCACACAAAAUCACUUCAUUCAAUCAAACAAGGGCUUACAAUCGGUCUAACUAUCGCAAAAGUGCUCGAACUAUAAUGUUUACAUGGGGGAAUACUACUAUUAUCUGGUGGUCAUCUACAAAUUUGAACCGGUGGAAGACUCCAUGAUAUCUGCUCCAGCUUCGUCUUCAAAGUCGGGUUCACUUGGAUCCGAAUCGGUGUCGUCGAUGAUGACGUAGUUGUCCGGACAUGCGACGUACAUGUCUUCCUUCCUGGAUGCUAACUUCCUCUUGAGUUCUUCAAUCUCUUGCUUAAGAUCGCCAGUGUGUCUUGCUAGAGCUACGAUCUCUUCCAUGUAGUCUUUGCGUGUAGACUUCAGUUCUCCUUCUAGCUCGAUGAUCCUUGCCUUUGCAUUCUUCAACUCUAUCAUAUCAUUGCACAUCUGGUUCUUGUGGCGUCGAAUGUGCUGGUUUAACUCCUGGAUGAAAGAUGCAAUGGAUCUAUCCUUCUUGGUGCUAACUAACUCCCAUUGUUCAUCUCGGCGUCCGCAAAUCUGGUAGAUAGUGUCCUUGAGGUCUUCUUGGUAAACUUCUCCAAUGCGUCCUAUGGUGAUACGAGCUGCCAUGCUCUUUCCCACACUCCAGGUUGGUGCAUUGAAAACACUAUCUAUAGGCUUCGUGAUUGACGCGAAUGUUUUUCCCGGAACAUGAGCUUGAAUCUUCCAGCGCUCCUCUUCAGGCAGAGUGGCGUUGAAGGUUCCCAUGAAGCUUGGUAAUCCAAUGUUUAGGUACUUGGUGACUUCCUUCAGGUGAAAUCCAAAUGGUGUGCCUUCAUCCGGUUGAGCAUACUUAAUCUUCGCGUUCGUCAUCCUAAAAGAGUAGAAAAGAUGAGGAGUUUAGAAAAUGAGAAGAGAAGGGUGAUCUAUGGCUUUAACUUAGUGGUCGUGUCCUACAGUCAGCGUGUGCUCUGAUACCAUCUCUGUAGCGACCCGACCUGAAUGGAUCAAGUGCUCUGUGCUCAGGUGUCAUCCCUGGAUCAGUAAUGCUGACACCACACAGUACAUCGAAGGAUUUAUAGCAGAGUGGCAAUCACACACUUAUUACAUCGUUGUCUCAAAGAGAACUUUACAAUAAAUAUGGCUUAAGGCCAUCUAAUAAUGAUUACAGUGGAAGACUCGGAAGAUAAAUGGGUCCAUCAACUCCAACGGCAUCACUGAGUAUAGGGCCACGACCUAAAAACACCUUACUCGUCGUCUGAAAAGUCUGCAACAUGAGAAGUUGCAGCCCGAAAACGGGUCAGCACAUGGAAUAUGCUGGCAAUGUAACACAUAGAGAGUAAUGGAAUGAAACAGCUAUACUAUAUGCAUAUAAGGCUGGUGGAAAGCUCUAUGGUUACAGUUUUGCGUAAAGCCAGUUUUUCCCUACUGCAAAGGAAUAAAUUUGUUUAACUAUCAUGGUAGUUGUUAAACAUCGAGAAUGGUUGACAGCAUUCCGAUCCCAAUUAAGUGAACAGUUAAAACCCAACAACAUUAAUUAGAAGUAACAUGUUGAGAUUCACAUGAUAUUCAAGUACUAGAUACUCAAGUUGUCCAUAACCGGGGACACGGCUAAUCAUGAUUAGUUUGUACACUCUGCAGAGGUUUGCGCACUUUUCCCCACAUGACUCGAUCGCCUCCGUUUGUUUUCUCGCACUACAUGGUGUUUGAGAAACGGAUGACCGAGACAUAGUCUUUCAGAAGCACUAGCACCUUACAUGUGGGGUAGACCGUACCACCUACAACCCCUACAUCUGCUAGUCCACCCUGUAAGAGUUCGCACAACUUAGUCAACUAUGCCAGAGCCCAUAGUAGCAUGUGGCUGCACACGGAAGUUUCUAGCAUGAAUGAUCUUAUGAUCCCUUUGAGCCUGGGUGGCGGUCCAAAAUAAAACAGGCAAGUCCUGAUAGACAUCAGGUGCCUCAAUCCACCCAGAUGUGUGUUUAAGUUGCCACCUUAGAUAAACCAUUAAAAUUAUCAACUCACAUCUGUCAUGGAUAUCACUCACCCAAUCCACGUCUACUAGCAUAGCAUGGCAUAAUAAGCAAACGUAGAAGUAACUCCCAAAGGUUUCAUAAUAAUACAGGUGAUAGGUACUACCUCAUCUACUUCCCAUCCCACAGUUUAAUUAGAUCCUAAUCAUGCAAUGUGUGAGGAUUGAUCUAAUGCAAUAAAACAUGGGUUGUAGAAAAGGUAUGAUCAAAGUGUUACUUGCCUUGCUGAUGAUCCGCGAGACCUAGGGUUUCGAAGUAACAAGCGGCGCAAUCCGGGUGAUCUAUCACAGACAAACAACAAGCAUACAAUAAGUACUCAUCUAAUGCACAGGUAAAACUCGAACAAGAGAACGAACCAGAAAAUUCAACUUAAGAACUCCGGUUGCAAAGAAAGAAAGAACCGAACAAGGAAACGGAAAAUAAAAGGCGGAAGAAAACAACUCGGUUCUAGCAAGUUGAAACUAGGUCAAAUUUUACCGGGGCAAAAACUUGUUUAGGUUGAUUAGACGGAACGGCGGUUUCGAAAUGAAACUCCAGGCGCUUGAAUCACCUGAUUCCGAUAAACAAGCGAGAAGAAAGACUAGAACGAAGAUCGAAUCUGAGAUCGCGAUCGCGGAAUAAAUCCGACGAAAAGAAAGAGACGAACGGUUAAACGAACGGGCGUCGUUAAUCGAGGAAUAAUCGGUGAUCACGUUCGUUGAGACGAACGGUCCAAAAGAAGAUCGAAAACCGAUCUAGGGUUUUCGGAAAAGAAACCGAAAAAGAAACGGAAAACCCAUCUAGGGUUUCGGAAGAAAACCGAAACAAAACCAGAAGAAAAAGAAAAGAAUCGGAGAGAAAACGGAACGGUUCUUUUAGGAAAAACCUGACCGGGGAAGAAAAAAGAGGUGCGGCGCGGGGCUACCUCCGGCGAGGCGGAACUCCGAUGGCGGCGAGGCAAGAGCGGCGACGGCGGCUAUAGGCGCGGGGCGGCGGGUGAGGGGCGCGGGGUGGGGCUGCGUGCUGCUGCUUGCUGCGGCUUAGGAGGAGAGGGGCUUGGGGUUUUGAUUUGAUGUUUUGGAGGGGGGUGUUGGUAUUUAUAUAGGUGAGGGGAGGGGGUUUCUUGGGGUAGGGGACAAGAAAUAGAGUAGGAAAAGGAAAACGAAACAAAGGAAAGAGGGCUAGAACCAGCCUUGAGUCCCUCUGGGACUCGGCCUGGGCGAGGGAAGGCGGCGGCUGGGGCCUGGCGCCUGGCGCGCAGCGCUGCUGGGGGCGGCGGCUGGCUGGGCCUUUGGCCCGGCUGGCCUGCGGGAGUUCCCUUUUUUUUAAAUCGGUUACGCGCGCAGAAAAACAAAAGAAAAACUAUCUAAACGAACUCCGAAAAUUACUAAAGUAAAUUUUCCCCGACUCCUAAAAAUGAGCCGAACAAAAUGAACUUUACUCCGGGCCUAAAAUGCAAUUUUCGAAAACGCGCAUUUUUCCCUAUCCAAAUAAAAAGCAAACAAAACUCCGGCGAAACCAAAAUUUGAUUUAUUCAUUAGAUCUUCAUUUUUCCUAACUUUGGGAAAGUCAUAUUAUUCCCUCUCUCAUAUUGUGAUAUUGGGAAAAAUAAUUGAAGAUGAAAUAAAAUAAAUCAAAUGAUCCUCUUUUCAAAAUUUGAGAAAACUCAAAUAUGAAAAUAACGAAAUCUCCAACUCUCUCCGAGGGUCCUUGAGUUGCGUGAAAUUUCUAGGAUCGGGCAAAAUGCAAGAAAAUAUGACAUGCAUGAUGAUCUAAUGUAUAACAUUCCAAAUUGAAAAUUUGGGAUGUUACAAGAAAUAUAUGAGACCUCCGAUUGACGUUUCUGGGUUGGAGUGUUCGGUAAACCGGCUGAAGUAACUACAUGGCCACUGUGUCGGGUUGUGCGGCGAGCUUCAUGCUGCUAUUUCUUCAAAAGAAAGUUGGGAUCCAGAUAAGCUAGAGGGUGUGAAAAUUUUACUUUCAAGUUUGCUUGACGGUUUUUCUGUUUUGGCUGAGGAUCUGAACCGAAGGAAAGAAUAAUUACCUCUACAUCUUCAUCCCGGCUAGCUUUAGCGUCCUCCUGAUAUGGGUCAUUGUCAAUGAGGUGUAUAAAAAAUGAACCAAGAGAAUCAAGUUCUACCUAUGAGUCCAGAUUAUCAAGAUCCUCGUCGAGGUUCAGCCCGGUGGAUUCAGUUGUUUUCUUCUUAGCAGGUUUUUUGAUGACCUCUGUCUUGGGACGAGGGUUCUUGGCCGGUUUAUCCUAAGGUUUCUUCUUCCAAAAUGGGUCGUCACCCUGUUAAAAGAUUGACAAAGGUUAUAAGAAAAAGUUAAGAAUAUCAGGUACAAACAGGAGUUAGGCAAAUUCUUAUAGCUGGCGGUUUAUUCAAAACGCAGAAGGGACUUAGCCCUAUUUUGCUGCAGACAGCCACCGAUUCAUCCAGUAUCUUUUUAACAGCUUCAGUGAUUUCAACGUCCGUUAACUGAAUUUCAGUGUGUCGUCGAGGAUCUUUUGAGUCCCCUGUGUACUCGCACAUUAAACUGGGGCGACGGCUUAAAGGCAAAAUACUCCAAGAUAUCCAGCAAUGAACAAAUAGUAAAGAUCAAAUAGGACAGUUUGAGAAUUGCGUGAUGAUGUAAAUUUAAACCUUCUCACAAAUGAAUCAGUUAGGUAGUAGUACUGAGGGCACUUAUCUGCCAAGAAGCUCUCAAGAUCAGCGUUACGCACAUAUGCUUCAAAUUCCUCCUUAAUUCCUGCCUGAACCAUGAAGUCCUCUAACGACCAUUCACAAGGCCGCACUUGAGCAUCUCUUGGUAGUUCAUUGUCCGGCUCGUGUAUUGCGGGCCUUGGGCCUUGCUUCCUUGAGGAACCACCUUGGUACAUUUUCCUAAACAUAUUUCUUCCUCUGAAAAAUUUCUAAAUUUUUUAGUAACUUAAAAAUAAAAGUGAACCAAACUCAACAAAAUUGAUAGCAACUACUCCUACAAGUGCCUAGAGGCUAUAUCAUGCAUUAAAACUACUUUUGACCACAUAAAUUUGACAUGCAAGCUCAAGAACAGGGUCACCUAAGCAGCAAAAUUUUGCAAUGAAUAAGGCACUAGAACAAAAACUAAUUGGACCAUUGGAGGAGUCACAUACCGAAGAACAAUCCCUCAAAUCAGUUUUGUGAAUGGAGCUUUUGAGUAAGGAGAUCGAAAAUGGCAGCAAGAUGAGCAAGAACUCGGGUUUGAGCUGGCUAGUGAUUUUUCUGGAGCAAGACGAAGUGUGUGGGUGUAAGGAUAAGUGGAGGGGACCCACGUGGGGUCCACGAGGCAAGGGGCGCGCCCUCCACCCUCAUGGGCACGUGGCUGCUCCCCCUGUUGUGUUCUUAGUGCCUAAAAUCCUUAAAUAUUCUGGAAAAAAUCAUAUUUCAUUUUCACGGCAUUUGGAGAACUUUUAUUUUCGGGGUAUUUUUUAUUGCAAGGAUAAUUUAGAAAACAGACAGAAAAUACUAUUUUUUCUUUAUUUAAUAUAAAUAACAGAAAGUAAAAAGAGGGUACAGAGAGUUGUGUUUUCUAAAUUCAUCCAUCUCAUGCUCAUCAAAAGGAAUCGACUAACAAGGUUGACCAAGUCUUGUUAACAAACUCAUUUCGAAUAACAUGAAACCGGAGAAUUUUCGAAUAACACUAGGUUACCUCAAUGGGGAUAUGCACAUCCCCAACAAUAAGAAUAUCAUAUUUCUUCUUGACAGUAGGAAGAGGAAAUUCAAAACCUCCAAUAGUAACUGUUGAAAUUUUUCCAAUAGAAUUGAUACUUUGGACUUGAGGUUAUUUCCUCGGAAAGUGUACCAUAUGCUCAUUACCAUUAACAUGAAAAGUGACAUUGCCUUUAUUGCAAUCAAUAACAGCCCCUGCAAUAUUCAAAAAGGGUCUACCAAGGAUAAUCGACAUACUAUCGUCCUCGGGAAUAUCAAGAAUAACAAAGUCCAUUAAAAUAGUAACGUUUGCAACCACAACAGGCACAUACUCACAAAUACCGACAGCUAUUGCAGUUGAUUUAUCAGCCAUUUGCAAAGAUAUUUCAGUAGGUGUCAACUUAUUCAAAUCAAGUCUACGAUAUAAAGAGAGAGGAAUAACACUAACACCAGCUCCAAGAUCACAUAAAGCAGUUUUAACAUAGUUUCUUUUAAUAGAGCAUGGUAUAGUUGGUACUCCGGGAUCUCCUAGUUUCUUUGGUAUUCCACCCUUAAAAGUGUAAUGAGAAAGCAUGGUGGAAAUUUCAGCCUCUGGUAUCUUUCUUUUAUUUGUAACAAUAUCUUUCAUGUAUUUAGCAUAAGGGUUCAUUUUAAGCAUAUCAGUCAAACGCAUAUGCAAAAAGAUAGGUCUAAUCAUUUCAGCAAAGCGCUCAAAAUCCUCAUCAUCCUUUUUCUUGGAUGGUCUAGGAGGAAAAGGCAUGGGUUUCUGAACCCAUGGUUCUCUUUCUUUACUGUGUUUCCUAGCAAUGAAGUCUCUCUUAUCAUAACAUUGAUUCUUUGAUUGUGGGUUAUCAAGAUCAAUGGCAGGUUCAAUCUCUACAUCAUUAUCAUUGCUAGGUUGAGCAUCAACAUGAACAUCAUCAUUAACAUUAUCACUAGGUUCAUGUUCAUUAUCAGAUUGUGUUUCAGCAUCAGAAAUAGAAAUAUCAUUGGGAUUCUCAGGUGUGUCAACAACAGGUUCACUAGAAGCAUGCAAAGUCCUAUCAUUUUUCUUUUUCUUCUUCUUAGAAGACUAGGUGCAUCAAUAUUAGUUCUCUGAGAAUCUUGCUCAAUCCUCUUGGGAUGGCCCUUAAGAUACAAAGGUUCCUGAGUCAUUUCACCCCCUCUAGUCAUAACUCUAACAACAUUAUCAUUCUUCUUAUUAUUUAAUUCAUUGAGCAAAUCAUUCUGAGCCUUAAGUACUUGUUCUACUUGAGUGGUAACCAUAGAAGCAUGUUUACUAAUAAGUUUAAGUUCACCUUUAACUCUAGACAUAUAAUCACUCAAGUGUUCAAGCAUAUCAGCAUUGUGUUUUAAUUGUCUACCAACAUAAGCAUUGAAGUUUUCUUGUUUAACAAUAAAAUUAUCAAACUCAUCUAAGCAUUGGCUAGCAGACUUAUAACGAGGAAUAUCACCUUCAUCAAAUCUAUAGAGAGAAUUUACCUUUACUACCUGUGUCGGGUUAUCAAGACCAUGUAUUUCUUCAAUAGGUGGUAAAUUCUUAACAUCUUCAUCUUUAAUACCUUUUUAUUUCAUAGAUUUUUUGCCUCUUGCAUAUCUUCAGGACUGAGAAAUAGAAUACCCCUUUUCUUCGGAGUUGGCUUAGGAGUUGGUUCAGGAAGUGUCCAAUCAUUUUCAUUACUCAACAUAUUAUUCAAUAGCAAUUCAGCUUGAUCAACAGUUCUUUCCCUGAAAACACAACCAACACAACUAUCCAUGUGGUCUCUGGAAACAUCAGUUAGUCCAUUAUAAAAGAUAUCAAGUAUUUCAUUUUUCUUAAGAGGAUGAUCAGGCAAAGCAUUAAGUAAUCGAGAAGCCUCCCCCAAGCUUGUGGGAGACUCUCUUCAAUUUGCACAAAAUUAUAUAUUUCCCUUAAGGCAGCUUGUUUCUUAUGAGUAUUUAGCAGAGAAGUAAUAAAUCAUAUCAUGGGGACUACGCACACAACUAGGAUCAAGAGAAUUAAACCAUGUUUUAGCAUCACCCUUUAAUGAGAAUGGAAACAACUUAAGGAUAAAGUAAUAGCAAGUUUUCUCAUCAUUAGUGAACAGGGUGGCUAUAUCAUUUAAUUUAGUAAGAUGUGCCACAACAGUUUCAGAUUCAUAGCCAUAUAAAGGACCAGAUUCAACCAAAGUAAUUAACUUAGGAUCGACAGAGAAAUCAUAAUCCUUAUCAGUAAUAAAGAUAGGUGAAGUAGCAAAAGCAGGGUCAUAUUUCAUUCUAGCAUUCAAAGACUUUUCUUUAAGCUUAGCUAAUAAUUUCUUAAGAUCAGAUCUAUCAUUGCAAGCUAAGAAGUCUCUAGCAGUUUCUUCAUCCAUAACAUAACCCUCGGGCACAAUAGGCAAUUCAUAUCUAGGUGGAGAAUCUUCAUCAUCACUUUCAUCAAUAUUAUCAGUUUCAAUAAUUUCAUUCUCUCUAACCCUAGCAAGUUGUUCAUCAAGAAAUUCACCUAGUGGCAUAGUAGUAUCAAGCAUAGAAGUAAUUUCAUCAUAAGUAUCAUGCAAAGCAGAAGUGGCAUCAUCAAUAACAUGCGACAUAUCAGAUGAAUAGCAGGAGUAGGUGUCGCAAGUUUACUCAAAAUAGAAGGUGAAUCAAGUUCAGAGCUAGAUGGCAGUUCCUUACCUCCCCUCGUAGUUGAGGGAAAAAUCUUGGUUCUUUGAUGUUUCAAGUUCUUAAUAAUUAUAUGCAGAUAUAAAUCCCAAGUGACUCAAAGAAUAUAGCUAUGCUCCCCGGUAACAGCGCCAGAAAAUAGUCUUGAUAACCCACAAGUAUAGGGGAUCGCAACAGUUUUCGAGGGUAGAGUAUUCAACCCAAAUUUAUUGAUUCGACACAAGGGGAGCCAAAGAAUAUUCUCAAGUAUUAGCAGCUGAGUUGUCAAUUCAACCACACCUGGAAACUUAAUAUCUGCAGUAGAGUAUUUAGUAGCAAAGUAAUAUGAUAGUAGUGGUAAUGGUAGCAAAAGUAAUGGUAGGAGUUUUGGUUUUAUAGUGAUUGUAACAGUAGCAAUGGAAAAGUAAAUAAGCGAAGAUCAAUAUAUGAAAAGCUCGUGGGCAUUGGAUCGGUGAUGGAUAAUUCAAUCAUGCAACAGUUAUAACAUAGGGUGACAUAUAAAUAGAUUUAGUUCAUCAAUGUAAUGUAGGCAUGUAUUCCGAAUAUAGUCAUACGUGCUUAUGGAAAAGAACUUGCAUGACAUCUUUUGUCCCACCCUCCCGUGGCAGCGGGGUCCUAUUGGAAACUAAGGGAUAUUAAUGCCUCCUUUUAAUAGAGUACCGGACCAAAGCAUUAACACAUAGUGAAUACAUGAACUCCUCAAACUACGGUCAUCACCAGUAAGUAUCCCGGUUAUUGUCACUUCGGGGUUAAUGGAUCAUAACACAUAAUAUGUGACUAUAGACUUGCAAGAUAGUAUCAAGAACUCACAUAUAUUCAUGAAAACAUAAUAGGUUCAGAUCUGAAAUCAUAGCACUCGGGCCCUAGUGACAAGCAUUAAGCAUAGCAAAGUCAUAGCAACAUCAAUCUCAUAACAUAGUGGAUACUAGGGAUCAAACCCUAACAAAACUAACUCGAUUACAUGAUAAAUCUCAUCUAGCCCAUCACCGUCCAGCAAGCCUAUGAUGGAAUUACUCACGCACGGCGGUGAGCAUCAUGAAAUUGGUGAUGGAGGAAGGUUGAUGAUGAUGGUGGCAACGGAUUCCCCUCUUCGGAGCCCCGAACGGACUCCAGAUCAGCCCUCCCGGGAGAGAUUAGGGCUUGGCGGCGGUUGCGUAUCGUAAAAGGUGAUGAAUCCUUCUCUCUGAUUUUUUUCUCCCCGAAAGUGUAUAUAUGGAGUCAAGAUGGACGUCGGUGGAGCAUCAGGGGGCCCACGAGGCGCCCCCACCCUCGUGGACAAGGUGUGGGCCCCCUGACGUGGAUUCUUCUUCCAGUAUUUUUUAUAUAUUUCAAAAAUAAUCUUCAUUGAUUUUUAGGUCAUUCCGAGAACUUUUAUUUCUGCACAAAAAUAACACCAUGGCAAUUUUGCUGAAAACAGCGUCAGUCCGGGUUAGUUCCAUUCAAAUCAUGCAAGUUAGAGUCCAAAACAAGGGCAAAAGUGUUUGGAAAAGUAGAUACGACGGAGUCGUAUCACCCGCCCGGUCGGAGGAGCAGGAAGCGACCGGGGGAGGGGGAUUGGGUCGGCCUACUGGGAUGGGCCGAAGCCUAAGGGGAGGCCAGGGGCAUUCUCUCUCUCCUUUGAGUUUCCUUUUUAUUUUUUAUUUUUUUUUGUUUCUCUUUUUCUACCAGCUUUUGCAUUUUAUUUUGCCACAAAUGACUUUGCAAAAAUAUGCCACUAGCCAAAACAAAUUCAAAGAAGUACUGUGCACUGCCACAAAAAUGUUGGGAAUGUUUUGAAUCCCUUUGGAUUUAUUCAAAAAGAAUAGGGCAUUUUGAAAGGCUGUUUUGGCUCUAUUAAAAAGCAUUAGGCCCAUUUAGAGUUGGUGAUGAUGUUGUGUUCCUUAACAACAAAUAGUUUUGGAUUAUUUGCUAAAAGGUGAACAUUUUUCCAACAAGUUUUGAUCAACUUCAUUUUGCACUUUGAAGUUGAAUGGAAUUCCAAAGAAGGAAUUUGAAAUGAGAUAUUAUCCCAACAUGAUUAUCAUUGCAAAUCUCAGUAGCUUAGCAUCAUCAUGAUGGAUUACUGUAGCUCCAUUACAUAGGGGUGUUACAAUUCUCCUCCUCUAAAAGAAAUUCUCGUCCCGAGAAUUAGGAGGUAGAAGGGAAAAGAUCGGGGUAUUUGGCACGGGGGUUAUCCUCGCGUUCCCAAGUGGCUUCAUCCUUAGUAUGAUUUGAACAUUGCACCUUGAGGAACUUGGUAACCUUCUGGCGUGUUUGACGUUCAGCUUCUUCAAGAAUGCGGAUCGGAUGCUCUUUGUAUGUGAGAUCAUCUUGAACUUCAAUCAGUCCUGGAUCCACUUCACGUUCCGGAUUCUUGAAGCAUCGGCGAAGUUGCGACACAUGGAAGACGUCAUGGACGUGAGAGAACUGAGGUGGCAACUCCAAUUAAUAAGCCACCAGUCCAUGAUGGGAGAGAAUGCGAAAAGGACCAAUGUAGCGAGGAGCUAGCUUGCCCUUGACUCCAAACCGAUGAGUGCCUCUCAAAGGGGUGACACGCAAAUAAGCUUGUUCACCAGGUUGAUAAGUUGAACCCUAGUGUUUCCGGUCAUAGUUGCUCUUAUGGCGGGACUGGGCCACCUUGAGAUUAUCCCGUACAAUGUGAACCUGCUCUUCAGCUUGUUGAAUAAUGUCUGGACCAAUGAGCGUCCGUUCCCCAGUUUCUGACCAAUUCAGAGGGGUUUGGCACUUACGUCCAUAAAGCACUUCGAAGGGUGCCAUUUUCAAGCUGGCUUGAUAAGUUUUGUUAUAAGAGAACUCCACAUAAGGGAGAGAUUCUUCCCACUUCUUGCCGAAAGAAAUAACACAAGCUCGAAGCAUGUCUUCAAGAAUUUGAUUGACUCGCUCGACUUGGCCUUGGGAUUGGGGAUGAUAAGAAGUGCUCCAAGUAAUAUGAGUUCCCAUUGCCUCUUGGAAACUAUCCCAAAUCUUCGAAGUGAAUAUAUUGCCGUGGUCUGAACCGAUCUCCUUCGGAAUGCCAUGGAGUUACACAAUUUGGGAGAUAUACAAGUUUGCUAAUUGACUAGCAGUGAUUGUCUACUUGACUGUCAGAAAGUGAGCAACCUUCGAGAAUUGGUUGAUGACGACAAAGAUAGCAUUGUUACCUUUCUAAGACUUGGGAAGGCCAGUGACAAAGUCCAUCUGAAUCUUAUCCCAUUUCCAUUCAGGAAUAGGGAGAGGUUGUAGAAGUCCAGUCGGUUUCUGAUGUUCUGCUUUGACGCGACGGCAAACGUCACAUUCUUUGAUAUAUCGAGCAAUAUCUUGCUUCAUCUUGGAGCACCAAUACUUCUGACGAAUGUCUAAGUACAUCUCAGUACUUCCCGGAUGAAUAGAGAGAGGGGUGUCAUGCACUUCUUUCAUCACCUUCUUUGUCAUAAGAUCGAACCGGGGUACUACAAUACGAUCUCUGAAGUAUAAGGUUCCAUCUUCAUACGAUCUCUAAAGUGAGAAAUCUCCAGCUUUCUCUAAGGCAAGAUCCUUUUUCAUCAGAUCAACAUGAGCAUCUUUGGCUUGAGCAAACUUCAUUGCUUUUAGAAGAGUUGGUUCCAAUACGAGGUUAUUUAGAGAACCUUGUGGAACUAGCUGAAGGUUCAGCUUGCAUAGCUCUUCAUAAAAGCAGGGUUGAGCUUUGUAGGCCAUGUGAUUAUUGCAAUAUGACUUGCGGCUCAGAGCAUCGGCCAUGACAUUAGCCUUACCAUGGGUAUAGGAUAUACCGCAGUUGUAGUCAGCAAUAGCUUCCAUCCAUCGCUGCUGACGGAGGUUCGGGUCUGGCUGAGUAAACAGGUACUUCCGACUCUGAUGAUCAGUGAAGAUAUCGCAAUGAUUGCCGAGAAGGUACUGUCGCCAUAGCUUCAGUGCAAAGAUAACCACAGCAAGCUCGAGGUCGUGAACUGGGUACUUCUCUUCAUGAGGACGCACUUGACGGGAGGCAUAAGCAAUCACUCUGCGCUCUUGCAUUAGGACACAACCUAAUCCUUGUCGUGAAGCGUCGCAAUAGAUGACGAAGUCCUUGUGAGAAUCAGGGGGAGCAAGCACUGGGGCAGAUGUCAGCUUGACCUUGAGUGUCUGGAAACUUUCCUGACACUUUUUAGUCCAAUCAAACUUAACACCUUUGUGUAGCAGAUUGGUCAGUGGCUUGGCGAUCUUGUAUAAGUUCUGGACAAAGCGGCGACAAUAGCUGGCUAGUCUGAGAAAGCUUCUGACUUGCUUGACAGUCUUCGGAGGGGUCCAAUCAAGAAUAGCCUGAACGCGCUCUAGGUUGACGGCAAUACCAUCCUUGGAGAUGACAUGACCAAGGUAUGUGACUUCGGGUAACUAUAAUUCGCACUUGGAAUACUUGGCAUAAAGUUGAUGCUCUCGAAGCUUUUCCAGAACAAGACGAAGAUGUUCGACAUGUUCUUCUUUGUUCUUCGAAUAUACCAGAAUAUCAUCCAGAUAGACCACGACGAACUUGUGAGGUAAUCCAUGAAUAUGUAGUUCAUCAGACAGGGGAAUGUGGCCGGAGCAUUGGUCAAGCCAAAAGACAUGACGGUGUACUCGUAAGAACCAUAACGAGUGACGAAUGCGGUCUUUGGAAUAUCGUCUUUGCGAACACGGAUCUGGUGGUAACCCAACCUCAAGUCGAGUUUAGACAAUAUUGAUGAACCAGCCAGUUGAUCAUACAGAUCAUUGAUCCGUGGAAGGGGAUAUUUGUUCUGAAUUGUAGCUUGGUUGAUAGGACGAUAGUCUUGGACCAAACGAUUCGUUCCGUCCUUCUUCUUGACGAAGAGAGAAUGUGCUCCCCAGGCGGAGGAACUUGGAAGAAUGAAACCCUUGCGAAGGGAUUUGUCGAUUUCCUCCUUAAGUUCAAGGAGCUCAUGAGGUGGCAUCUUGUAGGGUCGCUUGGCGAUAGGAACGGUGCCUGGUUUCAAGUCGAUGACGAACUCGACAGCCCGAGUAGGAGGUAUUCCUGGAAGUUCUUCCGGAAAGACAUCUAGGAAGUCACGAACAACUGGAAUCUUUUCAAUUCCCUCAAGAGGUGCUACAUUCAACACAUUCAGGAGAUAGAGCCGGGCCUCGGCAUUUUGAACCAGACGAGCAUUGUAGCUUACCAUCUCAUCUGAAGGGUGUAGAAGGUGGACGGUUUUAGUGGCGCAAACAAUAGAAGCCAUAUGUGCUUUCAAACAAUCCAUUCCCAGAAUGAGGUCAAUAUUGGAAGACUUCAGAAUAAUGGGGGAGGCAAAAAAUUCCAACCCUUCGAUUUCAACUGAAGCGUUGUGGCUAACCAUGGAGGUUUGGCAUUGGCCCGCAGUGGUUUUUACCACUAGUGGAGUGUGCAUCUCUUCGUAUUAAAUGCCAUGCAUGAAUGCAAAAUCUUCUUAUAUGAAAGAAUGUGAUGCUCCUGAAUCAAACAAGACAGAUGCUGGUACUGAAUUAACUAGAAGAGUACCCAUCACAGUAGCAGGCUGGUCUUGAGCUUUGUUUAGAUCAACAUGAUUAGCCUGACCAUGACCAUAAGGUCUGGCAUUGUUGUUGCAGGGUCGAUUGAUACACGCGCAUUAGAAGGCAGAGCCAACUGAUUCUGAUUCUGAGGGCAGUUCCUAGAACGGUAACCUGGAAGGCCACACUUGAAGCACAGACCAUAAUUGGGAUUGGAAGCAGGAUCUUGGGGUGGUGCAGUCCGAAGAGGCUACCUCAUUGGUGGAGGAGGCAGACACGGAGCAGCAUAGGACUGUCUUGGUGUAGGUGCAGUUGGAUGAUACAUGCUGUGGGGAAUCCAUAUUGACGCUUCUGCGCUGACGGGCCCGAAGGUGAGCCAGCGUCACGGCUGCGCCUAAGGGAUCCCUGGUGUUCCUGAAGACAAGUCUCAACCUUAAUGGCCUUGUUCACCAAGGUGGCGAAGUAGGCAAAGUCAUGAACGAGCAGUGCUAGUUUGAUAUCAGGGUGAAGUCCAUCACGAAACUUCUCUUGCUUACAAGCAUCAGUUGCAAUGUCUUCUUCAACAUAACGUAACAAGUCCAGAAAUUCCCGUUGAUAAGAAUCUACAGUCUUGUUGCCUUGGGUGAGGUUGCGGAAAUCUCGCUUCUUCCUGUCCAUGAUUCCCUAAGGAAUGAAGCGGGCACGAAAGGCAGCUUGGAAAUCCGGCCAAGUGAUGAUUGUUCCAGUAGGCAGGGUACGCCUAUGGCUGUCCCGCCAUUGAGCAGCGGGACCCUUGAGGAAGAAGGAUGCGAAGGUGACAUAGCUUGCAGUGGCUACAUCAGCAGACUCCAUUUCAUAUGUGAUGUCGCGGAGCCAGUCAUCAGCAUCAAGGGGUUGAGUUGAGUUGCGGUAGAUAGUUGGGUUGAGGCGCAUGAAGUCCUGUAGAGUUACUGGGGUUGGCUGUUGAUUCAUGUUCAGACGAGGAAACUGAGCCAUCAUUCCUUCCAUGAACUGGUGAUUCAGCUCAAAUUAUUGCAUCAUUCCGGCCAUGAAUUCAGACGGCGGUGGAGCAUGGGCACCACGGCCACGACCAGCGGGUCUAACCAUCCUGCUAACAUGUAACAUGGGUAGUUCAACAUUGAGCAUUUGCAACGACAAGGAUCAUUCAUGAUGAAACAUGCAUAAUGAAAGAGGUACGAUGGAUACCACAUAGUAGUCAACACGACAGUGUGUGUACUAUUCAGAAUACUAUUCUAAGGAAUAACUAUGGUUUAUCCAACUUCGGGGUGAAUGUGGUCACGGGAUCCUAAUGUUAGAGUUAGUAAAUUUGUCUAACCCGAAUGGAAGAGAGAUUAGAGCCCCAAAGUAUAGACGAGGCGUAAAAGAUCCUAAUACCACCCAAAUGGCGACGUAGGCCCGUAAGACACAUAGCCAAUGUUAGUAGAAGUUUUUUUAGUGACUAGACUCAACUUCGACCAAGGAGUUGGAAAGGGGGCUACCUACAGGCAGUCGGCUCUGAUACCAACUUGUGACGCACUCGACUCAAUCGUACACUAAUCAUACACGCAAAUGUGUAUGAUCAAGAUCAAGGACUCACGGGAAGAUAUCACAACACAACUCUAGACACAAAUUCAAAUAAUACAAGCUUUAUAUUACAAGCCAGGGGCUUCGAGGGCUCGAAUACAUAAGCUCGAAUACACAAGAGUCAGCGGAAGCAACAAUAUUUGAGUACAGACAUAAGUUAGACAAGUUUGCCUUAAGAAGGCUAGCACAAAAGACAAUGAUCGAAAAGGCAAGGCCUUCUGCCUGGGAGCCUCCUAACUACUCCUGGUCGUCGGCGGCCUCCAUGAAGUAGUAGUCACCCUCGGUGUAGUAGUAAUCAUAGGUGGUGUCGUUUGGCUCCUGAGCUCCACCAUCUGGUUGCGACAUCCGGAAAGAAGAAAGGGGGGAAAGAGGGAGCAAAGCAACCAUGAGUACUCAUCCAAAGUACUCGCAAGACUUAUGUCGGUGACAAAACCGGCGGAUCUCGGGUAGGGGGUCCCGAACUGUGCGUCUAAGGCGGAUGGUAAUAGGAGGCAGGGGACACGAUGUUUUCCCAGGUUCGGGCCCUCUUGAUGGAGGUAAUACCCUACGUCCUGCUUGAUUGGUCUUGAUGAUAUGAGUAUUACAAGAGUUGAUCUACCACAAGAUCGUAGAGGCUAAACCCUAGGAGCUAGCCUAUGGUAUGAUUGUUGUUGUCCUAUGGACUAAACCCUCCGGUUUAUAUAGACACUGGAGGGGGCUAGGGUUACACAGAGUCGGUUACAAGGGAGGAGAUCUACAUAUCCGUAUUGCCAAGCUUGCCUUCCACGCCAAGGAAAGUCCCAUUCGGACACGGGACGAAGUCUUUAAUCUUGUAUCUUCAUAGUCCAACAGUCCGGCCAAAGGAUAUAGUCCGGCUGUUUGAAGACCCCCUAAUCCAGGACUCCCUCAGUAGCCCCUGAACCAGGCUUCAAUGACGAUGAGUCCGGCGCGCAGAUUCAUCUUCGGCAUUGCAAGGCGGGUUCCUCCUCCGAAUACUCCAUAGAAGAUUUUGAACACAGGGAUAGUGUCCGGCUCUACAAAACAAGUUCUACAUACCACCAUAGAGAGAAUAAUAUUUCCACAAAUCUAAUCUGCUAACAUGUUUAGCAACAUGACAUCAUGCCAUGGCCCAGUCUUUAUUCGAACCGUUUUUCUCAACCAGCACUGCACGUAUCGCGAGGUGGUUUUCCUGACACGUCUUGUCAAAGCAGAGAUCGUGUCCCCCUUAUUAUGGGAUUCUCAUCAAUACGGACGUGGGUAACCCAAUCGUGCCUGUGGGUAUGACUCCUCGAUUUUAGGCAAGUCCCAAAUAGCCACGAGGAGGACGCUUGAUAUUCACCCUCUUUAUAAAGAGGCCAAGGCAUGUCCUUUUUUUCCCUCUCGUGCUCAAUUGAUUCCUUCCCCCGCCUCGAGUUCCAACACCCAAGGCUCAGGUCAGGCGCUUCGGACCUUCAACCAUGUCCGGAUCCAACCUCCAAGGUCGGUGGAUGCCUUCCUCUAUCACAGAGGAGGACAUCAAGAAGCUGAGAGAGGCCAGGUAUCUGACCGCCGAAAUCUCGCACAGACUGCCUGUCCGAGGGCGGGUCAUCCCCACUCCCGAACCCAACGAGAGUGUUGUGUUCAUAUUUCACUUCCUCCGAGGGCUAGGCCUCGCUCUGGAUCCCUUUGUUAGGGGGCUCAUGUUCUAUUAUGGGUUGGAUUUCCAUGAUCUGGCCCCCGAUUCCCUCCUUCACAUCUCAUCGUUCAUUGUCGUGUGUGAGGCCUUCCUCCGCAUUACCCCACACUUCGGCAUGUGGCUCAAGACUUCCAAUGUGAAGCUGAAGAUGAUCGAGGGGCGACACGCAGAGUGCGGAGGCGCCGUAAUAAGCAAAAGAGUUGAUGCUCCAUGGCCAGAGGGUUCCUUCCCAGAGGUGUCCAGUUUGUGGCAGCGGGGGUGGUUUUAUAUCACAGCUCCCCGGAGUACCAUGUAGGUAGCCGCCUCUGCCUUUCGCUCAGGCCCCCCACCACAACUGACGUCAUGGAUCAACAAGGGGCUGAACUGGGGCUAGUAAAUGAUGUGCCUAUAUUGCAGAGUCGCAUCCGAGAUCUCCUUGAGAGAGAUGUCAGCCUGGUCUUGGUAAUGCAAGUCAUGCUAGUUCGCCGGGUCCCGCCUUGCAAACGUCGACCCCUCCGUAUGUGGGAGUUCAACCCAGAAGGACCAUGAAUUAUUCAGCACUUCCUCGGCAUGACGCUCGAAGAGAUGUACAAAUUGUUCUUCGGACCACAAAUAAGGUGUCCGGACACCACCGAGGAUGCGGGUCUGAGCUGCAAUCGCCCAGAUACCCAAGUAAGUAAGCCCGUGGCCGAACACACUGUCUUUUUAUUUAUCAUAACAUCAUUAUGAAAAGUCGCUCUUUGACCAGGACUUGGUAACAAAGGCGAAGAUGAUCAGGUGUUCAGCCCCCCUUCCCGAAGGUUCAGCAAAUCUAGUACUAGCCAGAAUGCUCGAGAUGGCGCCUUAUCAGGCGCCCUCAGGGGAAGAUAAAGGGGAGAAUAAAGAGGCUGGAAGCGGGCCUCGCUCAUUAUUCAUCCAAACCGGGGGAAUUAGCGCCUCCGUGAAGGAGGAUAACCAGGGAGAAGAAUCUGAAAUUCCCUCUCCCCAAGGAAGGAAGAGGACCACCUCUGAAGACCCGGAAACAAAGGUUUCCAAACGGGGGAAGAAAUCUUCGCUAGAGGGUCCAUCCUCAGAGGGUACUCUUGCCGCACAGUGUCCGCAAGGGGAUCAGCCCUCUACCGAGCUGUAAGUAAACAAAAAGUACUUAAUGGUAAAAAUAUCCUACAUUACUUCUGAAGAUAAUAACGAAAGCAUAUAUCUUGCAGUUCGGAUCGUAGCCCUUCUCGACAGAGUUCGUCUUUGGGGGAUCUUCUUCCGGAGAUGAUGGAGAGUGAAACACCUCCCCCUGCCACCCCGCCUCAUGAGGCGGGCGACCCUGAAGUGUCGUCGCGGAGGGUUUCUCCUGAUCCGCCAAGGCCAGAGGGUAAUCCUUUGGCCACCCGAAGUCCUCAGUAUUUGGAUCAUAAAGAGAGCAACAGAAAGAGUCCGGAACCAUACAGUGUGCGGUCGGACGCACUGAAGGAUCUUCUGGAGCAAGCGGCCAUCUCAGAAGAGCAUCAUACGCUAAUGGGUACGGUGAUUGAAAGGAUUUCAUGCGCCGAAAGCGGGUUGCAUGAAGGUUUUAUGAGUCUGCUAAAAGGCUUUGAGGUACGUGAAAUAGUGUAUGUUUUUGACAGUACCGCACACAUUAGGUGUGCCCUAUGCAGAUAGUAGCCCCUGAGACUCUGGUUGCCAUCAAGAAUGGCGGCAAACAGAGGAUCAUAGUCCCAAGUAAUAAUCAGACCACCGUCAUGUGCAGGUGGCUGAAGGUCCGGUGGCUAGCCGGACUGGUGAGUUUGCCGAGCUGAAGCGGCAACUUGAUGCGGCAGAUGCCGACAUCGUGCUUGUGAACAAGUGGCUCAACGAGGCACAGGGUAUGUGAUUUCUCCGGUGAUCAACACAUAGUAAGAGGAGCAUGAUGCCAGUAUCUUUAAUAUGUUGUGACUGCAGAUGGAGCUGCCACCGUGGAGACCCUUCAGGCGGAACUUGCCCGAGCCAAGGAACAAGCCAGAAAUAGCGAUGCGGCCGCUCUAAAGGCAGUCGAAGAGUUGAGGGCCGAACAAGCCGCGCAUUGCCAGAGCAAGGAAAGAAUGGCCAAGAUGGCGUUGAGUUGAAAGAUGCCGCUAACCGUUACCAGCUUCUUGAAAAAGAAAGCCGAGCGAAGGCGACAGACCUAGAGAAGGCCAUGGUAGCAGCCAAGGAAGCCCGCUCCAAAAUCAGAGCGAUGAAGGAGGAGCUGCGUCAAGCUGGAGAUAUCGUGGUUGGGAAGCCCUUUUUGUUGUGGACUAAGUUCAGAGAUCCGAAGUAUGCCCCUCUUGAUCAACUAUGGAGUUCUACAGACGCAUACGUGGAUUUGGCGGCAAGUGCUGCUGAUGCGGGCGAGUCAAGGAUCAAAAAGAUCGUGAAGUGGAAAAGCUGUUCUGGUCAUAGUUCCAUGCUCCAGUGCAUCUGCUGCUGUUGAAUGAGCGAAUGGCCGAGUGGGCCGAGCUCCAUAGGUUUUUCGGACUUGCCAUGAGGUCUUUUGUGGAUCAUCUGUGGCCGGAAGGGCCAAGGCCGAAUAGUUACUUUAGUUUAGUGCAACAAUUCCUUGGUGUUGUGCCGCACAUCGACGCUAUGAAAAGGUCAGCGUGCAUAGAGGGUGCGCGGAUGGCACUUGCCCGUGUCAAGACAUAUUAGGCAGAGAUUAAGGAUGGCAAUGGGUCGGGUUUGGAUCGGGUUGAACAAUAUUAAAUCCAUAUCCAUAUCCAUGAAGACAGUCUUUGUCCAUCCACGAAAAAAUCCAUGGGUGAUAAAUUGUGUCCAUGUCCAAACCCGAUAGAUAUCCAUACCCAUUGGAUAUCCAUUGGGUCCUCUCAAGAAAUAUAAAUUACACAUAACAUAGCGUUAACAUAAGCUCCUCCAUUCUUCACCUUGUGGCAGGCUAGGCCUCACUUAUGCUAAACAUCAACUUAUGGUAAAUCAACAUCCACUAACAUGCUAAGAUCAUUUAGUAUUUUUCUAAUAGUUGUGAAUGACAAGUCAUUUAACAAGGAGAUAAAAAUAAGGGUAGGGGCAUUGGAGUAUGUUACAGAGGGGAUUGAAUGUCAACUAAUAAAAGUUAUGACAGAGAUUGUGCAAUUUCUUUUACAUGUUUUAGAUAACAAAGUGUAAAAUAGCAGUGGGACAUGUGACUGUGGGGUAGGGAUAGCAGAUUUUGGCCCAUUAAGUCACACUAUCGGGUCGGGUUUGGAUAUAUCCACGGGUACAAUAUUAUAUCCAUGCCCUACCCACGAGCAAUCGGGUCGGGUUUGGGCGGCGUCCAUGGACACAAAAGCAUAUCCAGAUCAUGUCCAUUCGGGUCGGAUAUCCAUGGAUAUCCAUGUCCAUGGGUAAAAUUGCCAUCCUUAGCAGAGAUGGAGGCCACCACUAUUGGAACACAGGGUUCGGUCGUGGGCCGAGUAGCUGCCGAGCACUACUUUGAAGAAGUCCUUGAAGGCGCUCGUUCGAUAGAGGCUCAGUGCUCGAAGAAUAUUAUGUUCUAGUGACAUGUAUUCCCAUUGUAAAAACAAUGUUUUAUUGAAUUAUAAAGGCUAUGUUUAUACUUUUGCCUGAAAGUAUUAUGAUGCCUCAUGUGCGGUCGUUUAUGUAUAUAUGUAUAUAACCUGAAAGAUUGCAGUCAUCGGUUUCAGCCCCCACGCAUAUAAUGCGGGGGUGUUCACAAAAAACGCGUAUUCACACUUGAUCCAUGAAGGAGGUGGUAGCGCAGCGAACGAGGCAAUCGGACUAUAUUGCUUUAACACUUUCACUUAGCCAUAGGAGUUUGACAGUGGGACUACUAUAUAGCCCCUGGUACUUCCGUGCUCGUGCGAAUACGGGGCGCGUACGUACAUGACCGGGAAACGGCCCUUCGUUAAUGCGGAGGAAUCCCGAAGAUUCCGUUAAGUCAUUGAGUGGUUAACCAGUCUCGCGCUUUAUCAUGACAGUCAGUUUUCGGCUUUCUCUACUGAGGUGCUCAUCCAGAUGAACCAGGGCACAAUCGCAGUAGUUCUCCCGGUGCUGCCUUAGCCGAUAGAGAGGAACAUAAGGUAGCAAAACAUGGGAGCCGGGCAAACCCAACAUUUGACCAAAGGCAUGAUUCAGAGCUGAUGCAUAUAAGGCCAAACUCGCGAUGCCGAACACUCCCUAAGGUAUUCGGUCUUUAUAACAUAUGUCGGGCUGAGCAAUGCCCUUAAUAAUAAACCUCGAGUGUCCAGGUAUGUGCAAUAUCCUGACGUGGCCACAUGCCAAUAACGUCAGCAUCCUUCUCGGUUGUAUUGAGUAUCUGGAGGAUGUGAACAACAAGAGACAGUAAAAAAGGUUUACACAGGGUCUUAAUCUGAAAAGAAACCUUUGAGCAGGUCCUUGAUGCACGUCUGCGCCUGUGUCUCCGUUGUGCCGUGUCCUGGAUGGGUGUAGCACGAUUGUCAUCUAUAAAAGAGAAGAACUUAGGUGAAAGUUGUCGUGCCAGAAAAUUGGUUAUUAUCAAUAAACCAUUAAAAUUCAAGAUAAGUCAAGUUGAGCCGAACUAGCCCUGAUUACAAAUGGGAAGCCCCUGGUACCGUCUAUGAGGGUUUAACCAUCAAACCAAUCUCAUGUAUAUGUAGUGAUGCACCGGACUCAUCUAACCGUGUCCGUGGUCUUGACGACCUGUCAUUUAUUCUGGUCGGUGAGGCCGCCUAGUGCUCGGCUGUUAAAGCCGCCGCACAUUCUUCCGCGCGUAGAGAACGCUCAAUAUUUCCACUAACUGUGAUGGUGCCACGUGGACCGGACAUCUUAAGCUUGAGAGAAUCGUAAUGCGGUAAUGCAUUAAAACGAGCAAAAGUCGCUCUUCCGAGUAGUGCUUGAUAGCCACUUCGGAAUGGAGCGAUGUAGAAAGUUAACUUUUCGGUUCGGAAGUUGUCGGGAGAACCGAAUACAACCUCUAGUAAUAGAGAGCCCGUACAGUGGGCCUCUGGGCCUGGUAUUACUCCCUUGAAGGUAGUAUUACUGUGGCUUAUUUUUGUCGGGUCUAUCCCCAUUUUGCAGACUGUGUCCUGAUAUAUCAGAUUUAGACCACUUCCGCCGUCCAUAAGGAGUCAUGUGAGAUGGUAUCCCUUUAUUAUUGGGUCUAACACCAAGGCAGCCAAUCCUGUUUAGGCUAGAUAGUCCAUCUCUGUUGCCUUUGAAAGGCUUUUCCCGCUGACCUGGUCGAGAGCCCCUGAAUCCGAUGUUGACCGUCGUAUUAUCUGGGUUGUCUUCUUUAUUUCGACGCUUGUUUUUACUGCAUCGUGGUUUUCCAUUAACAUCUCUGACUUCGGAUGUGCUUGGGUCGCUGGUGCUACUACGGGCUAACCAGCUAUCUUCGCCCGCGCAAAAGCGGGUCAUGAGGCUUGUCAGGGCUGCCAUUGUUCUUGGUUUUUCUUGGCCGAGGUGUCUGGCGAGCCAUUCAUCUCAGACGCUAUGUUUGAAAGCUGCUAAGGCUUCGGCGUCCCGACAGUCAACGAUUUGGUUCUUCUUAGUGAGAAACCUGUUCCAAAGCUUUCGGGCUGACUCUCCGGGCUGUUGAAUUAUAUGACUUAAAUCGUCUGCAUCUAGAGGUUAGACAUAGGUCCCUUGAAAAUUAGCCCGAAAAGCGUCCUCGAGCUCCUCCCAACUUCCAAUUGAGUUUUCAGGGAGGAUUUUCAACCAGUGCCGAGCUGGUCCUUUAAGCUUGAGGGGCAAGUACUUGAUGGCAUGGAGAUCGUCUCCGCGAGCCAUAUGGAUAUGGAGGAUAAAGUCCUCAAUCCAGACCCCAGGGUCUGUGGUCCCGUCGUAUGCCUCUAUGUUCACUGGUUUGAAUCCUUCUGGGAAUUCAUGGUUCAUCACCUCAUUGGUGAAACAUACGGGGUGUGCGGCACCCCUUUAUUUGGAUGUAUCAUGGCGUUCGGAUGGUUGUAGUAUUCGGUUUUGAUUUUGUGCCGGAGCAUGCUUCCUAGAUCCAUAGAUGGAUCUGGUCAUACUGGAUUUUUGGCGCAAGUCCUCACGUAGAUCGUGUGUUGACUUAUGUGCGACCUUGUUAGCCGCUCUAUCGCGGUCACAAGGUGGUUGAUCCGGCCAGUUAGCCGUUUUAUUUUUCGGUCGUAUGGGGUCUAAGGACUCAUCGUCGAAUUCGGGUAAUAGCUUGCGCUUUGGAUAGCUCUUUGUGUGGUAACCUCCACCAUACUUUUCUUCGUUGUCGAGCACUUUGUUCCACCUGCUGUUGAGCGUAUUUUGUACGGCCUUAAGCCUUUGCUUCUGCUUCUUCAGACUCCUCGCUGUGGCAAUAAGCCUUCUAUGGAGGUUCUCUUGCUCAAAGUGCGUUUCCGGGAUGAUGUGUGCAUCUUCGUCCGGACUGUUUUCCUCCCCAGAGGGGGUUUGAUGAGGUUUAUCCUCGGCGUCGCCGUGUUCGGACGUUGAAUCCGUACUAUGUUCGCCAUUUGCAGCUUCAUCGUGCUCUGCCGCCGGGGCAAUGUGGUCGUCGUUUCCUCUGGAGUUGACUGGAGUGUUAUUUUCUCUUGCGCUGUUAUCAUUGUUUUUGCCGAGGCGGGAUUUGGAGCGGCACCUACGCCGAUGCUUUGUUUGCUUCUUGGAGGGGUCAUCCUCCGAUGUCUCCUCCCGUUCCUCGUCAUCGUUUUCUUUGGGUGUAUCCACCAUGUAUAUGUCAUGUGAUGAAGUGGCUGUCCAGUGCCCUGUGGGCACUAGUUCCUAUUCCUCUCCUGCAUCGUCGUCCAUGUCAUCGAUUUUUGCAGUCAAAAUCGAGCAUGUCGGUUAAAUCGUUGACAGAGGCUACUAAGUGGGUGGUGGGUGGGCAGCGAAUUCCUUCAUCGUCCGCAUCCCAUUCUAGCCGGACAUAGUUCGGCCAAGGAUCUCCUGACAAGGAGAGAGACCUUAAUGAAUUUAGCACGUCGCCGGAAGUUGAGUGCUGAAAGAUAUCCGCGGAGGUGAACUCCAUGAUCGGCGCCCAAUCAGAUUCGAUAGGCACGGAUGUAGGCGGCUCGGAGUCUGUGGCCGGAGACGAAUCCAGUGGUUCGGCAACACGGCUCUCGUAAGGGGUGAAGUCAGUAUCCGGCUCCAUCACCACUAAGAGUGUGGCCUCCGUGGCAGGGUCUAUCCCUCCGUCCUCGGAUGGCGCAAUUUGCUCCGGAUUGAAGGCCAGAGUAGUUGUAGGUGUGAUCUCCCGAACACUGUCCGACGACAGAGCUAAAUCAUGCUCGUCGUGAUCGUGCGGCGCACCUGACAUGGGCUUGAAUCCGUUGAAGAUCAAGUCUCCGUGGAUGUCGGCAGUGUAGUUUAGGUUUCCGAACCUGACCUGAUGGCCAGGGGCGUAGCUCUCGAUCUGCUCCAGAUGGCCAAGUGAGUUGGGCUGUAGUGCGAAGUCACCUCUGGUCCAUGGGUCGGUGAACGAAUGGGUUUUGGGAAAUAGAGAACAUGGAAUCGAUUGAACAAAGGUGGCACCGGAAUGAAUAGCCCACUUGUUUCGGGCAAGAAUGAAUGGGACUGAUCGACUCGAGUUACCGAGCGACCUCCACUCUUCGACUCAAGCUUUCGCUUCUGCGCCGAAUAUGAAGAUCUGUCCAGGGAGGAAAACCUCACCCUGGACCACAUCGUUACCGAUGAUCGAAGGAGCCAUCAAGCCCUAUGGUGACGACACAGUGGAACUCUCAAUGAAAGCACCAAUGUCGGUGUCAAAACUGGCGGAUCUCGGGUAGGGGGUCCCGAACUAUGCGUCUAAGGCGGAUGGUAACAUGAGGCAGGGGACACGAUGUUUACCCAGGUUCGGCCCCUCUCGAUGGAGGUAAUACCCUACGUCCUGCUUGAUUGAUCUUGAUGAUAUGAGUAUUACAAGAGUUGAUCUACAACGAGAUUGUGGAGGCUAAACCCUAGGAGCUAGCCUAUGGUAUGAUUGUUGUUGUCCUAUGGACUAAACCUUCCGGUUUAUAUAGACACUGGAGGGGCUAGGGUUACACAGAGUCGGUUACAAGGGAGGACAUCUACAUAUCCGUAUUGCUAAGCUUGGCUUCCACGCCAAGGAAAGUCCCAUCCGGACAUGGGACGAAGUCUUUAAUCUUGUAUCUUCAUAGUCCAACAGUCUGGCCAAAGGAUAUAGUCCGGCUGUCCGGUGACCCCCUAAUCCAGGACUCCCUCAACUUACAUCAGAUCUAAACUAAGUAUGCAUCUGUAUCAAACAAAUGGGUUGUAUCUGUGGACUAAACUGCAGAAUGCCAGAAGAGAAGGGGAAAGCCUAGCCUAUCAAAGACUAGCAUCUUCAAGCAUCUUGCAGCAUUUAGAAGAGUACAGAUCAACAUAAUGUAAAGUAGUAGUAGUGUUAUCAACCUCGGCCAGAGAUCCUUUCUCGACUCCCUACGAGAAAGCAAUCCCAGAGCCAUACUAUCUAGCUAUCACCUCAAGUAUCCAGUUCUAGUUGUAUCGAUCGGGAUACAACUCCAAGUGUCCGUUACCGUAGGACAGGCUAUCGAUAGAUGUUUUCUUCCCUGCAAGGGUGCACCAACUUACCCACCACGCUCGAUUAACUCCGGCCGGACACACUUUCCUGGGUCAUGCCCGGCCUCGGCCAAACAAUACGCCACAACACGACCUAGGCUUAAUAGAGAGGUCAGCACGCCGGACUAAACCUAUCCCCCAGGGGUCAUGGGCCAUCGCCCCGGGAACUCCUGCACAUUGCAAACGCGGCCGGUGAGCAUACCUAUCUACCUCCUUAAAAAGGUAGGUGCUUACGCAGUCCAACCCGUCGCGCCGCUUAGUCGUUGACGUUUAUUAAGCUUCGGCUGAUGCAUACGACGCAGAACGCCCAUACAAUGCCCACGUGAUGGCUAGUGCUAUCAGGCCAGAGGCCCCUAGGAUCAAAUAUCCAAAUCAUAGUGGAUUAGGAAUGCGCGGUAAUAAGCAGAGACUCGCGAAAGAUGUGACCCCGUCGCCCCAUCUCGAGGACUUGCGGCAAGGGCUAAGAAUGCCCAACCACGCCUAUUAGUUAUCUCGCGGGCACCCUCCAGGUCAACCCGACUCCACAUCACUCACAAUUAAGCUCGCACGGGUACCCCUCAAGUCCGACCCGUCUUUAGUAACCUGGUUCAGGGUAAAGUCAUAGUAAGCAUAGUAACCGUUUGUCUAACACCAAGGGGGACCCUGAGGAACCACCCUCAAUGUAUUCCACUUGAUGUCAUCAUCAAGGUGAACGUAAGAAGAACCACCCUCGAGGUUCACACUUGAGGGGUUGCACGACAGAGUCAUAUCGGAAGUGGUUAAGGAGGAAAUCACCCUCGAUGACCACGACCAAAUAGCUACACUACAUAGAUCUUAUCAGGAGUGAUGUAUGAGGUGUCACCCUCGGCACUCGAUAGUAACUCUGCAGAGUCGUAUAACUAGGGAGGGGGGGUGAUGUGCGGUGUCGGGGCCUGGACGUCGACCACGUUGAUCGAGUCAUCGAACAUAAAGCGGGGCAACAAGGACAAGGUGGGGGUCACUGAUGGAUCACUAACCAACCUAUAUUAAGCAGUUUAGGAUAAGCAGGUAGGUAACAAUAAGCAGGUUACAAAAACAGGAUAUGCAUCAGAAUAGUAUCAUACAGAAAGCAGUAGUAGUUCUAAUGCAAGCAUGAGAGGGAAAGAAAUGGGCGACAUCGGAAUGCUCAAAGGGGGGUGUCGGUGUCAAAACUGGCAGAUCUCGGGUAGGGGGUCCCGAACUGUGCGUCUAGGCUGGAUGGUAACAGGAGGCAAGGAACACGAAGUUUUACCCAGGUUCGGGCCCUCUCGAUGGAGGUAAAACCCUACGUACUGCUUGAUUAAUAUUGAUGAUAUGGGUAGUACAAGAGUACAUCUACCACGAGAUCGGAGAGGCCAAACCCUAGAAGCUAGCCUAUGGUAUGAUUGUUGUUUUGUAUCUUGUCCUACGGACUAAAACCCUCCGGUUUAUAUAGACACCGGAGAGGGUUAGGGUUACACAAAGUCGGUUACAAUGGUAGGAGAUCUACAUAUCCGUAUCGCCAAGCUUGCCUUCCACGCCAAGGAAAGUCCCUUCCAGACACGGGACAGAGUCUUCAAUCUUGUAUCUUCAUAGUCCAUGAGUCUGGCUGAAGGUAUAGUUCGGCCAUCCGGACACCCCCUAAUCCAGGACUCCCUCAGUAGCCCCCGAACCAGGCUUCAAUGACGAUGAGUCCGGCGCGCAGAUUGUCGUUGGCAUUGCAAGGCGGGUUCUCCUCCAAAUUUUGUGUACCUGUUGAAUAAAGUCUGGUUUCUUGUAGAUGUUGCGCUCUUUGGCUUCUACGCCCAAUAAUGGUCGCUUCCCACGUGUCAAACGAAUAUGAAAAGUCUGAGUGUUUUUACAUUCACACCCCUAGCCACGUAAAUGAGCUGACCUAUUUAAGGGGACGAGGAUUUAGAUCCAAACUACAUCUUCCCCCCUUCGCGAGUGUUCAUCAGAGCGCAUCCGACAAAGGUCCAUUCCACCAUGGCCAGCCGUCGCGACUCCUCCUCUCGCCCUUCCAGCCCUCAGCAUGGAUAUUGGGAGAGAUGCUCUAUCCCACAUAGCGAGCUAGUGAUGCUUCAGACCAAGGGAUUUCUCCCCCCGGCCUAGUUCGAGCCGGCCUUGCCAUCUAUAAUGGCGGAGAACAAGCGGAGAGUGCCCCUAAUCCCUCCAAAGGAGAGUGGGUGUGCCUCGUCCCUUAUUUAAUAAGGGGUCUCGGAUUUCUAAUCCAUCCAUUUCUCCGGGGGCUCCUGGAGUUCUAUGGCCUCCGGCUACACAAUCUCACGCCUGCCUCCGUAUUGCAUAUCGCGGUCUUCGUAGCCCUCUGCGAGCUGUUUUUGGGUAUCGAGGCUCAUUUUGGGCUAUGGAAAAGGUUAUUCUGCCUCGUGCCCCGCUCUAAGGAGGGGUCAAUGUAUCAAGUGGGUGGAGCCGAAGUGUGGCACAUCGCCAGGACCGGAUAUCUGUCCGGAACCCCAAAGAAGGCGUCCGAAGACUGGCCCUCGGAAUGGUUUUAUAUAGAAGACGUCCCGCUGUCGGAUCCUGUCCGGAUUGGCCUCCCUGAAUUCGAUAGUGCUCCCUUAGAGAAGCACCUAAGCUGGCGUCCCCGGAGCCCUCAGAGGGAAAGUGACAGGGACAUCAUUUACCUGAUGGGACGAAUAAGAUUGCUAGCCCAUUCCGGACUAACCAUGAUCGGGGUUAUGGCCGAAUGCAUUAUGCGGGGGGUGCAACCGCUUCAGUAUAGAAGCCACCCCAUGUGGGACUUCAACGGGGAGGACGACGCUACCCGCUACGGCCGUAAGGGGCCGGAUUCAGCCGCCGCUCUGCUAAAGAUCUUGUCCACUUUGUAUAAGGGAGAAGAGGAGGAAUUUCUCUGCGUCAACCCACAGGGUGGAUUCUCUAUGCACAAUCCCCAAGCUGGGUAAGCGGUCGUAUUUACUUGCCCAUCCGUUUUGUAUUCCCAUUGUUAAAUAUUCAAUCUGACGAGUUCAACGCAGGAACUGCGCCGGGCUGUUAAGGAAAUAAGCAGCCCUCCUCCACAACCCGAGGACCCAAGACGGUCCCUCGACCCAUCCUCUCGAGAGGAUCCGGACAUAUCUGUUCAAUUGAGCAAGGACAACGCCUUGGUGGCCAUUACGGUCGAUUACCCAGGGCUAAUCCCGGCCUCCCAGGUAACUGAGAUCGAAGUCCCAGUACCCCGAAUAGUUGUCCGCCCUCUCAUGUUUUCAGUUUCCUGAUUACAACCGAACUUUGUAGGGGAGGUUUUUAAGGCAGAAGGCCGAACCUGCGGCGACAAGCCAACGAGGGGCCGCAGGGCCCCAUGGGCAGAAAAGAAGUGCAGUCCGAACCGAGGUGUCAGCGCAAAGGUAUGGCGCGCCCCCUUAUCCCAGGUGUUAUACCUUCGAGGCACAUUGACACUCGUGCUCUCUUCAGGACAAAGAGACCUCGCCGGACUAUAUCCGGAGAGGCUGCCAAUCGCGCCUCCACCAGCCAGGCUCCAAAGCCUGGUCCGGAGGUGGAGGCGAAUGCAAGGCGCGUGCCAGGCGCUCCUCCGACGGAGGAUGUGGAUGGGUUGUCUGCCACCAACUCUGAGGUGGAGAGUGCCAUGAACCACAGGCGUCGCCGGACAAUUCUUUGCGAUGCUUGUUUCUCCCAAGGGGCGUUAGAUGCCUUCAACUCGGGAGAUGCGUACCUCCAUGCCGCUCAAAAUGGUCUAGCCAGAGCCACGGAGCAAUAUGUAAAAGACAUACGGGUAAGAAAAUUUUGGUAAUUAUAUAUAUAUAUAUAUAUACCAGUAGCCCCCGAACUUGAAACAAUUAGAAUAAUUGAUUUAAGGAUCAUUUGUUAUGCAGGUUCUUACAGAAAAGAAUUCCCUACUGUCCAAGGAGCUGGAAGAGUGCAAAGCCCAACUUGAGGCUGCACUAGCCGCGGCAGGGGAGCCCAAGGAGACCCCCUCUGGUAAUAUACACUUCGAAAGAUAAGUAUUUUGCGAAGCACGGCAUGGGUGCGAAUCUGACAAAUGAAAUUGCGGAUGGCGCCGGAUUGAAUCCGGAAAGGCAACACCUCCUACGCCAGCUAAAGGCUGGUGAGAAGGUGCUGACAAAGGUGAGGCGGGAGAAGAACAAUCUCCAAGAUGCCAACACCAAGCUGGGCGUUGAGCUAAAAGAUGUUCGUGCCCAGCUGUCAGACUCCAUGAAGGAGAAUCAGCGGCUUCGGCGCGGCAUAUUUAGUAAGUGCUUGAACGAACCUUUGAAAGAAAGUUCGGCAGGGAAGUCGACUAAUAGAGCAAUGUCUGUAGGUGUGCUAACAGGUCGUCCUGUAGAGGAGAUGCCCGGUUCUACGGGUGACCUUCUUCCCGAGCUCUCGCAACUGCUCGAUCGAGUUCGGCAGGUGAUGCAAGGCGUCGCCCAGGCCCUGUGGCCAUCCGUCUCCAUGCCCGAAGGUCUUGGAGAGCUUGCGAAGAAGCUAAAGGGAGCACGGCGGCGCUUCCGAUUAUGGAAGAUAUCGGCCUGCCGUCAAGGCGCUAGGGAGGCAUGGGCCAUGGUGAAGACGCGGUACGCAAAUGCUGACCCCAACCACAUGGCCGAGGUCGGUCUUAUAGGGCCCGAUGGGAAGGAGACCCCUGUAAGCUUAGUAUACGGCCAAGUAGAGUUGGCCGCAAAGUAUUCCCAGCAGGACUGUAAAUUAGACAGCCUGUUAGAUGGUAUUGAAGAGGAAUACAAUCAGUCAAAAUGACUACGUAAUUUAAUUGACAUUUAUAAUGCCUUCUAGCCGGAUUGUAGAUCAUUUGUCAUGGCCGACCUUUUCGCUUCAGCCUCGGGACCUGACGGUCCGGAGUGUGUCUGAAUUCCCAUGUGGUUAUAUAGGAACCGGGGAAUGCAUGGAGACCAGGCGUAGGGGUCAUUAGUGCGUGAAGAGACAAGUGCCCGACUAGUUAUGUUAUAUUACAUGGUUACUAAGAAACAUCUUCCAGGGAGAAUAGUUCCGUUAGGGGUUCCUUUCCCUGGGAGGCAUGCCCUAAGGUGCAUGUCCAUGUUGCGAAAAGAAACGCAGGAAAAACAUCUCGGGGCGUAUAGAUAAAAAUAAAAAAAAGAUCAUCUUUAGUUCACCGACCGAAUAUUCCCUUAAGAAUGCUAGCUUUCAGCUUCACCCAGUCUGAGGUACACGUCUGGCUGACCCGACAGUAACAAUCGCAGAGGUGCUCCCUUUACCACCUAGCCAAACAAUCGGGAACGUAGGGGUAAGCACAGGAGCCAGGCAACCCAGCUUGGCCAAAACUUAAGACAUAUCGAUGCAUAUAAUGGUGAAUAAAAGGUACAUGCGGAAGUGUGACACAUGUGUUGGGCAUGAAGCCCGUAUGAAUAAGCUUCUGUUUAAAGAAGCCCCCAGGUUUAAUGAGCGCGGAUAGCGCGUCACUUUAUGAGCCUUUAAAGGCUAUAAGAGAGAGAGAGAGAGUGAGAAGAAGAGAAAUGUAAGACAGAAAAUAUAUAAAAAAUGGACAGAGGAUGGAGACGAACACAGAGUCCGGCGCUAGGCAUAGAAUCUUCGGAGACGGGAUGCGUUCCAUGGGUUUGGCUCGAGUCGGUUAAACGAUGCAUCCCGCGGGCGGUACGCUCCUCCAGUCAGGACUUGGUCAAUUAUGAAGGGACCUUCCCACUUGGGCUUGAGUUUGUCCUUUUUAUUGUCCGGUAGUUGUAGAACUAAUUCGCCAACGUUGUAAUUUUUGGCCCAUACUUCUCUGCUUUGGUAUCUUUGAGCCUGCUGUUGAUAGAAUGCGGAACGGGCUUUUGCCACGUCACGCUCCUCCUCCAAUGCGUCCAAACUGUCCUGCCGAUCGAGUUCGGCUUCUCUUUCUUCGUACAUGCGCACUCGAGGUGAGUCAUGAAUUAUGUCGCAAGGCAAAACUGCCUCUGCGCCGUACACCAUAAAGAAUGGUGUGUAUCCGAUGGUGCGAUUCGGCGUGGUCCGCAGCCCCCAGAGUACAAAGUCGAGCUCCUCUACCCAGUGCGUGUUAGAUUCCUUGAGGGACCGCACUAAUCUGGGUUUGAUGCCGCUCAUGAUAAGACCAUUUGCACGUUUGACCUGGUCAUUAGUUUGUGGGUGAUAGACGGAGGCAUAAUCGAGCUUGAUGCCCAUGUUUUUGCACUAGAGUUUUACCUCGUCGACCAUGAAGUUCAUGCCGUUAUCAGUGAUGAUGUUGUGGGGGACGUCGUAACGGUGUACAACCCCGGAUAUAAAGUCUAUCACUGGUCCGGAUUCGGCCGUCUUAACAGGCUUGGCUUCUAUCCAUUUGGUGAACUUAUCCACCAUGACCAGUAAGUAUUUUUGCUUGUGGGUUCCGCCUUUAAGGGGUCCAACCAUGUCAAGCCCCCAGACCGCGAAGGGCCAAGUAAUGGGGAUAGUUUGGAGGGCGGUGGGUGGCAUAUGGCUUUGGUUUGCAAAGAGCUGGCAACCGGUGCAUCGUUGGACUAAGUCCUGAGCGUCUGCCCGGGCCGUCGGCCAAUAAAAGCCUGUACGGAAGGCCUUGCUUACAAGGGACCGAGAUGCAGCGUGAUGACCGUCGAGUCCGGCAUGAAUUUCAGCCAGGAGGUUCCGCCCCCCCUCUUCGGAGAUGCACCUUUGAAGGACUCCGGUAGUGCUUUUCUUAUAAAGCUCUCCCUCGUGGAUUCUGUAGGCUUUGGAUCGCCGCACUAUGCAGCUUGCCUCAUUUUGGUCCUCGGGGAGUUCCUACCUAGUAAGGUAGGCGAGGAAUGGUUCUGUCCACGGGGCGAUGAUAGCCAUUAUUACGUGGGCUGAAGGUGUUAUUUCAUUGGCAGAGCCUCCCAUUGUGUCAGAAUGUUCGGUGUCGGGCAGUGCGGUUGGGUCCGGGCUGUUAUUGUCCGGCUCCCCUUCCCAUACUACGGAUGGCUUGAACAACCUUUCCAAGAAGAUGUUGGGGGACUACAUCGCGUUUUGCGCCGAUGCGUGCCAAGACAUCUGCCGCCUGAUUAUUUUCCCAUGCUAUAUGGUGAAAUUCAAGCCCCUCGAACCAAGCUGACAUUUUUAGGACGGCGUUGCGGUAAUCUGCCAUUUUUGGAUCCUUGGCAUCAAAGUCUCCAUUUAUUUGGGAUAUUGCGAGGUUCGAGUCCCCGCGCACCUCUAGGCGUUGAAUGCCCAUGGAUACUGCCAUCCGGAGACCAUGUAAAAGGGCAUCAUAUUUGUUGGAGUCCGUGUACAUAAUCUGGAGUACGUAUUGAACUGUGUCUCCUGUGGGGGACGUCAAAAUGACGCCAACCCCCAGUCCGGCCAACAUCUUGGAGCCGUCGAAAUGCAUGAUCCAAUUUGAAUAUGUGUCAUACUCUUUAGGGAGUUCGGCCUCCGUCCAUUCUGCGACGAAGUCGGCCAAGACUUGCGACUUGAUGGCUCGCCGUGGCUUAUAAGUUAUGUCGAAUGGGAGGAGCUCAAUGGCCCAUUUUGCAAUCCGGCCCGUUGCGUCACGGUUGUUUAUAAUAUCGUUAAGUGGUACUUCUGAGGCUACUGUUAUUGAACACUCUUGAAAGUAGUGUCGUAGCUUCCGGGAUGCCAUGAAUACCGCGUACGCGAUCUUUUGAUAAUGCGGGUACCGUGAUUUGCAGGGAGUGAGGACAGUGGACACAUAAUAGACCGGCUUUUGAAGGGGGAAUUUGUGUCCGUCCGCUUCUUGUUCGACGACGAGCACUGCGCUUACAACCUGAUGUGUUGCUGCAAUGUAUAAUAGCAUUGGUUCGCCAAUGUUUGGUGCGGCCAGGACUGGGUUUGUUGCCAGUAUGGCUUUUAUUUCGUCGAGUCCGGCCGUGGCUGCAUCCGUCCAUUCGAAGUGUUCGGUGCGCUGAAGGAGGUGGUAAAGGGGUAGGGCCUUUUCUCCCAAGCGGGAGAUAAAGCGGCUUAGAGCCGCCAUGCAUCCGAUUAACUUUUGUAUUUGUUUGAGGUCCUUUGGGAUAUCCAGUUGCGACAAAGCUCGGAUCUUGGCUGGAUUUGCUUUGAUUCCUCUACCGGAUACAAUGAAGCCCAAGAGCUUUCCGGCUAGAACACAUUUUUCCGGGUUGAGCUUGAUGUCGUAUGUUCGGAGGUUAUCAAAUGUGAGCCUCAAGUCAUCUACUAGAGAUUCGACAUGUCUUGUUUUGACAACCACAUCAUCUACAUAUGCCUCCACUGUUUUGCUGAUCUGGCUUGCCAGACAUGUCUGAAUCAUGCGCUGAUAUGUUGCGCCAGCAUUUUUUAGCCCGAAGGGCAUCGUGUUGAAGCAGAAUGGGCCGUAUGGUGUGAUAAAUGCCGUUGCGGCUUGGUCUGGUUCUGCCAUCUUGAUUUGAUGGUAGCCGGAAUAUGCAUCGAGGAAACACAACGAAUCGUGUCCUGCGGUAGCGUCGAUAAUUUGAUCGAUGCGGGGGAGGGGGAAGGGAUCCUUUGGGCAAGCCUUGUUAAGGUCUUUAAAAUCAACACACAGGCGCCAGGAUUUGUCCUUCUUUGGUACAAUCAUCAGGUUUGCUAGCCAGUCCAGAUGUUUUAUAUCUCUGAUGAAUCCGGCCUCCAAUAGCUAUGCUAGCUCCUCUCCCAUGGCCUGUCUCUUAGGUUCGGAAAACGCCGAAGAGCCUGUUUGACAGGUUUGAAUCCUAUUUGGAUAUUUAAGCUGUGCUCGGCCAGUCUGCGUGGGAUUCCUGGCAUGUCUGAAGGGUGCCAGGCGAAAAUGUCCCAGUUCUCUCGUAGGAACUCUCGCAGUGCGGCAUCUACAUCAGGGUUUAACUGUGCCCCGAUGGAAGCUGUUUUAUUGGGGUCCGUUGGAUGGACUUGGAAUUUGACUAUUUCGUCCGCCGGCUUAAAGGAGGUGUACUUGGAUCUUUUCUCGAGUACCACAUUGUCCCUAUUCACCAUAGAGCGCAGCGCAGUCAGUUCCUCAGCCGCUAGGGCUUCGGAAUGCCUCGAGGGCCAGUGCGAAUGUCUUGUUUUCGGCGCGGAGUGCUGUGUCUGGAUCACUCCAUGGGUUUAUUGUUGCUACUUGGUAGACUUCGGCAAGGCUGCGGAGUGUCCUUUUUCGCAUAUUAUUUGAUGCGAAAGUCUCGAAGACUGUUAAUACCGUAUUGGUGUCUCUGGGGUGGCUUUCUGUGGCCUCUGGAAUUAGGAGAUUUUCGCCAAUUUUGGCCACCUGUCGGAGUAUCCAACAUGCUCUAAGGCUGUGAGUUGGUGUGGUGUCCUCUGUACUGUGAAUUUUACAGGGUCCAUUAAGCCAUCCUUCCAGUACGGUUCCAUGCCCUGUAGAGGGUUUUUGCUUUUUGGUGUUUGACCCGGGUGUCUGGCGAUGAUGCACCCUUUUAUUUCGGAUUGGGUUUGUAUUCAGGGCCGGAUCGUCCCAAAAUUUUAUUUCGGUUUUCCAGACGCUUUCCAUCGCAUAGUACUUUCGUACGAUGGACGCCAAGUCAGCGAAGCGUGUAAUAUCACGGCGACUUAUGGCGUUGAGGAUUCCCUUGUCCGUGCAAUUAUUGCAAAAGAUUGAGAUUGCGUCUUCCUCGUGGCAGUCCUUUAUCCUGUUCUUAACCAGGAGGAAUCUGGCCCAGUAAUGAUGUACUGUUUCAUCGGGCUCUUGCCUAAUUUGGGAUAGAUCGCUUAUGUUCGGGUGGGUGGGAGGAACUAAAUCCGAAGCCUCACCCCAUCUGAGGCUCAGAGGCCGAGGAAUUUCCUAACUCGAAAAUUUGGAUUCCUGGAUGCUGUCCAAUGAAUCCAGCCCGUCGCCUGACUCUAAGUUCAGGUCUUGAGUGAUAUCCUCCCCUCCGCGGGUAUCCGGCUUGGAGGGAUCGGGAAUCCGGACGUAGCUAGUCCUUAAGAUAGAUGAAGGGUCGCCGCACUGUCCCUCUACCACGGCAACAUGAUGGGUGACUUGGGGAGAGUUAAUCUCUCUCAGAUCGGGUUUAGGCCCAAUCUGGUCGUGAUCCGUAGCGACUCCCAGGGCGGCGAUGCGAUCCAAGAGCUCGUUUAUUGAGCAGAGCUCCAUUGGAUCUAACUGCUCGACGAGUUUUGAGCUGACAUGAAGAUUGUUUUCGAUGGCUCGAGAGGUCAUUGUCGAUGCAGAAGCCGAACAGGCGGUCAUAAGAAAACCACCUAGCCGGAGGGUUUGGCCGACAGCCAAAGCUCCCUUAGCAACGGUGCCGUCUUUAAAGACGGGGUGAGGCAUCCUUCCUGAUGGCGACGACACAGAGGAACUCUCAAUGAAAGCACCAAUGUCGGUGUCAAAACCGGCGAAUCUCGGGUAGGGGGUCCCGAAUUGUGCGUCUAGGCCAGAUGGUAACAGGAGGCAAGGAACACGAAGUUUUACCCAGGUUCGGGCCCUCUCGAUGGAGGUAAAACCCUACGUCCUGCUUGAUUAAUAUUGAUGAUAUGGGUACUACAAGAGUAGAUCUACCAUGAGAUCGGAGAGGCUAAACCCUAGAAGCUAGCCUAUGGUAUGAUUGUUGUUUUGUAUCUUGUCCUACGGACUAAAACCCUCCGGUUUAUAUAGACACCGGAGAGGGUUAGGGUUACACAAAGUCGGUUACAAUGGUAGGAGAUCUACAUAUCCGUAUCGCCAAGCUUGCCUUCCACGCCAAGGAAAGUCCCUUCCGGACAUGGGACGGAGUCUUCAAUCUUGUAUCUUCAUAGUCCAGGAGUCCGGCUGAAGAUAUAGUCCGGCCAUCCGGACACCCCCUAAUCCAGGACUCCCUCAGGGGGUUUGCUUGCCUGGAAGCUCUGCUCAAAAGGAAGAGGUGUCGUCGACAUAGUCGAUCACAGGGGCGGCAUCGGUCUCGGGGUCUACCGGAGAGAAGAGGGGGAAGAAACAAUAAAUAUAAAGCAAACAAAGCAUCACAAAGCAUAACAUGGCAAUAUGUUGUGCCGGGUGUGACCUAACAUAUGGCUACGCGAUAAAGGUGAAGGGGGAAAACAACCGGGAAUGUUUUCCCGGUUCCAGACCUAUGUCAGACACAUGACUGAAGGGGGAAUGUUCCAUGUUCAGAUAGUUAGAGGCAUCUGACAGGUAAACGGACUGCGUAUCCGGAUUCGUCUCGUCGUUCUGAGCAACUUUCAUGUAUAAAACUUUUUCAUCCGAGUUACGGAUUAUUUUCUAUGAUUUUCAAAGAUUUAACAAUAUUCUGUAAUUAUUAUUAACUAAAAAGAUAAUACUGCAUCAGCAUGACACCAUCCUGACGUCAGCAGGGUCAACAUUCAACUCUGACCGCGUUGACUGGUCAAAAGGAGUAGUGGGGCCCAUCUGUCAUAGACUCAACUAAUUGAGCAGGUUUAAUUAGACUAAUCUAGUUCAUUAGGCUAAUUAAGCAAGAUUAAUUAAGUUAAUUAAUUAUCCAACGAAUUAAUUAAUUAACUAUUUAUUUAUUUUUAUUUUUCUAAAAACCUUUUUUAAUAAAAGCCAGGGCGCGUGGGGCCCGCUGGCAGUGGCAUAAGGCCAUCCUAGUGGAGCGGGUUAAUGGGCGGAGGGGCAUGGGCGUGGGCGCCCGUCGAAUGGGGCACGGCGAGGCCGUGGCCGGCGAUGGUCAUCGGGGCGCGGUGGGGCGCCAACCAGGGGAAGCGAGGUCGUGGGGCGAGCGGGCUGCGGCGUCGCAGCAGCGCUGGCGAGGCGGCGCGCGNNNNNNNNNNNNNNNNNNNNNNNNNNNNNNNNNNNNNNNNNNNNNNNNNNNNNNNNNNNNNNNNNNNNNNNNNNNNNNNNNNNNNNNNNNNNNNNNNNNNNNNNNNNNNNNNNNNNNNNNNNNNNNNNNNNNNNNNNNNNNNNNNNNNNNNNNNNNNNNNNNNNNNNNNNNNNNNNNNNNNNNNNNNNNNNNNNNNNNNNNNNNNNNNNNNNNNNNNNNNNNNNNNNNNNNNNNNNNNNNNNNNNNNNNNNNNNNNNNNNNNNNNNNNNNNNNNNNNNNNNNNNNNNNNNNNNNNNNNNNNNNNNNNNNNNNNNNNNNNNNNNNNNNNNNNNNNNNNNNNNNNNNNNNNNNNNNNNNNNNNNNNNNNNNNNNNNNNNNNNNNNNNNNNNNNNNNNNNNNNNNNNNNNNNNNNNNNCGACUGCUACGAGCUAGCGCGCUGCGGCGGGCGGGCGGACGGCGCAGGAGGCAAGGCGCGGGCGUGCAACGGCGGAGCCGGGCAAGACCAGGCGCAGGGCGCGGGCCGUGGUGGCGAACAACGCGGCUAGGGGCGGCGCGAGUGGCGUGAGGACGGCGGGCGAGGCCGCCGCGGCGACAGCGGGUAACCGGACGACGCAGUGGCCAGCGGCGGGAGGCGGGUCACGACGACAAUAUGCGGCAGCCAAAGUCGAGCGUCGAACAAAACGAGCAUAGCGGCUCGGUCCCGACGGGCUAUCCGGCUGGAGGACUCCUACGAGAUGCCACGAGCGCGGUGGCGUGCUCAGUCGAACUGGAGAAGCACGAGAGGAGCGGCACAACGAGCAGUGGUGGCGCGAGCUUCGGCAAUGGCGGCAACGGCACGGGGAGCAGACUACGGAUCGACGACGUAUAAACGAAGGAAAGGAGAGGGGCGGGAGCUCACGUUGCGGCACACGAAGGCCGUCGGGGGCUUAGUAGCGUAGGGCGGUGGCCAGAGUCGAAGGUGACGACGGCGACCCGAGGAAGACGACGAAGGGGAUCCGGCGCUGUAGAGGUCCGCGGCUUUGACUCGUGGUCGGGGACGGCGUAGCGUGCACGGGCAAAGCUUCAAGACAACUCGGCGAGGUGAGGUUGGACAGUGGCAUGCGAUGGACGGCGGUGGCCGCGCUCGGGCGCUCGAGGGCAGAGGCAAGUCCAUAGGGGGAGGAGGAGGUGGAUCUGGGAGAGGGCGGAGAGGGGGGAAGUGGAGCGGGGAGGCGAGGGGAUUCUGGGAGUGGGUGGAGGUAGGUGGGGGGGGACUCGAGGAGCCGGAGGGGCGCUCUUAUCCUCUCGCGGGUGCGUUGCUGGCGAGGUGGCUGGGCGGCGACGGGCGCGUGCUGCCCCGCCCGGUCGGAGGAUCAGGAAGCGACCGGGGGAGGGGGAGUGGGCCGGCCUACUGGGAUGGGCCGAAGCCUAAGGGGAGGCCAUGGGCUUUCUCUCUCUUCUCUGAGUUUCCUUUUUCUUUUUUUGUUUCUCUUUUUCCAGCAGCUUUUGCAUUUUAUUUUGCCACAAAUGACUUUGCAAAAAUAUGUCACUGGCCAAAAUAAAUUCAAAGAAGUACUGUGCACUGUCACAAAAAUGUUGGGAAUGUUUUGAAUCCCUUUAGAUUUAUUCAAAAAGAAUAUGGCAUUUUAAAAGGCUGUUUUGGCUCUGUUAAAAAAUAUUAGGCCCAUUUAGAGUUGAUGGUGAUGUUGUGUUCCUUAACAGCAAAUAGUUUUGGAUUUUUUGCUAAAAGGUGAACAUUUUUCCAACAAGUUUUGAUCAACUUCAUUUUGCACUUUGAAGUUGAAUGGAAUUCCAAAGAAGGAAUUUGAAAUGAGAUAUUAUCCCAACAUGAUUAUCAUUGCAAAUCUCAGUAGCUUAGCAUCAUCAUGAUGGAUUACUGUAGCUCCAUUACAUAGGGGUGUUACAAAAGGUCCCCAUUGAGCUUCGCCUCAACAAAGACGAGGCAGAUGCUUUGGAGAUGUCCUUCCCUAACGAGGCUUGCACAUCACAAGCAAGGGUGUUGAUGUACCUAACUAUGAACUCUUGGGCGGGGAGCAUGCUUCAGUGCAAACAAUUCAGGCGAAGACUUCUUACCUAGCGAGCUACACUUAUUAAUGUUGAAUAUACUACGGCUGGAGGGUUGUGCCCCACAUACGGCGAUUGGUCCAUUGGGCCCGAUGUACCGUAUCACAGAAGCGGUCAAGUUUGGCACUGAAGGAUGAGUCAAGAUCCACCACAUCGAUGUGUAGAAGCUCCGUGCCAUGUCUAUGCAUGCUCCCCAAGGUCAUAAGGAGUCCAACCCUGCUGUGGGGUUAGAUCGACUUCAUACGAAGCCAAUGAGUGAUGUAGUGUACUACAUAGUAGACUUAAGUAGACAAUUGAGCACGACGUUAGAGCCGAGACAACUCCCUGUGGCAUAGCAUUGGUCGUGUUCUAAGGCUGGUUGUAGUAAGUAUCAUAUACUAGUAUCAUGCAUAUGAUACUAGUCUUUGAUACUACAUCCGUAAUGCAUAGUAUCAUAUGUUGGUAUGAUAUGUUGGUAUCAUAGGGUACUACAGUUAUUGUCAUGCAUGACACAAAAAAAGCACACCAUUUAAUAUGAUACGGUAUCAUGAUAUGAUACCCAAACCUCUCUUUCUUCAUUUAAUUCUAUGUCACCUCCAGUUCUUUUCGGCGAUUCUCCAGAAUCGCCCCCCUCCCCGGCUUCUCCCAGAAUCGCCACUUCAUAUAUUUUUUACAAUCCUAGCUAAUUAGACCUUAACUAGACAAGAUUGUCAAAAAAAUAUGAAGUGACGAUUCUGGGAGAAGCUGGGGAGGGGGCCGAUUCUGGGAGAAUCACUCAAAAGAACUAGCCCCUAAAUUGCUUAGUUGGCAUGGGUCCCCUGCGAGAAGCAUUUCUGGAACACGGGUGUCCUGAACACUUUAUUUUGAAUAAUUUGAAAAUCACAUUUGAAUUAAAAAAAUAUCCAAAACAAACCCUACGCUAAUAUGAAUGUAUACCACACAAGUGUAAAGUUUGAUGAUGAAACAAGUUGACAUGUGAGCUACAUAAAGAUGACAAAUUGUUAAUUUUGAGAAGUUAAACCAUGCACACAUUGUUCACCGCUAAAAAAAAUCCACGCUCUUGUCUUCUUUGUGUAGCACAUAUUAAUUUACUUCGUCAUCAAACUUUGCCCGUGUACAGUAUAUCUCCAUACUACUGCAUAAAAUUCGUGUUCGUAUUUUAAAGACUUUCAAACAUGAUUUUCAAACUAUUUGAAAUGAAGUGCUCAUGCGACCCUUGCUCUGGAGCAACGUUUUGGCCUCCCAUGUUCCAAACCGUCCUCACCGAUACACUUCUCUAUUCUUAUAAAAAACUGAGUUGGUGAUGAUGGUGUGCCCGCCAUCUUAUAAUAUAGACCGUUCGAUCUAUAUCUGACAGAUAGAAAGCAAACUAUGACAAUUUUGCAAAAGGAUAUCCGCACCUCUCGUUCAUCCUUAUCUCCCACAACUUCAUUGUUGAGUAAUUAAAAAAGAAGCCUCCGGAACAAUCUGGCAUGGUGGCCGCUGCCGGCGUCGUCCAUCUCCAUGCCUCUGCUAAGUCCGACCACCAAUCACCACCGCGCCCCACUCCUCACCUUAUCUCUCAUCUUUCUCGAGAUAUCAUUUUUUCGAUGAAAUUCUCGAGAUAUCAUUAGUUUUUACACAUGUGAUUACUCCUGCAUGAGUCAAUCACAAUAGAUGUUUUGUAAAAAAAUGCAUUUUGAUGUCCUGUGCAAUGCACGGGCAUCUUGCUAGUCAUAAAAAAAAAAGCAGACACUUUCCAAUCCACCGCGCUCCUCUGGUCUCCGCGGUCUCCAAUUUCAAAUCCAUCCCCGUAUCCGCCGCCACGUCAUCGAUCCGCGCCACCAGCCUCGCACCCGCACCUCCAUCCCACCCUUCAUUUCAAUCCAACGUCCCACCCCCGCCGUCCCACGGAUCGAUCCCAGCGAGCGCCUCCCGCGGUCCCGCCCCAAAGCCACGAAAAUCCCGCGCUUUCCCCCCAAAUCCUCCCGAUAUAAACCCGCCACCACCCCCCAAUCCCAGCACAAGCUUCUUCCCAAGCACUUCCUCUUCUUUCUAAGCGCACACAUCCCUCGGAGCUAGGUGGAUCGGCGAUGUCGGGGCGCGGCAAGGGCGGCAAGGGGCUGGGGAAGGGCGGCGCCAAGCGCCACCGGAAGGUGCUCCGCGACAACAUCCAGGGCAUCACCAAGCCGGCGAUCCGGAGGCUGGCCAGGAGGGGCGGCGUGAAGCGCAUCUCGGGGCUCAUCUACGAGGAGACCCGCGGCGUGCUCAAGAUCUUCCUCGAGAACGUCAUCCGCGACGCCGUCACCUACACUGAGCACGCUCGCCGCAAGACCGUCACCGCCAUGGACGUCGUCUACGCGCUCAAGCGCCAGGGCCGCACCCUCUACGGCUUCGGCGGCUAGAUUCGUGUCGUGUGUCCGUGUGUUCUGUGGAAGACGGGUUUUACUACUGCUUUGGCGUGCGUCGUUGUGUUCCGUCUUGUGUUCAUUAGGCUGUAAUUCCUUGUUGCGGUCAAUGAAACUAGUUCUGUUCUGAAUCCUGACCUGAAGUGCAAUUGGUUUGACUUAGAUGAAAUGCAAUUGGAUGAACGAUUUAUCACUCGUUGCAAUCUGUACAGAUGCAGAAGUAUUGUUGGAGUGGUAAAAUGUGAAUCAAGACGCCAGAUGCAUAUUCCUGAAAUACUGACCAAGUGCUUCGCUGUGUUGAAUUCGGUUUUGGUUUUCUAAGGUUGGUUGGUUUGAUAUUAGAUUUCUCAUUUUAGAUCGUGUAUAGCUGAAGUGCAGUUGAUUUGUCUUAGCUGAACUGCAGUUGAUUGAAC
rnacentral:lncRNA from 1 species